rnacentral:lncRNA from 1 species
UUCCGCUGUAGAUCCAUAGUCCCCAAGCUGCACUACUACCUGCCCCUCUUGGGCUCCUCCCACAACUUGCUCCGGCUGCUCAAGCGGGGAGGAUCCCACCUUCUGUCAUCGGACCUCGACAAGGUUGUCAAGCCCAAUGUUGCCUUCCUGAGGGAGUGCGGGCUAGGUGAUUCUGAUAUUGCCAAGCUGUGUAUCCAUCGGCCAAGGAUGCUCACCACCAACCUGGAGCGCGUCCGGGCGAUGGUGACAUGCGCCCACGGUAUAGGCGUGCCCCGUGGCUCUGGGAUGUUCAGACAAGCGCUACAUGCUGUCGCAUUCCAAAGCGAGGAGAAGAUUGCCGCCAAACUGGACUACUUGAAGAAUACCUUCAGGUGGUCUGAUGCCCAAGUGAGCAUUGCUGUCUGUAAGGCUCCGAUUGUGCUGAGCAAGUCAAAGGAGUCUCUGAAGCGCAGGUCCGACUUCUUCUUCUUUGAGGUGGGCUUGGAACCGGCGUACAUUGCUCAUCAUCCGGUGUUGCUCUCUUACAGCAUGGAGGGCCGUCUCAGACCCAGGUACUAUGUUAUCAAGUACCUUAAGGCAAAUGGAUUGUUAGGUCAGUACCGGGACUACUAUAGCAUAGUCAUGCCGAGUGAGAAGGUAUUUGUGGAGAAGUUCAUAUGCCCUCACAAGAAAGCUGCACCACACCUUGCUGAAAACUAUGCAACAGCUUGCAAAGGGGAAGUGCCAACUAAUUUCAGAUUUACAUGAACAAAAAAGGGAUAUGGAAAUUGAUUACAAUGUAUGGUGCAACAAAGUUAUCACCCUGCAUGUAAGCUAGUAGUACUUCCUGUUUCGAUGUUCUUUUCCUAAGAUGGUGUUGGUUGUUUUCUGUAGUACGCCUGUUGCUAAAUGCUAACUCCCUAUGAAACUGAUAAUUUGAUUCCUGAACCCCUAUUUGUUAAUGUUGUCAUACCUUAGAGAAAAAAAAAGGGCAGCCCCAGUGCAUGUAGCUCCCGCUUGCGCAGGGUCUGGAGAAGGGUCCGACCACUUUGGGUCUAUUGUACGCAGCCUUUCCCUACAUUUCUGUAAGAGGCUGUUUUCAGGACUUGAACCCGUGACCUCAUGGUCACAAGGCAGCAGCUUUACCACUGCGCUAACGCUCCCCUUCGUUGUCAUACCUUAGAGAAGAUCUCCGUAAAUGAGAAGGCCAUGGAUAUAUAUACAGUGCGCCUCUGUCCUGUUGUGUCUGCAUUCUACAGACCAUCAGCAGAUCUUGGCUGCUGUUGUUAUUUUUUUCCUGCUUAGUGACUUGAACUGAGGUACGUUGACUCUCUUUUCUUGAACGCCAUGAUCAAAAUAGAGAAGAACUUAACAGACGCAAGAGGGUGGGAAAAUGAAACACUUAGCAAAGUGUGCAUGCUUGUGUUGAUCUCUGCUUUAUAUUUGUAUGGGGACGAAUGGAUUGGAUGUUAGGUUCAGAUAUGAUCAAUAUAUCUAAGUCCGUUGCCACUAGGAAAAGAUCAUCCUGCUGUUCAGAUUGAUCAAGUUUUCUUUAAAGAGUUUUACUGGAGCAAAAUUAAUGGUUAAGAUAGCUUGAUUUUUUGCACUGGGAUUAGACUUAUGUUUGCUGAGAAGAUCCAGCUGAGCUAACUGUCUCUCAAGGUAAAGAAAAACGUACCUAAUUAGUCAGAUGUAACUUUUCUGCUUCACUGAAUCCUUUUUUUAUUGAGGAAAUCUUCACUGAAUCCUAAUAUGGUGACGCUGAAUUACCAUAAGUAAGCAUGAGUAUGUUUUCCUUACUUUGAAACGAUGGACGCUGCAAGUGGUUUGAGGUUUCUAAUUUUCAGUUCUGACUAUUAAACAUUCAUUUUUGACUGAAGAAGUGGGUGUUUCGAUUGAUGUGUCAGCUGAUGCGUUUCCAAUCAAGUUGAGCUUAAUCAUGUUCAGAAGGCAUAAUUAAACACGUCCAAAAGGGCAGAAUUGAGACACCCAUACGCUCCCGCUAGGGUUUUUCUCCUCGUAGGCGAUUCCGAUUGCCUUCGAGUCCCUCCCAGCUACGAGCGAAGCCCUAAUCUGCAUCCCUCGCCGCUCUUCCCGCGGACCCUCCAGAUCGUUUCCCUGAUGGCGUCCCCUUCGGAUGCCAACUCUGUCGCGAGUGGCGGCGGCUGCUAAGUCUGAUCUGGAAAACUACUUCGACCACUUGGAUCUCAACGACGAGGAGUUCGAGGAUGUAGAGAUUGAUGAGGAUGAUCCUGCGAUUAAAGAAAGUGUCCGGUGGCUUGCCCUAGCUAGGGUUCACACUGACAAAAACUUCAGCCAAUCUGCGUUUUACAAGCAUAUGCGAGCUGCAUGGAAUCCGGCGCAGCACGUGAGGUUUCAGCCUGUUGGACCUAAUCACUUCAUCGUCCAGGCGUCAUGCUUGGGGGAUUUGGAGCGCAUGAUGAAGCAGGGUCCGUGGCUGUUUCGUAAUUGGGCUGUACUGAUGUGCCCAUAUGAUGGGUUUAGUAGAGCGGAGGAUGUAAUCUUCGUCCACAUGCCGAUCUGGCUUCAAAUCCACAAGUUACCUGAUCCUUAUUGCAAGAAGAACAUUGUGGAGAAACUCUUGAAAGGUGCAGGAGAGAUCAUGGAGAUGCGUCUGGAUGGAAACACUAGAGGUGACUAUAUAAGGGUGCGGGUGAAUCAUGACAUCCAACAGCCUCUUACGAAAUUUGUUAGUGUUGUUCGAGCAAAGGAACGACAAGUAUAUCUGGUUUGAUAUGAAAAACUAGCUAGGUUUUGCAAGGUGUGUGGCCUGGUUGGUCAUGAACAUAAGGAGUGUGGAUUGGGAAUCCAUGAUGAGAAGAAGCUUAAAUAUGGAAACUGGUUGUAUGCAGAUCCUCCUAACAUGCCCCGGGUAGAAUCAAACCCCGGCAGGAUGGCCGGGCCUCGCCCUUCACAGGCAAAGGGGGGAAUCCAAGCUGCUCCAACUGACACCGAGCGGGAGAGGAUCGAUCCAGAAACCUUGGACACGUCAUCAAGCCCGGUGAAGAAUUCUAGUGGCAGGAUGGGAGUGGACAAGGACCCCAGGAAGAGGUUGAACAUGGAUGAGGCUGGGCAAGAUGCUUCAGUCCAGCCAAAGAUGUUGCUUGCUAUCACAUAUGGUAGCGGCAUGGAUCUAAAGGAGACUAAUUUGCCUACGACCAAUAGCUCAAGCAGUAAGCGCGCGAAACUCUCCAAGGACAGUGAAAACAAUGAGAUAUCGACGGCCUCCCUCGAGGAGGACCGCCGGAUGCAAUGAAUAUACUCGCUUGGAACUGCCGGGGGGUGGGGAACCACCGGACAGUUCAAGAGGUGUUGGCCCUCACCAAAGCCAAUACCCCAAGCUAGUCUUUUUAAGUGAGACUAGGCAAGAUGUGGUUAAGAUUGAGAAACUCAAGUGGAGACUAGGUCUAAAAGGUUUUCACGGUGUUAGUAGCAAUGGAAGGAGUGGUGGUUUGACUCUUUUUUGGGAUGAAUCCCUAAAUGUGACAGUUCUGGAUGCAUGCUGUCGGUAUAUUGAUGUUCACGUUGAUGAUGUGGGUGGAGGGGACUCGUGGAGAGGAACCUUCGUGUAUGGAGAGCCUAGGGUUGAAAACCGGCAUUAUAUGUGGGAUCAUUUGACUAGGCUUCGAGCUAUCUCGCAGGAUUCGCGAUUUGUAUGUGGAGACUACAACGAAGCUAUGUGGCAGCAGGAGCAUCUUUCCAGGGCUCUGCAAUCGCAAACACGGAUGUUGGCAUUGGGGGACUGCUUGCUGUUGUGUGAGCUCGAGGAUUUCGGCUUCAUAAAAUUCCACAUCAUAAUUUGGGCUUCAUAAAACACGGAUGAUGGUCUUCCUGCACGGUUUUAUCAACGGAAUUCGGGGGGGAGGGGUGCUAAGGACAGAUAUCAUAAUGGCAGUCCAGGAGUUUUUCGCUAACGGAAUUAUGCCAGAAGGAGUGAAUGAUACGGCAAUUGUGUUGAUUCCUAAAAUUCCACAUCCUCUGGAACUCAAGGACUUUCGGCCAAUUAGCCUGUGGAACGUGGCAUAUAAGAUUGUGUCAAAAUGCAUGGUGAAUAGAUUGAGACCCCUUCUAGGGGAGCUUAUUUCUGAUAAUCAGAGUGCCUUUGUGCCGGGUAGGCUGACUACCGAUAAUUCGAUAAUUGCAUUUGAGUGUAUUCAUCAUAUUAAGUCUUUGAAGGAAAAUUCUCCGGCUUUGUGUGCGUACAAGCUCGAUCUUUCCAAAGCUUAUGCCAGAGUUGAGUGGGUAUUUUUGGAGAAGGCCCUCCUUAAAUGGGGCUUCUCCCAACAUUCGGUAUCACGAGUAAUGGCAUGUGUUUCUUCGGUUAAGUAUUCAGUGAAGUUUAAUGGCAAGAUUUUGGAGUCUUUUACCCCAUCUAGGGUUUACGACAAGGUGAUCCAUUAUCCCCCUUCCUCUUCCUCUUUUUUGCCGAUGCACUUUCAGCUUUGAUUAAUAAAUCUAUGGCAGAGGAUGGUCUGAAAGGGGUAAAAAUCUGUAGAGCUGCCCCGGAGAUUUCUCAUCUGUUGUUUGCAGAUGAUUCACUCUUGUUUUUCCAAGCUUCGGAACAGCAAGCAAAUCUGGUGAAGGGUUUGUUGAGCACUUUUGCAGGGGCCACGGGCCAGUUGAUUAAUCCAUCAAAGUGUUCCAUCAUAUUUUCAGACCAUUGCCUGCCCACGGUUGCUUCUGAGAUAAAGAGAGUGUUGGAGAUCACGCAGGAGGUUUUUGAGCCUAAGUAUCUAGGCUUGCCUGUGCCGGAAGGUAGAAUGAAUAAAGGUAAAUUUGAAACCGUUCAAGAAAGGUUAAGGAAGAGAUUGAUUGAUUGGAGUGAGCAGUAUAUGUCAUCUGGCAAUAAGGAGAUCCUAAUCAAGUCAGUUGCUCAGGCUAUUCCAGUUGAUGUGAUGAGUGUUUUUAAGCUUCCAGCUUAGCUUCUGUUUGUGAUGAGUUGACCCGAUUGAUGCGUCAGUACUGGUGGGGCAUUGAGAUAGGGAAGAGCAAGAUGGCAUGGCUUAGCUGGGACAUGAUGAGAUUACCUAAAGCUAUGGGUGGCAUGGGCUUCAGAGAUAUGAGGGCAUUUAACCAGGCGCUGUUAGCUAAAAUGGCCUGGCGCCUCAUUGACACACCAAACAGCCUAUGUGCUAGAUUACUAAAGGCGAAGUAUUUCCCUGCCGAGAAUUUGCUAGACACGGUCUUUCCAAACAGCGGCUCGGCAGUCUGGAAAGGAAAUUUGCAUGGUCUUGACUUACCGAAGAAGGGUAUUAUAUGGCGUGUAGGGGACGGUGCUAUGAUCAGAACUUGGAGGGAUCCAUGGAUCCCGAGGGCCUCUUCUUUCCGCCCUAUAACGCCGAAGCACACUUCCCGCUUGAACCGUGUCUCAGACUUCCUUGAUGGGAACGGUGCAUGGCGGUUGGAGCGGUUGAGGCAGAAUUUCUGGCAGAUGGACAUUGACUAUAUUCUGAAAAUUAGAAUGUCCCCAAGGCAGCGCUGUGAUUUUAUUUCUUGGUACCCAGAGAAGUCUGGACAAUUUUCUGUCAAGAGUGCUUAUAAAUUGGCUACAUGUGAUCAUGACACAGCGAUCGUGGGAGGAGCUUCUUCUUCGGCACCAAAUGGCAAGAGAUCAAUAUGAAAUAGUGUGCGGAAGUCAUCGGUGCCACAGAAGAUGAAGAUUACGGCUUGGAAAGUUGUUUCGGGAGCGCUGCCGACGGCACCAUGCAAAAAGUACAUACACUUAUCUAAGCGCUCUACAUGUCCAUUAUGCGGUGUGGAGGAGGGGAACGGGUUCCAUGCUUUAGUUACUUGCGAGCACGCGCGUCACAUCUGGUUGGGAAUGAGAUCCCGUUGGCCCCUACCACCAGAUGAAUUCUUGGUUAAUUCUGGUAAAGAGUGGUUAUUGAAUCUGCUUACCCUAUGUUCAGAAGAUGUCCGGGAUAUGGUGAUCAUGUUGAUAUGGCGGAUUUGGCAGCCGAGGACAGAUUCUUCCCAUGGAAAGGAUGUUCCACCGGUGGAGGUCACAGUGGAUUUCCUUGAUAGCUAUUACAAGUCUAUAAAGCUUGCUGGACGUUUUAGCAUGGAGGAGAUUAUUAAGGGCAAGAUGAAUGUUUCGGACCUUGGGCCUGGUAAUGCAGCUCGAGCUACACAGUCCGCUGCUCCGUGGCCGGCUCCAGCGCCAGGCACCGUCGCCCUGUCCGUGGAUGGGUUCUUUCGGGACUCGGAUGGUUCUGCUGCAGCAGGUAUGGUACUACGGGAUGAGUCAGGUGCAGUUGUGUUUGUCGCUUACUGUUAUAUUUUUCAACUGUAGUGACGCACUGGAAGCAGAGAUUCAUGCCCUCAUCCAAGGUAUGGCCUUGGCUAUCCAACAUACAUCGCUUCCGGUGGUAGUACAGUCGGAUUCAUCUGAAGCUCUCUCAACAUUGUUUACUAAUGGUCUUGUUAGAUCAGCUUAUGGUCACUUAGUCCUUGAGAUCAAGGAACUAAUGAGUAACAGGGAGUUUUUACCUCAGAAAAUUCAUCGUAGUCAGAAUAGUGUUGCAGAUCGGUUGGCCAAUUAUAGCCGCUCCGAGAGGACCACGGCUGUGUGGGUACACUGAUCGGUUCCACAUUGUAUCGAGGAGUUGUGGCCUCUUGAUUGUAACACUGUGAUAUUGCAAUAAAAACUCCCUUUACCCCGCAAAAAAAAUUUAAAUACGUUCAAAAGUAUACGUACAUCGAUUGAGACGAGGCAUGCAGUGCACAGGCAAGUUUUACUACUCCCUCCAUAAACUAAUAUAAAAGUGUUUAGAUCACUAUUUUAGUGAUCUAAAUGCUCUUAUAUUAGUUUACAGAGGGGUAGUUGUCUAGGCCCGAACAUUUUUCCAAACUCUGCUGUCCGCGUUAGUUGCGCUGACAGAAAUAUUCGUUGAAAAAAUAAAACUGAAUGUGCAUAAGGCUUACAGUGCUUGAGAUGGAACGAUCAAAUGGAUGACUACCGAAAAGAAACAGAGGGAUGCCUUGGGUGCAGACUUGCGGCGCCCUUGAAGGCAGACUCAACUUGAGCGCGUACAUCCUCGUGAUUUUCCAUGGACUCCUUGCGGCUGUAUGUAUUGGCGCCAGACCUUGAUGUCUUGGAGGCCUCUCCACUCUUUCCAGCCCAAUUGUAGGGUGAGCUUUUGUGCCUAAGCUUGGCCAUAGCUCCUGCCUCAAACCUCAUCACCCGACAGGUGCAAGACACACAAAUCAAGGAUCUGGAGGCAACAUACAUAGCUCACCAAUCCAUUUGGGAACUCUUCUAAUCUUCCAUUUGAGCACAUCGAGUACCUCCUCUAAUUAGUUCAACUAUCUUGUUGUCAGGGGCACUGCAUCCUUGAGUCCAACCGAUCCCCUUGAGGCCUUGGAGCAUUCGGAGCGAGGAGACCAAAGCAUCCUCUUGUUCCAAGGUGAAGCACUUGCUCCAAGUGCUUAAGUGCAAUUCCUUCAGAUUGGUCAGCUCACCAAGGCCUUUGAUAUCUUCCAGCGAACUCUCCGACAUAUCCCAACAUUUCAGGGUGCGGAUUGAUUUCAUCUUCUUGAUCCCUUCAGGCAACCCUACACCAUAUGGAAGCACCAAAUGAAGCAAGUUGGCCAAACAACUUAUGUCUAAAGGAAAGCUUUGAGCCCGCUUGCAAUCUAUCACCAAGGUUAGCAAAUGCACAAGCCCUUGAAUUUCUGUCGGGAGCGCUAUGACUUCUCCUGGGGCUGAAACAUUUAAAUCUCUCAGUAAAAUCAAAUGGCCGAUUGCAGUGAGGUCAACUGUCGUUUCCAAACCAUGCGGGGACUCAAAGGCAAGCACCCGUAGAUACUUAAACUGUGAAAGGGGAGGUGUGUAUUGGGACUUUGGCCACCGUGCAUAUGAUCGAACGUGUGCCAUGCUAGUAGCAAGGGCCUCCGACUUUGCACCACCUACACAUGAUUGGAGGGAUAAUCGACGAACCUUGUACUCAGAAUUGCACGAUCUUACCAUGUCUUCAUAGUUAUAUGCUACAUUGAUAAAAUUAUCUUCUUUACUCUUGCUUAGGGUCAAAUCAAGCAUCAUAUCAUGUACUCUGCAAGUAACUACUUUCCCAUGACAUGUAUCUAUGGGCUGAAUCAGACUUCUAUUGACAAGCUCAUUGAAAUAACUUUCCGCAACAUCAUCCAAAUCUGCUCCGUGUGAACUACAAACAAAGCCUUCGGCUAUCCAUUGCCGAACUGGGUCAUCCGUCAGAAUCAGACGGUCUUCCGGAUACAUGCCAAGGUACAAAAAACAUGGCCGAAGAUAAACAGGAAGAUGCAUGUAGCUAAGGUUCAGUAUACCCCUCAUCUCUUCCAAGAUAGGUAUUGUUGCAGACUUGGCGCCAAGAGAAUUCUUUAUGCUCUCCCAUUCACUCAAUGGCCUUGCUUCACGGCUAGCUAAUAGGCCAGCUAUGGUGAUAAUUGCAAGUGGCAAUCCGCCACACUUCUUGAGGAUUUGAGCUGAAACUUCUUUAAACUGUGGUAGGCAGACAUUUUCGGGCCGAGAUACCCUACUAAAAAAUAGUCUUCUUGAGUCUUCCUCUUUGAGUGGCUUCAUACUGUAAAUGCAGGUGCGAUCACUCAAACAUGGUAUGAUAGCUACGUCGUCCAAUCGUGUGGUUACCACUACUCUACUUCCGGUAGCAUCGUCUGGAAAGGCACAACUAAUAGUACUCCAUGCAGAUUGAUCCCAUAAGUCAUCAACUAUAAUUAAUUACCUAUUGCAAGUCAUGCAUUAUAUCAGUAUAUGGUUGCAAGGUACAUAGAAGCAUGAAAACUUAAAUGAAGGAAACAAAGUCUGUUAAAAAUGAUUUCAAAUGUCAGUAUUUGAAAAAAAAGAUACCUUUUAUGUUUGAGGUGUUCUCUAAGGCUGUCAAUAACAUCUUGCAGCUCGUAAGCAUGCGAAUAAUCCCGCAUCCCAAGCUUUAGUUGUAGGCCAUUAAGAAGGCUUUUCACUUCUGGCCUUUGGGAGACUGAGAAAAAUGCAUUGCAAUCAAACUGGCCUCCAACCUGAUCAUACACUUGUUUGGCAAGGGUGGUUUUCCCCAAGCCUCCGAACCCCACGAUGGAAAGCACUUUGAGUUUCUUCCCCGAAUCCAUCAGCAAACUCACCAGCUCUUCUCUCGGGCCAUCAAUACCGACAAGGCUUGCUGCCUCCUUGUAGAGCGCUGGGAUCCGAGGAUCCACAGCCACAGGGCCAGGACUCGAAUUGAUGCAAGCAUCAAUAUCGUACCUUCGCGCCGAGCGCUUGCCUCCAUCGCAAGAACCUUGAGCUCCUCGAUACGGCUGGCAAUCUGAUGGCGCCUUCCCAGCCUCCUGAGGCGCUGAGCCAUCUUCCUGACGAAGCCUUUCUUUGCAACGGCACCUUCGAUGUUAUGAAUAAAGUCGUCGAUGCAAUUCUCCAUAUCAUAGGACAUCUCCCGGAUGUGGUCCCUCCAAUUCUUGGUGGAGGGAUCGAGCUCAUCCAUGAGCUCCUUCUUGUCAAGAAGAGCUUUCAUGGCGCUGAGCUCGUCCUUGAGAAAGGAGGCCUGCUUCCUCACCCCGGUGAGCAUCCUGUACUCUUCACUGAGAAGGUUGGUGAGCUUGUCGAGGAGCGGGUUCAUCACCCCCAUUGUCGCACUUGUUGUCAUCCCGAAGGGUGGGCAACGUACUUGAAGGCGAUGGUACCAGAAGCUCGACGCAGGAGGAGCAAGGCGCCGUUGUUUUAGAGAAACUCAGUAGAGAGAGAAUGGAUCGUUGAUCUGAUCAGGGACUCAGAAAAUAGAGCUGGUGAUGAUAAAGCGGUGGUUGUGUGGAAGCACUCGGCCAUCUCUUUCUGAUGAUUAAUCUUCCGCAUUGGAAAAUCGAGGGAAGAAUCUUCCGCGCGCAUUGGUAGUUAAGGUGAUCGACCAGCAGGAAGCAGCACGUUACAUCAAGUAAGAAAAAUAGGAUCUCUCUCAGAAAAAGUGAGGAAAAUAGGAGCCUUGGAAAGUGAUGCGUUGCAUACCCAUUGCUUUUUUUUUUGAGGGGAACUUGCAACUUUAUUUAAAUUUAAACAAAGGUUGGGACCUCGUCCGCUACAAUAUGAAUAAUGCAGUCUGGAGGAAAAUCAUAAAAUAACGAGCUAUCGUUGCACACCCCCUCUCUAGCUAAGCCAUGCGCCGCUCCAUUAGCAGAGCGCCUAACCCACGUGAUUUUGAUCUCUUGCCGCGUCCUCAGCAUCUCCUUGAUCUCCUCGACAACCGGGCCAAAAGACGAAAGGUUCAUGCCAUCACCCUGUAGCAUGGCCACCACCUCCUGACUAUCCAACUCGACAUGUAGCCGUUGCACAUCCAUAGAGAUCGCCAUUUGCACUGCGCUUUUUGCCGCCAGAAUCUCCGAGAGCUGGGGGAUGCCGGCACCUGGGAAGCAUAUUGCAGCCCCCCCUCUAAAGGCACCAUGGUGAUCCCUAAGGACCACUCCUCCUCCCCCCUUGUCAUCCGUUCGUGACGUCGCUCCAUCCGCGUUAGCCUUGAUCCAGCCCGGGUCCGGUGGACACCACCUUUCCGGUCGCCUUGGCUCCUUCACCAUCGCCUCCUUGGAGUGAACUUGACGCCAUUCAUGGAUAUGAGCGUGAACUUUUUCUGCCAACUCUCGAGCGUCUUGGAUCCUUCUGCCGUCCCUAGUAUCAUUUCUCGCGCACCAAAGCCCGUACAAUGCCUGGAUCAUUGUUUCCCGUUCAGCUCCGCCCGCUUCCGCCAGCCACGCCUUGAACCACGCAACCAGAACAGACAGGGAUCCAUCCAUCACCGGUGGCAUGACAACCGGCUCCGCCAUGCGCUCGCACAAAUGUUUCCAGAAUAGCACGGAGUGGGGGCACGCCCAAAAUCGAUGGUGUAUAGUUUCUUCCCUACCACAUGCGCAGCAAAAUACACCAGGCUUGAUAAGUCGACGAUGCAGCUCGGUUCAACAGCGAGGCCAUUCUUCAGAAGCCUCCAGGUAUGUAUCUUGGCCUUCCCCGGCGCAUUAGUGUCCCAUAGGGCGAGCCAAGCCUUGUGUUCAUUGCUGGGCAUCGACGAUCCCGGCUGUCCGGUUUUCGCGUCCCGCAAACUCAAUCCAAAGUCGUAAGCUGACUUGACAGUAAACUCACCGUUCUUGGUGAAGUUCCAUGCAAUGUAAUCUUGCAUGUUCGCCNNNNNNNNNNNNNNNNNNNNNNNNNNNNNNNNNNNNNNNNNNNNNNNNNNNNNNNNNNNNNNNNNNNNNNNNNNNNNNNNNNNNNNNNNNNNNNNNNNNNNNNNNNNNNNNNNNNNNNNNNNNNNNNNNNNNNNNNNNNNNNNNNNNNNNNNNNNNNNNNNNNNNNNNNNNNNNNNNNNNNNNNNNNNNNNNNNNNNNNNNNNNNNNNNNNNNNNNNNNNNNNNNNNNNNNNNNNNNNNNNNNNNNNNNNNNNNNNNNNNNNNNNNNNNNNNNNNNNNNNNNNNNNNNNNNNNNNNNNNNNNNNNNNNNNNNNNNNNNNNNNNNNNNNNNNNNNNNNNNNNNNNNNNNNNNNNNNNNNNNNNNNNNNNNNNNNNNNNNNNNNNNNNNNNNNNNNNNNNNNNNNNNNNNNNNNNNNNNNNNNNNNNUGAUAUCCUCAAUAUCUCCCGGUGUAAACAUGAGCUGCAGCUUGUCCUCGUCCCAUGCAUCCCCAGGUCCGUUUAACAAGUGCCGUACAUGUGUGAUCCCUGGAACGAAUUGCUGCCCGAGCGGUUGAAGGCUGCCUUGACGCGGAAUCCAGUUAUCAUGGUGGAUUUGGAUGGAUGAACCAUUCCCAACACGCCACACUAUGCCCUCCCUCAAAAGCUCUCUGCCAUGUAUGAUGCUUCGGAAAGUGAAGGAACCGCCAGUUGGGCAAGUUGCAUUCAUGAUUGAUCCCUCCGGGAAGUAUCUUGCCUUAAGAACCCAUGCACACAACGAGUUUGGGUACUGAAGUAUUCGCCAUGCUUGCUUCGCAAGAAGAGCUUGGUUAAACACCGCCGUAUCCCGAAAUCCCAUUCCUCCUUCUCUUUUUUCCUUACACAUUUUCUUCCACGCCAACCAAUGCACCUUCCUCUCUCCAUUUGCCUCUCCCCACCAGAAGUUAGACGAGAUCGAAUUCAGGUUCCAGCACAUGUUCUUGGUGAGGUGGAAAUAGCUCAUAGUGAGAGUUGGUGUGGAUUGUAGGCCUGACUUAACAAGAACUUCUCUUGCCGCCUUAGACAAUCCUUGUCCCUUCCAUCCCGAGACCUUACCCGCUGAACUUUCCUUGACAUGCUUAAACGUCCCAUCUUUAGAUCUAACAACCAAUGUUGGUAGUCCUAGAUAUUUUUCACUCAACGCUUCAGAGUUGAUUCCAAUGAUACGUUGAAGUUCAGCCCUGCGUGCAUUCCCACAUCCUUUCCCAAAAAAUAUAGAUGAUUUUUGAAGAUUAACUUUCUGCCCCGAGGCCUCCUCAUAAACCUGCAAAAUAUCCCUUAAUGCCUCAAAAUUGCUGCUCUUCCCUUCGAGGAACACAAUACUGUCAUCUGCAAAAAGAAGGUGUGUGAUAUGGGGGCCAGUGCCGCCAAAAGACACUCCUUUGAGACUGUUAUCCUGUUGGGCCGCUUUCAACGGCGCCGAGAAGCCUUCCACACAGAACAAAAACAAAUAUGGAGACAGCGGAUCACCUUGUCGCAAGCCUCUAGAAGGAAGAAAGCCUCUCGAGAAACCACCAUUUAAUUUAACCGAGAACCUGGCAGAAGUGACACACCUCAUAAUCAUGUGAAUCCAGGGUUGAGCGAAACCAAAUCUAUCAAGCACCUGCUCCAAAAAAAUCCACUCCACCCGGUCGUACGCCUUCAUCAUAUCCAACUUCACUGCACAGAGCGGUGUCUUCCUCCUCCGCACCCUAAUCGCAUGUGUGCAUUCGUAUGCCACCAACACAUUAUCUGUCAUAAGCCUUCCCGGAACGAAAGCACUCUGUUCCUCAGAAAUGAGCACCCGAAGGAUAACCUUGAGCCUGUUAGCAAGCACCUUGGUGGCAAUCUUAUACAACACAUUGCAUAGACUAAUCGGACGAAACUGGGUCAGAAGUUCCGGGGAGUUUACUUUAGGUAUCAUCACAAUCACCGUAUCAUUAAAGGAAUCAGGAGUAACUUCGCCCGAAAGAAAACCUCUAACCGCGGAGCACACGUCUGCUUUUAACAGUGACCAGUGUCGCUGAUAAAAGAGAGCUGGCAAUCCAUCUGGGCCGGGCGCCUUUGUAGGCCCCAUCUGGAAGAGAGCCCGCUAAAUUUCGUCAUCCGAUAUAGGGGCCGUUAACUUGUUAUUCAUCUCCUCAGAAAUAGCCGGGACAAAAUCAUUGAGAAGUCUCUCCGCAUGUGUUGACCCUUCUGAACUGAACAACUUUUCAUAGAAGGAGGCCGCCAACUCCCUCAUUCCUUCAUCAUCCGUGCACCUACUGCCGUUCUCCCUUACCAGCGCCUUGACAGUGUUCUUUCACUUACGAUGAGACGCCCGGUUCUGAAAAUACUGCGUAUUCCGAUCUCCCGCCUUAAGCCAAUCCACCCGUGAUCGUUGUUUUUGCAUGAUUUCUUCCCUGUCAUACACCUCAUUAAGUUGACUCUCAAUAUCUCGGACCUCGGCCAUUAGUCCAGUGACCAAAAAGCCCUCUGUUUAGCGUAAAGGAGCUGCUCCUUAAGCCUGGAAAUCUGCCUCCUCACCAAGCCAAAAACAGUCCGGCCCCAUCCUUGCAGGGCUUUUGUCAUUCCAUGUAGCCUAUCGCAUACCGCCCUUGUUGUCAUGUUUGAUCCCCGUACUUGUCCCCAAGUCCGAGCCACCAUCGCCUCAUAAUCGUCAUGGCGCAGCCACAUCUCUUCGAACCGAAAGGGGCGGUCCCCUCUCGGCCGAUCAGCUACUAUGUCCCGCACCCGCACCAGCACUGCCAUGUGAUCGGACUCUUCCGUGACAAUAUUCUCCACACUUGUUUCCGGGAACAGCCUCAUAAAGUUGGCAGUGCAAGUCGCCCUGUCAAGUCGCACCUGAAUGUUGUCCAUGUUGUCUUGUUUGUUAUCCCAUGUGUACUGGUAGCCCGAAGGUCCCAAAUCUGCCAAACCGCAGUCAGUUAGGCAGUCACUGAAGGCUUGCAUCUGAACAAAACUCCUCGGGUUGCCACCUCCGUUGUAGUCCCCAACACACAGCCAUGGUAAUUCAUCUUGAGCUCGAAGAUAGCGGAUAGCAUCCCAUGUUUUCUUCCUCAGCUCCGUUCUUGGCUCCCCGUAGAUUCCAGUGAACCUCCAGGUGUGCCCCUCUGAGCUAAUCUCCGCAUCAAUAAAAUACUGGCUCCAAGGCCUAACCGAGACCUUCAGGUGUUCUCUCCACCAGAGAGCAAGCCCCCCGCUCUUCCCAUUACAGUCCACUGCCACACCACUUCGGAACCCGAGCCUCCAUUUGAGUCUCUCCAUAGCCUUUGCACUCUUCUUAGUUUCUGAUAAAAAGACCACCGCUGGGUUGUAUGACCGUAUAAGGUCCCGGAGUUCGCCAACUGUCGAGUCCAACCCCAGUCCUCGAUAGUUCCAGGCCAAGCAAUUCAUUGAUCCCGGCGGCCCCGACUCACGGGGUCCGCCGAUGAAUGAGGUUCUUCGAUGCGGUCAAACACGGAGACAGUUUUCUGUCGUGUGUCGCGAAUGAACGAAUCAUGCUCCACUUGUCUGUCUGGGUCUCCCUUUGCUCUCCAGAUUUGCUUGGGUGGCCUCUUUUUCCCCGACACCUUCUCUCUAUAAACCUGAUGAGUUUCUCUUGCCAAGUCACUGUGCGCCCUCGGCCUCCGGACAUACCUGCCCUUGGUCCUCUCCACCGGACCCACUGCAAAACCCUCAAAGUGAUCCCAUCGGCCAUUGCGGUCAGUUCGAUGGCCCUUGGUCGGCGUCGUCCUGCGUUUGUCCUCCACCGAACGAUCUGCAUGGCGCCGGUCCUCGUGAUAUGUGCCUGCAUGGCGUUUCCCUCCGUCCACAUUGCUCGCAUGAUUCCUUGCCUCGGAAGGAGAGCCUGCAUGUUGUUGCGCCCGACGGGGUGAUCCGCCCAUUCCCGCAUUUAAACGUUGUGACAACUCAGCCCUAAGGUUCUGUUCCCGUUUGUGCUCAAGCUUUUCUCUGAGAUCGCUACUCUGUCCAUCCCUCAUCUUAGCCGCGUCCUUCACCGGGCUAUUUACCUCUCUCUGAUCAUUCCUCGACCCCCCGCCAGUGCGUGAGUCUGCCGUAUGAAUAAAAUCUCUGUUUAAGUUCCUUUUAACUGGUUGCUCCCUAGCAGGAACAUGACUGAACUGGGAUCUCUCUCUGUCCUCCGUUCUUGAUCCCCCUCCACUAUACGAGCUGGAAGUAGGAAUCUGCGAAUUAUCCUUCAAAGAGGAAGAGCCUCUCCCCAUGGAUGCUCUGAGCCAAGGUCCCCAUUGGCUGGACCUGUCCACCGGUGGGUCACACCCACCCUUUCCGUGCACGAGUCUGCCACAGUCAAAGCAGAAGUGCGGAAUUUUUUCAUAUGUAAAAUCGUACCACGUCCCCUCCAAGUCCUCCAUUGAGGUCCUUAGACGAGCUCUUCGGAUCAGAGGCUCAAAAACUGAAAUCUUAGUCCGCACUCGCAGAUACUCCCCCUUGGCGAAACCAUCCUUCUCCACAUCCACUUUUACCACUUCUCCUAACCAAUCACCCAAAGCAUUGCCAAACGAUUCCGUCCUCAUACCCAGUGGUAGAUCCGGGACUCGCACCCACAUCUCAACUAUGUCAAAAACCAUCUCCGACGGACGGACAUCCCCCACAUAAUCUUUCAGAACAAGCACAUGAAAAUCAAAUUGCCACGGGCCGUUGUUCAAAGCAUGUCUCCAGUCCCCUUCACUGCCAAAUCUCACCUCGAAGAAGUUAUUGCCUAAGUCCUUGAAUUUGGCCUCCUUAUGAAGUCCCCAUGCCCGUGGCAUCGCUCUCUCCAACGCAUGCUUGUUAAGAGGUCGUGGUGAGUAAACCUUCCCCACCGCCGACCACUUUCCCGUCAUGGCUUGGAGCACUGGAUCUGAGAAGAUAAACCCUUGUUUCUCUUUGUCCGUCAGAACCAGUCCGCCAAAGCUCUCGGACAGGCUGGCUGCCUCCGCCGUCGUCUUGCCAUCAGCCGGAGAGGUCGAAGCCCCCCGACUCGUUGAUCCCUCCGCCGCCUGUGUAGCCCCCGCCACCGCAGCGUUCUUCAUGGGAGUGGCCCUCUGACUCGGCGUUGCCGCCCCCUUGCCAACGUUCUCCUCCAUGGAACCUCCACACGGGAGAUCCAGAUGCUUGCGCCGAUCAACUACCCAAGCAGCGCCGUCGCCACUCAAGCAAUCACCAGAGAUCUCAACCUCACCCCCGUGCAAGAAAGCCUAACCCUAGCGGCAGCCUAGCAAUCGCCUCGCGAUCGCCUUCUCCGUCGCCCGAAGGAAUUUCCUGACGUGGUGGACCCGCUUGGUGACGCUUGCAUACCCAUUGCUGAAGCAGUGGACGUAAGUGUUCGGUGAUGCAAUAAUAGUAGUAAGCUGAUUGCUAGAGGUCAUUGAAUGGGUUGGCAAUUUGGAAAACGAUGGAUCGAUGGGCACUCAUGAUCUUUAUUGGAGACAACCCAGAAAUUGCAGCAUUCAACUCUAGCUAGUUGCUGGAGGAGGGUUCCUCACACAGACUGGUCACACACCAAGGAUGGCCUCCCCUGGUUGGAAUCUUCCACGCGCAUCGGUAAUUAAGGCGAUUGACAAGUACUCCCUCCGUCCGAAAAUAUUUGUCAUUGAAAUAGAUGUAUCUAGAUAUAUUUUAGUUCUAGAUACAUCCAUUUUCAUCCAUUUUGAUGACAAGUAUUUCCGGACGGAGUAGCAUGUUACUACAUCAAGUGAGAAAAAAUGGGGGCCUUGCAAAGCGAUAUGUUACCUACGCGCACCUUGCUGCUGAACCAAUGGACGUAAGUGUUUCAGUUGUUGGAAUUAACCACGUCGUGGUGUUCGACGCAUACAAUGUACAAGAGAGGUGAAGGAAGGGUUCGUCUACAAGUUGGCAUCUACGUCGACGAUCUAACUGGUAUCUAGAGCAAGGUUGAUCUUCUAUUGUGGAAUCGUCCGGAGCGGCUAAAGUACUUGCCGUGCCCGGUACGUCAUGCCCACGGUUUGAUCGCGAGAAUUUCGGGGUCUGGAAGGCCCUCAUGGAGUGUGGCUCCGUGCCAACGAGCUAUGGGACGCGGUUGAUCCAGGAGGCGACGCGUUCAAGAAGGAGGGAGCCGAGCACCGAAAGGAUCGGUAGGUGGCCUCGGAGAUUUACUCGGUGAUGUCGAUGGAUGUCCUCCAACACCUAAUCGCCAAAGAAACGGCAAAGGAGGCGUGAGAUACUUUGAAGCUCAUGUUUGAGGGACACACCCGUGUCAACCAAGGCAAUCUCCAAACUCUCCUAAGGAACUACGAGACUUUGGUCCUGGGCGACAAUGAGUCUGUGGAUGCAUUCGCUUCACGGGUGGCUACUCUCUUCAAUCGGAUUUGCGCGCUUGGAGAAAACCACACGGAGGCCUCAGUUGCCCGGCGGUUCUUGCGCGCGUCCCCUCCCUGGUACCUGCAAAUUGUCACGGCGAUCGGGCAGUGCGUCGAUAUAGUGACUCUCUCCACUGACGAUCUCGUCAGACGCUACAAGGCUCACGACGAGCGCAUGUGGUACAGUCUCGGGGAUGGGAGGAACGAUGAGCAUGUCAUGCUCACCCGAGCUCAGUGGCUAGCGCUGGACUCAAGGAGAGGAGCCGAGGGCUCUAGCAGCAACACUCGCCAAGAUCGUGCGCCAAAAGAACAAAGUAAGAAUAACACCGACGACUGUGCUCCGAAGAAGAAGUUCGACAAGCACAAGAUCAAGUGUCACAACUAUGGCAUCAUGGGACACUUCAAGUCGGAGUGCAAGAAACCACAGAAGGAGAAAGCUCUCAUGGCCAAAGGAGGCGAUGAUGGAUACAUGAUGCUCAUGGUCGAAGUAUGCGAGCUAAUGGACGAGGAUAGUCUAGCUCCAAAGGCGCUAGGUAUAAAGGUUGUCACGCUCAUGGAGGAGGCGGCCUAUCUUCAUGACAAGAAGAGGAUGAACGCGGCGAGGCACGUGUGGUACCUCGACAUGGGCGCUAGCAACUACAUGACCGGCGACAAGACCAGUUUUCUGAUUUUAGUCUUUCGGUGGUAGGCACGAUUCGGUUCGGCGACGGACGAACCGUUGACAUCGCAGGGCGAGGUAUUGUCCUGUUUGAGUUGAAGAACGACCGCCACAAGGUACUCACAGAUGUGUACUAUAUUCCCAAGCUAAAGAGCAACAUCAUAAGUCUUGGUCAGCUCGAGGAGCGUGGUUGCAAAAUUGUGCUCGAAGAUGGCUAUCUAUGGGGGUAUGAUCAUGAAGGAAAUAUGCAUUAGAGACAAUAAUAAAGUUAUUAUUUUAUAUUUCCUUAUUCAUGAUAAAUGUUUAUUAUUCAUGCUAGAAUUGUAUUAAUUGAAAAUUUGAUACAUGUGUGAAUACAUAGACAAAACACCAUGUACCUAGUAUGCCUCUACUAGACUAGCUCGUUGAUCAAACACUACUAGGAAAAGGCCUACUAAUGGCGCACCGGUUUUGCCUACUAAUGGCGCGCUACCGGUGCGCCAUUAGUAGCACGCCACUAGAAGUUUUUCAAUUGGACCAUAGUACAUACUAAUGGUACACAUCAUCGCGAUCAAACUGGUCUUCAUCUGGUUCCUCCAACGCUCCCUCCUCUCUCCCACUAGAUAGCGGGUGUAUCUAGAUUCGGCCUCCGCCCUAGUGGUGUACCCUUUGUAACUGUUACCUUUGAAACGGUGAACCUGUCUCCGACACUCCUCCCAGUCGUCGUAGACUCCGGGAACCUUACCCUCAUACACGACAUACUACGACAUCUCUAUGCACAAGCCAAACAACAGACAACAGACAAUACAUAAGCAAUAUGUAAGUAUGCAACAAAAGGAUCGGAAGAGAAAAGCAAGACAUUAAUAGCACGAUUCAUGAUCCUACUAAUAAAUAGCAUCGAUUACAUCUAAGUUGAAUGACUGUCCAAACCAAAGAGACAUACGAAUUCAUUAAAGUUUAAUUACAACAUGAGCCAAUCAAUGUUUCAGAACUACACAUCACUACUUUCGACUCGACUCAUCGGACAGCAGCGUGGAUGAAGCCGUCGUCUGUCGUGAUGGUCAUGAAAUCGCGGUCGUUGUCACCCUACAUUUGUAGCGUUCAAUCUAUCUCAUUGUUGGACGGUUAAUAUCUGAGGUAGAACUGCCCCGAGGUAUGAAGGACAUCUUGAUGGAUGAUGUCCGCAAACUCCGACUGGAUGCGAAAGAAUUCUUGUCUGAGGUCUGCAUCCUGGGUUGCCGACAACCUCGCGGCCCAAUCUUUGAGACUAUCUGGUAGCAGAAGUUGAUGAUGGUCCCUUACGAUCGCCCGCAUGUGAUGGAGGGCGUAGUAGGCAUCCUUCUGACAGCCAGGCGGCUGCUUGACGCAGUAGAAAUUCGUAUUGUGUGAGAAGGUGUGCUUGCCAUACUUACGAACUGCCCUAGUGAAGGUGCCUCCAGAUUUGGCGUAGCCGGGGAGAACAUCAUCAAGAACUUUCUUGACAUUUGUGUAGUCUAUCUUGGAGUUACGGUUCGGGUCGAAAUACGUGGCCAUGGAAUAUUUCGGGCUUAAGAGGAUGAGUGUGCAAUGUGUGUCACUGCACAGAACACGGAAUGUUAGAAAAAAAAGAACGAUCAAAAUCGAAGAAAUCAUAUGUUACGUGGCGGUUAAGGGAUGACUUACUCGGGAAAGUAAGCCACAAGGAAGUUAUCCUUAUCUGGGUUUGCCAGAAUGACGCCUUCGAGGUGUGAACUCGCAACUUGGCGGUCCCCUGCGCUGCUCAAGUGCUUGGCACGCAUGUAGAAGGGGUCGACUAUCACGAUGUCCGGGGUCUUGUCUCUAAUGAUCCGCAUCUCCAUACUCAGCGAAAACAGCCGAACGAAGGUGUAGUGCAGCGGAUGAAGGUUGAACAUAGCAAAGAUGUCAUCAAACCGCAGGACGAUCGUACCCCCGAUGUCGCCAUCCACAAAGCCCUUGCCCUCUGGCACCUUGGCCACGAAAACCGGGUAUGCCACAUCAUUCUCUUUGAGACGCCGCUUCUCCAAAGAAAGAACACUGUCGUGCAGACUCCGCAUAGCACCGGUUGCAGCAUUCAGCAUAUUUGGCGGUAGCAUCGCCCUACCCGCCACAUGCACCCUCCUCGAGAUAUCCUUAGGUGAAGGUGGCCCAUCCUGAGCACGAAUCGAACUCGGUGCCGUCUGGCUCGCACCGGCGCCCUUGUUAGUCUUUCGUUACCGUCCCUUCUUCUUGAUCUCCUGUAAUGGGACCGAGUUCUGCUCACAGACCGCCUUCUUGAGCGUGUUGGGGCUGAUAAUAUUUCGCACCUUAGCUAUCUGAGGCUCGGUGAAGGCGGGAGCUGGAGGCUUGUCCUGAGAACUAAACGCCAGAUGACGCCUGUUGCAAUUGGAUUUCUCUGCCGUACCAGCUAGAUCGCGGUCGUCUUGGUUGGAUUCUUGAGAAAGAGGCCCGCAGAACUCGUCAGCGUGCCCAUGUUCGGCAAAGUACUUAUCAACUUUGGUAAAUGUACCGUCGUCAUUGUCGUUGCCGUCCGGAUCCUGUGCCAUAGGGUUGUAUGGAUCCUGUGCCAUAGGGAUGUCCAGCAGGUCCGGUAGCGUUGCGGCGUUCUUGCCAUGGCUUGGCACCGGCACGACUGGCGGUCUUGUCUGUGGGGUGGUGUCCCCCGCCCCAAACGAAUCUGGCUCUUCGGCCAAAGCAGGGGGCAGUUUACGCAGGCGCUGAGGGUCAUCUCAUCUUCUUCGUCGGCCCCAGCAGGUCGAAUCGGAGGUAACAGCUCGUCGCAGCCUUGCAGCACCCAAACCACUUCAACCCUAUACACUUUGGGUGGCAUCGGAUUACCGUGGACCAUGGGGUGGCCUGGUUGAACGAUUCUGCCCUUGGCGACAUCGACCAACUCGGUGCCCACGAAGUGCAGAAGAGUGCAAGGAACGUCGGCGGUGCCCUGCGAAAACAUGUACAGGGCGUCAGGGAUGCCCAGUCAAAGGCAAGGAGAUGAAGUCAUCGGCCGAGAGUCUUAGUUACCGUAAUGCCGUCGAGCUCGGCUAAUGUCGAGGCACCGCCAACGGCGGGCGUGCAACUGACGGAGGGGGCGCUUGCUGGCGAGGUGCCGGCCGGCAUACACCCGGGUGCAUUAAGCUCCAAUGCUCGUGCCGGCGCCGGAGACACGAAUACCGCCUCCGCCGGAGACACCAAUGGCACCGCCGCCGGAGACACCAAUGGCACCACCGGAGCCACCAAUGGCGCCGCCUGCGCGUUGUGCGAGUUGCUGGCCGUGAAGCUGGGAACCGGGGGAGGCCCCUGUUGGCCGCCCGCAAUCCACGUCGUCAGCCCAUGAAUCAACGUAGGCACCAUGGCGUUGAGCUUCAUUCCCAGUUGUUGUUCCACUUGCUCUUGGACAAGCUCCGGAAUCCGCGCCACUUGUGCCUUGAGUUCUUCAACCUCGCGCGUCUGGCUUUCCGAGCUGGUCUUUUUUCUCCUUCCGCACACCAGCGGUAUAGUAUGACCCCCAUUUUGUGGACAAGCCUUUGCCGGCCACACGACCAGCUGACAUCGGCUUAGUGAGCUUAUCCUUGUUUUUCAUUACGUUCAACGCCCUAUUUAAAGGGGUGUCGAAAGGGGAGCUCUGAGACGACCCCGCGCUACUGCUUUCAGUGUCCUGCGAAAGGAACGUGAACCAUUUAGAAAUAUUGGGGAUUAAUUAGAGUGCAACCAUAUGGGCUAAUUACGUGGGGGGGUGUAUUCCUUACCAAAACAAGCUCAAGCGCCCUGGUCUUCGGAUCCGUGGUAAGCUCCUUUGUUAUUGGGUCCUCCUUGUACCGGGCCCUGACAUAGUUCCUGGUCUGCUUGUUACCGUUGUAUUUCUCGAAGCGGGGCGGUAGGCCUUGCUCGGCACGCUCCGUGUCCUCCUUGUCCCAUAUAGGCUCCGCCACUCUGUAACCGCCGGGACCGAGUUUGUGUUCCCCUAAGUUCAACUCCCGCAUUUCUUUCCCCCACUGACUUGAUUCGGAGGUUGCACUACUCUCGCACUUGAUCUUGAACUCCUUGUACUCAUCUUCGCUCAUCAAAGGAUAUUUCGCCUUGAUCUUCUCAUAACUAUCACCUUUAUCAAUCAUUCUCUUCACCGCGCUUCUCCAAGUAGACAGGGCCGUGCUCAUCUUCGUGAGGGCGGCACUGUUCACUUUAUUCCCUGAGAGGCGUGUGUUCUCAAAUUUGGCAGGGAACUUGUAUCGUUCGUGCAGCUUCGUGAAGAGGAGGUUGCGCAAAUUCCCUCGGUCCUUAUGCCUAAGGUUCUCGGUGUUGAUCGAGACGGUGCUCCGGAGAAUGCACCCGAGCUGAACCGAGUACCCCUUGACUAUAUGUUUGGGCUCCGUUGGAUUCCCGUCGGAGUCCACUUGAGUGAAUUCCUCCUUGAGGGUGCGGAGCGCAUUCGGGCGCCGGUCCUUCCUUUGCUUCUUCGGUUGGCUACCAUCUGUGUGUGCGCCACCAUCAUCAGUGGUGGCAUCCUUGGCGGCACCAUCAAUGGUGUCAUCCCCGACACCACUAGGGGUUGUGUAAUUAGGAUCAGUGUCUUCCGCGGCGUCCUCAUAGCGGUGAGGUUGUUCCUCCAUCUCCUGGGACAGCUCCCAGAAUUGCUUGCCGCCCGAACCACCAGCCUCAUCGUUGUGGGCCAUGUUUCGCUCUAAAUAGGAAAAAAGUUUGGUCAAAAAGUUGGUUAUUGUCAAGGAACAAGAUCAUGGUCUCAUCAUUUAGGGUUUGUCGACACCGAGGCACCCUAAAAGCCUAAGCUUUCAUCAUUUAGGGUUUGUCAACGCCGAGGCACCCUAAAAGCCUAAGCAUACAUCAUUUAGAUUCUCAUCGACACCGAGGCAUCCGGGGCAGCCAAGUUAAGUUUUCAUCAUUUAGGGUUUAUCGAUGCCGAGGCACCCUAGGUUGGGCCUAAUCACUUGUCACUAAUCACUUGGCUCUAUUGCCACCUAUGUUGGGUUUAUCAUCUAGGGUUUAUCGAUGCUAGGGAGAAUUCUAAGUUGGGCCUAAUCACUUGGCUCUAUUGCCACCUAUGGUUUAAUGCAGCAAGAAUGGCAGGGCAGUUGAUCCUACUUAACUAAGUACUAAGAUACCCCAGCCCAUGCAUUAGUCGCAAGUACCCCAUAUGUCCUAUUUUUAGCAAAGUCAUGCUAAAAUUCACGGAAAAUUUUAGCAUGACCUUUGCUGAAAAUAGGACAUAUGGAGUACCCGAAUUUGCCGAAACGGAAAUUAAUCGAUAUUCCGGCAAACUCAAGGGCCUCUCGGGGUACCUGCAAAUUCAUCACGACACAAUUGUCGGAGACAAAACCCAGCAAACUAGCAAGAUGAUCGUCAUCUUUGCAAGACAGUAGCUCAAGUUUUUGACAGUAGCCUCUGAAGAAAAUAGCAUUGCAACAUUCAAGUUCACACAUACACACUAAACAUUUGACCAGUUACCUCUGAAGAAAAAUAUACGCUGACUAUUGGACACAAAGAAAACAGCUAUUGUAAACAUUAAGUCAUGGUAGUGUGCGCUGAAGCAAUUACAGUAUAGGAACAACAACACAACAAUAGCAAAUACAAGUCCUCAGUAAGUGUAAGAGAAGUGUACUAGAGCUGUAAACAGACUUAAAAAACCAACAUGAUGUUAUAAUUGUAUACACUGAACAUGAUGAUACCAAAUGGGAAGGAAAAUUGUAUCACUCUAGAUUAGUGUAGCCACUAUCUAACAAAACUAGAAUGUUAACAAAAUUACACCAUGAUGAUACCAAAUUCUUGUAGCAGUACAAUGAGUUCACAGGAUAAAAAAAUCAUCCACAUUCACCAACCCAAACUGGUGGAGAUACAGCAAACCAGAACCUCCCAGGUUUUUGCCAUUUUAUUUUUCCCACCGUAUAUGUUUUUUGAUUCAUCUCAUGGUACUUGCUGUCAAACCAAGUAUUUUCUCUCUACAUAAUCUGGGAAGUUUCUUUCUUACUGUCUCACUAUCUUACUGUCUCACUACAAAAAACUAGUAUGCUUAGUUGAGACUAGUAUGCUUAGUUGCAUUAUGACAGGCAAAGUGUCACAAUUCAGACAACAUAGCAGCUAAGCAUAGCAAGUGGAUAGUUUAGUUAGUAUACUAGUACUCUUUAGAAAGCAUGAGACAUAUAUUACCUGGAGGAGACUUCGUCGGAGAGUUGCCUGUGAAUUGAAAAUACAACGAGAUCAGCAAAGGACAGUAAUAUAUAUAUUGAAAUUAUCAUAACAAAAUGCCAGCUACUGCCAUGGUCAAAGAAUAGAUUAUGAUAGCUGGACAAGUACAGGUCGAACUAGAUAAUUUUCAGAACCGGUUUAACCACCGCAGGAUAAAACAAUGCAUCCAAGACUGGGCUUAGACUAAUAUCCUCAUAGCAUAAUCUGACAUCAAGCAACUAUUAUAAGAACAGUGAAAAUGUAUGUUCACUGCAAAUGAAUAUGGACCAAGUGUUCUCAUUAACUACUUAAAGAUGCAUGAGAAUUGAUCCCAAGGACCAACUCCUAAACUGAACACAAAAAACUGUGUGCACAUCUGCAAGUUGUAGAAGGAAAAGGUGCAACACUAAAAAACUAUCAAACUAACAGAUCCAUUAAUCAAUUAUGGACUUCUUACAUGUUACAUCUAUCAUUAGUGGCCAAAAAUAAUAGUAAUUAAUGUUUCAUAUUGUUGCAUGAAUCCAAACUCACUGGAAAAUUCACUAAUUGAGCCUAGCUACUUAAAGAAAGAAUCUCUAGGUGGAUGCUUAGUUGAGACUAGUAUCCUCUAAAAUGCAUCUAAAUGCAAGCUCAGAGAUUUGAACAUUUGGAAAACCCUAGCUACUUAAUCCUCCAACCCCCUUUCCUUGUCAAAAUUUCUCCAACCCCCAACCCUAGAACACAUCAGAAGGAAAUAAAGAGGGGGAAGAGGGGGAAGCGGCUUGGGUGCUCACUUGGGAGGUCGAGGGCGACUCGGGGCAGCCGGAGCUAGUCGAGGCGGCGCGAAUUCGGCGUCGAGCGGUGGCGGUCCUCCUGGGCAGGCCGCGCAGUCGAGGGCGUCGAGCGGUGGCGGUCCUCCUAGGCGUCCGAGCUCGUCCGGGUCCUCGUAGUCGAAGAGGAAGAUGGCGGCGGUCCUCCUGGGCAGGCCGCGCGGUGUUGGACGGCGAGCAUGUCGAGGGCGCAGGCGGGGCUGCGGGGGAAGGGGGCGCUUGGGCGGGAGGACGUUGAGGGCACUCGGCUCGGGGACGGCGAGGGAGGCGGCGCUCGGCUCGGGGACGGCGAGGGAGGCGGCGAGGGAGGCGGCGCUCGGCUCGGGGACGGCGAAGGAGGCGAGGGGGGUGGCGAGGGGGAAGCUUUCUAAUGGCGCACCACCCUCUCGUGCGCCAUAAGUACGACUAUUCUAAUGGCGCACCACCCCUCGGUGCACCAUUAGAAUUUUGUUUUAAUCUAUCCCACUAGCCCUAUCUACAACCUAACCCUAUCUACAACAGAACCCACCCACUAGCCCGACUGGUUAGCAUGCAGCACACACACCAGGAGGUCCUCGGUUCGAUUCCUAGGCUCCCCAAUAUUUUUUUAUCCAUUUUAAAUGCUGUUUUUUAUAUUUAUUUGUGUUUAAAUGUGUUCAAACUUGUUUAAAUCAUAACAGUAAUAUUUUUUUAUAAAAACAGUAAUAAUUUUCUAAAAAAUAUGUUCAAAUUUGUUACUUGNNNNNNNNNNNNNNNNNNNNNNNNNNNNNNNNNNNNNNNNNNNNNNNNNNNNNNNNNNNNNNNNNNNNNNNNNNNNNNNNNNNNNNNNNNNNNNNNNNNNNNNNNNNNNNNNNNNNNNNNNNNNNNNNNNNNNNNNNNNNNNNNNNNNNNNNNNNNNNNNNNNNNNNNNNNNNNNNNNNNNNNNNNNNNNNNNNNNNNNNNNNNNNNNNNNNNNNNNNNNNNNNNNNNNNNNNNNNNNNNNNNNNNNNGGCGGCGGCGGUGGAGCGGGGGAGGGUGCGGGGGGCCGGGUGCUCGUCGACGGCGGUGGAGUGGGGGAGGGUUGCGGUGGGUCGGCGGCGGCGGUGGAGCUAGCGGGGGAGGGUGCGGGUGGGAUCGAGAUGGAGGGGGAUCGAGAUCGAGAUGGAGGGGGAAUCGAGAUCGAGAUGGAGGGGGAUCGAGAUCAAGUGUCCUCAUGAAUUCAAAAAGUGCCCAUGAAAUUUAAAAAUAUUCAUGAUAUCAAAAAGUGCCCAUGAAAUACAAUCGAGAAAUGAAGACUACGAUUUAAAUACAGUCGGUCUUAGCUAGCUAUCUGUUCACAAUCUUCUUGCCCUUCUUUUUCGCAAAUGGAGUUCUUCUAUGGAACGGACGUCCUUUAGGUAGGGUGGUCCUGCUUCUUCUUGUGGUGUGUGCUGCUACUUCAUCGUCGUCGUCAUAUUCAAUCUUCGGGUCGCCGUACUUGUCGAAGUCUUGCUCAUUGGCUACUCCAUCCAUUCCGAUGAUCUUCCUUUUGCCUCUCCUCACGACAACACGACUGGGCUUUGACGGGUCGGUAAUGAAGAAGCAUUGGUCCACUUGGGAAGCCAGAACCCAUGGCUCAUUUUUCGCGGUGACGUUUGCGCCCGCGGUCUUGGAUUUGGCUUCGGGUAUAACCAUGGUGGUGAAAUACCGGUCUUCUUUUAGGACGCUCUUGGCCCAUCUGACACGGAAAAUCGGGACCUUCUCUCCAGCGUAGCUCAGCUCCCAGAUCUCCUCGAUCCUUCCGUAGUAUUUGUCCUUGUCGUUGCCGGUGUAGGAUUCCAUCGUUACCCCGGAGUUCUGAUAACCAUCGCUCUUCAUGUCCUUGUUCUCGGUGUAGAAUGUGUAGCCGUUGAUAUCGUACGCCUCAUAGGUCAUCAGGUUGUGCUCGGCGCCCUGUGACAAGGCGAAUAUGAGUUGUUCUUCCGCGGAAGAAUCCUCAUGUAAAGGGUACGACAGAAGCUUCUGCUUGAACCAACGCGUGAAACAUGGGUUGUGCUCUUUGAUUAUAUCUCUGUCCGUCCUCUGUUGGCCUCGGUCAUUGUACGUCUUCUCAAUAAAGGUUUUGUGCUCUACCACCCAAGGAUCGACCACGUCUAUGUGUUGUAGCGCGACUAGGUUUGCUCUUUCAAAGUCGGCGAGUCGACCCUCAAAGUCGACAUGCAUUUUGCGGCGACCCUCACGGUGACCCCAUCCAGCGAGCCUGCCGAGGUGCGUGUUAACGGGCAGACCAAUGGGGUUCUUGAUGCAUAGAUAAUUCGUGCAGUAGGAGAUGCACUCUUCGGUCAGAAAGCCCCUGGCUAUACUUCCCUCUGGACGUGACAUGUUUCGAACGUAUCCUUUGAUGACACCAUUCAUCCUUUCGAACGGCAUCAUGCUGUGCAGGAACGUCGUCCCGAGUUGGAUGAUAUCCUCCACGAUAUGGACCAGCAGAUGCACCAUAACGUCGAAGAAUGCGGGCGGGAAGUACAUCUCAAGCUCGCAUAGUAUCACCACGAUCUCUUCCUGUAGCCUUCUGAGUUGCCUCACGCCAAUGGACUUCUGAGAGAUGAUGUCGAAAAAGUUGCAUAGGCCAAAUAGUGUUUCACGGACGUGCGCGUCCAUGAUCCCACGGAUUUCAACUGGAAGUAUCUACAUCAUCAGCACGUGACAGUCGUGAGACUUCAUCCCGCUGAACUUCUGCUUCGCUGGGUCUAGGUAUCUGCUUAUCUUCCCUGCGUAACCGUAAGGAAGUUUUACUCCUAGGAGGCAGGUGAAAAACUGCUCGAUCUCCUCCUGACUUAGAGUGAAGCACGCGGGAGGGUAGUCAUUUCCGGUCUUCUUGGCCUUUUUGCCUUUGCGACGACUUUCUGUGUCCUGCUUCGCCUCAUCAUCAUCAUCAUCAUUAGCGUGAAGCUCCUGCCUGAUGCCCAUUGAUUUCAAGUCUGCCCUUGCUUUCGGCCCAUCUUUGGUCCUCUCUGGCAUGUUGAGCAGGGUACCAAGCAGACUCUCGCACAUGUUCUUCGUGAUAUGCAUGACAUCAAGGCUGUGAGGCACACAGUGGAUCUUCCAGUACGGCAAGUCCCAGAAAACAGACCUCGUUUUCCAUACCUUCAGCAGUGGCUCUGGCGCCUUUCGCUUCUUUCCCGGCUCUGGCGCCUUUUGCUUCUUUCCCGGCAGUGGGCAGUCUUUCCAAUUUUUCAACAGCUUGUCUAUUUCCUCGCUGCUCCUUGUACACGGGUGUUUUCGGGGUUCGGUUUCACCAUCGAACAGAUCCUUGCGUUUCCUCCACAGGUCGUCGUCGCGAAGCCACCUUCGAUGUCCCAUGAACAUGGUUUUCAAAGACCCGGGAUCUCUAUCUAGCUGGCGAUACGUUGUGUCAUCCAUGCACCUUACGCAUCCAGAAAAUCCGUGGACUACCUGCCCCGCGAGAUAUCCGUAACCGAGAUAGUCGUGCACCGUCGUGAGCAGUGCGGCUCUCAUAGGGAAAUAUUCUUUCUCUGCGGCGUCCCACGUAUUGGCUGGCGUUUUCCACAGCGUGUCUAGCUCCUCCUUCAGCAGCCCCAGAUAUAGAUUGAUGUCGUUCCUUGGUUGUUUGGGCCCUUUAAUUAGCAUACUCAUGUGAAUGUACAUCCUCUUCAUGCACAACCAGGGGGGAAGGUUGUACAUCCACACAAACACAUGCCAGGUGCUAUGUGUGCUUCUCUGGCUGCCAAACGGAUUGACUCCAUCGGUGCUCGCGCCCAGCACGAUGUUCCUUGGAUCCUUCCCAAAUUCUGGGUAUUCGAAGUUCAACGCUUGCCACUGGCUCACAUCCUUAGGGUGACUCAGCAUCUUGUCUUUUUUAUUUAUCUCCAGAUCAUUUCCGUCAUCUUCCCGCUUCUUCUCCUCCCUAUCCGCGUGCCAACGCAGGAGCUUUGCUACCUUAGGGUCCGCGAAGUACCGCUGUAGACGAGGAGUGAUCGGAAAGUACCACACCGAUUUUCGAGGAGCUUUCUUCCUCUUCUUGUAUCGAGUGACGCCGCACACCGGACAUAUGGUAGACUCCACAUGCUCGUCCCGAUAAAUGAUGCAAUUGUUCAUGCACACAUGGUAUUUCACGUGCGGUAAAUCCAGAGGACACACGAUUUUCUUCGCCUCCUCGAAACUGGUCGGGCACUUGUUCCCCUUGGGAAGACGUUCGUGCCAGAUUGACAUGUUCUCGUCAAAGCAGGUGUCGGUCAUUUUGUGUUUUACCUUCAUAUCCAGAGCCAUGAGCGUUACUUUCAGGCGGGUAUCCUCGGGCCUACAUCCUUCAUACAAUGGAGUAACCGCGUCUAUCUCCAGUUGAUCCAGCUUGGCUUUCUCUCGGGCGGCAGCUCUUGCGUUAUCCGUCUGCUUGAGAAGCAGCUCUUGAAUAUGAGGGUCCUGCACCCAUCCUCCAUCAUCGUCUGCUCCGGCAUCUUCAUCUUCAUGAUCAUGUCCUUCGUCUUGAUCUUCCUCAUCAUCAUGUACGACAUCUUCUACAUGAUGACUGUGUACAGCAUCACUGCCGUGAUCAUGUCCUGGAGAUUCUUCGUCUUCUCGCCCGCCCUCGCCGCGGUGGUACUUGUCUUGUUGCCCUUCCUCAUUUCUUGCCUGGCCCCCAUGGACGACUUCAUAGUCAUCUUCAUCACCUUGCCAUCGAUAGCCAUCCAUGAAACCAUGCAAGGGCAGGUGGUCCCGCACCUGCCUAGAAUCCGGGUCCGCAAUAAGCCUCUUCAGCUUGCAUCUUCGACACGGACAUCUUAUCUCCGUCUCGUUCUUUUGAAGCAUCUCGGCCUUCGCGGAGCUCAAAAACCUAUUCACGAUGCCUUCGGUCAUCGUGCGGACCAUGGUGGCCUGCGGGGUAGAGCAAAACGAUAUUUUAGAACCAAGAAAAAAUUUGGCAUGACCUUCCCUAAAAAUAGGACCAAAAAGAAUGCAUAGUGCCAAAAUUCUCGCCGAAACGGAAAUGAAUCAACAUUCCGGCAAAAUAUUGGCAACUAUCGCAUUUCAAAUACCGGUACCUGCAAACACAAACAUAUAUGCAACACCACAAACACAUGCAACACCACAAACAUACUUAGAUCUAGCUAGGCCACAAAAAGUGCAUGUGCACAUUGUUGGAGCGAGCUAGGGAGAAAAAAAGUAGAUCUACAUCAUGAAGAUAGCUUUCCCCUUACUUACCUAUCAAAAAAAGGUAAUGUCACCACUUAAUUUUCAUGAAUCUAUGGUGGAAAUGAGGUGAGGAGGAGGAGGCAGCCGAAAGCUUGGAGAAGGAGGUGGAGGGAAUGAAGUGGGGAAAGUGAGUGGGUAGGUAUGUGGCUGUCCAAAAUAUCUUGUUGGGGUCCCAGGUUACUAAUGGGGCACCACCAGCAAAUGCGCCAUUAGUAACCCUGGUUACUAAUGGCGCACCUGCAGGUAGUGCGCCAUUAGUAGUUUUGCAGAAAAGUAAAAAAUAUAUAUAUACUAAUGGCGCACUGUGGAAAAGUGCGCCAUUAGUAGUUUAAACUAGUAAUGGCGCACUGUGACACGGUGCGCCAUUAGUAGUUUUGCAAAAAAGAAAAAAAAUAUACUAAUGGCGCACUGCCUGCGCGGUGCGCCAUUACUAGUUAGAACUAGUAAUGGCGCACUUCGACCAGAUGCGCCAUUAGUAUGUAUGGAAAAAUGGAAAAAAAAUUAAUACUAGUGGCACACCGAGUGUAUGGUUCGCCAUUAGUGUCUUCCACACUAAUGGCGCAUCAACAACCGGUGCGCCAUUAGUAUAUAGUAGUGGUGCACUACUUACCUGGUGCGCCAUUAGUAUCAAUCCUAUCUAUAGCCCUUUCCCUAGUAGUGAAAGAUGAUUAAGUUUCCUAGCCAUGGACAUGAGUUGUCAUUUGAUAAUCGGGAUCACAUCAUUAGUGGAAUGAUGUGAUGGACAAGACCCAUCCGUUAGCUUAGCAUAAUGAUCGCGCAGUUUUAUUGCUACUGCUUUCUUCGUGUCAAAUAUACAUUCCUCUGACUAUGAGAUUAUGCAACUCCCGACACCGGAGGAAUGGCUGGUGUGCUAUCAUACGUCACAACGUAACUGGGUGAUUAUAAAGAUGCUCUAUAGGUAUCUCUGAAGGUGUUUGUUGGGUUGGCAUAGAUCGAGAUUAGGAUUUGUCACUCCGAGUAUCGGAGAGGUAUCUCUGGGCCCUCUCGGUAAUGCACAUCAUAUGAAGCCUUGCAAGCAAUGUGACUAAUGAGUUAGUUAUGGGAUGAUGCACUACCGAACAAGUAAAUAGACUUGCCGGUAACGAGAUUGAACUAGUUAUGAGGAUACCGAUGACCGAAUCUCGGGAAAGUAACAUAUCGAUGACAAAGGGAAUAACAUAUGUUGACAUUGCAGUUCGACCGAUAAAGAUCUUCGUAGAAUAUGUGGGAACCAAUAUGAGCAUCCAGGUUCUGCUAUUGGUUAUUGACCGGAGAGGUGUCUCGGUCAUGUCUACAAAGUUCUCGAACCCGUAGGUUCCGCACGCUUAACGUUCGAUGACGAUAUGUAUUAUAUGAGUUAUGUGUUUUGGUGACCGAAUGUUGUGCGAAGUCCCGGAUGAGAUCAAGGACAUGACGAGGAGUCUCGAAAUGGUUAUAUACGGACAUCGGAAUGGUACUGGAAAGAUUUGGGAAUUUUUUAGAGUACCGGGAGUUUACUGGAACCCCCCGGGAAAGUUAAUGGGCCUCAUGGGCCAUAGUGGAGAGGAGGAGGCAGGCCACAAGAGGUGCCCCCCCAUGGCAAUCCUAAUUGGACAAGGGGUGAGGGGCGCGGCCCCUCUUUGAUGGGGAACGCAGUAUUUCAAAAGAACAAUCCUACGAUCACGCAAGAUCUAUCUAGGAGAUGCAUAGCAACGAGAGGGGGAGUGUAUCUUCAUACCCUUGAAGAUCGCAAAGCGGAAGCGUUUAUCAACGCGGUUGAUUUAGUCGUACACCUUCACGAUCCAUCCCGAUCAAGUACCAAACGUACGACACCUCCAUGUUCAGCACACGUUCAGCUCGAUGACGUGCUCGCCUUCUUGAUCCAGCAAGAUCGGCGAAGUAGUAGAUGAGUUCCGGCAGCACAACGGCGUGGUGACGGUGUUGGUGAAGAAUAAUCUCCGCAGGGCUUCGCCUAAGCACUACGGAAACUAUGACGGAGGAUAAACUAGAGGGGACGGGGUUGCCGGCACACGGCUUGGUGUUUCUUGAUGUGUCUUUUGUGCUAGCCCUGCCCCUCUAUUUAUAUGUUGAGCCUUGGGGUCUGAUAACCCACAAGUAUAGGGGAUCGCAACAGUUUUCGAGGGUAGAGUAUUCGACCCAAAUUUAUUGAUUCGACACAAGGGGAGCCAAAGAAUAUUCUCAAGUAUUAGCAGUUGAGUUGUGAAUUCAACCACACCUGGAUAACUUAGUAUCUAUAGCAAAGUAUUUAGUAGCAAAGUAGUAUGAUAGUAAUGGUAACAGUGGCAAAAGUAACGGUAGCAGUUUUGUAGUAAUUGUAACAGUAGCAACGGUAAAGUAAAUAAGCAAAGCACAAUAUGUGAAAAGCUCGUAGGAAUUGGAUCAGUGAUGGAUAAUUAUGUCGGAUGCGAUUCCUCAUGUAAUAGUUAUAACAUAGGGUGACACAGAACUAGCUCCAGUUCAUCAAUGUAAUGUAGGCAUGUAUUCCGUACAUAGUCAUACGUGCUUAUGGAAAAGAACUUGCAUGACAUCUUUUGUCCUACCCUCCCGUGGUAGCGGGGUCCUAAUGGAAACUAAGGGAUAUUAAGGCCUCCUUUUAAUAGAGUACUGGACCAAAGCAUUAAAACUUAGUGAAUACAUGAACUCCUCAAACUACAGUCAUCCCCGAGAAGUAUCCUAAUUAUUGUCACUUCGGGGUUGUCGGAUCAUAACACAUAAUAGGUGACUAUAGACUUGCAAGAUAGGAUUAAGAACUCACAUAUAUUCAUGAAAACAUAAUAGGUUCAGAUCUGAAAUCAUGGCACUCGGGCCCUAGUGACAAGCAUUAAGCAUAGAAAAGUCAUAGCAACAUCAAUCUCAGAACAUAGUGGACACUAGGUAUCAAACCCUAAAAAAACUAACUUGAUUACAUGGUAAAUCUCAUCCAACCCAUCACUGUCCAGCAAGCCUACAAUGGAAUUACUCACGCACGGCGGUGAGCAUCAUGAAAUUGGUGAUGGAGGAUGGUUGAUGAUGAUGACGACGACGAAUCCCCCUCUCCGGAGCCCAGAACGGACUCCAGAUCAGCCCUCCCGAGAGAGAUUAGGGCUUGGCGGCGGCUCCGUAUCGUAAAACGCGAUGAAACUUUCUCUCUGAUUUUUUUCUCCGUGAAAGCAAAUAUAGAGAGUUGGAGUUGAGGUCGGUGGACAUCCAAGGGGCCCACAAGGCAGGGGGGCGCGCCCCCACCCUCGUGGAUAGGGUGUGGGGCCACUGGCCUUGAUUCUUUCACCAGUAUUUUUUAUAUUUUCCAAAAGUAAUCUCCGUGGAUUUUCAGGUCAUUCCGAGAACUUCUGUUUCUGCACAAAAAAUAACACCAUGACAGUUCUGCUGAAAACAGCGUCAGUCCGGGUUAGUUUCCAUUCAAAUGAUGCAAGUUAGAGUCCAAAACAAGGGCAAAAGUGUUUGGAAAAGUAGAUAUGUUGGAGAUGUAUCAACUCCCCCAAGCUUAAACCUUUUCUUGUCCUCAAGCGAUUCAGUUGACAAACUGAAAGUGAUAAAGAAAAACUUUUACAAACUCUGUUUGCUCUUGUUGUUGUAAAUAUGUAAAGCCAGCAUUCAAGUUUUCAGCAAAGAUUAUAAACUAACCAUAUUCACAAUAACACUUAGGUCUCAUUUUUGCUCAUAUCAAUGGCAUAAUCAACUAGCGAGCAAUAAUAAUAAAUCUCGGAUGACAACACUUUAUCAAAACAAUCAUAAUAUGAUAUAACAGGAUGGUAUCUCGCUAGCCCUUUCUGAGACCGCAAAACAUAAAUGUAGAGCACCUUUAAAGAUCAAGGACUGACUAAACAUUGUAAUUCAUGGUAAAAGAGAUCUAGUCAAGUCAUACCCUAAACUAAUAGUAAUGCAUGCAAAUGAAAAUGUGCUCUCCAGCGGGUGCUUUUUAAUAAGAGGGUGAUGACUCAACAUAAAAGUAAAUAGAUAGGCCCUUCGUAGAGGGAAGCAGGGAGUUGUAGAGGUGCCAGAGCUCGAUUUUAAAAUAGAGAUGAAUAACAUUUUGAGCGGUAUACUUUCACUGUCAACGCAACAACUAUGAGAUCUCGACAUCUUCCAUGCUACAUACAUUAUAGGCGGUUCCCAAACAGAAUGGUAAAGUUUAUACUUCCCCACCACCAACAAGCAUCAAUCCAUGGCUUGCUCGAAACAACGAGUGCCUCCAACUAGCAACAGCCCUGGGGGAGUUUUGUUUAAUUAUUUUGAUUUACUUUGAUCUUUUUGAUCAUGGGACUGGGCAUCCCAGUCACCAGCCAUUUUCUCGCGAAUGAGGAGCGGAGUCCACUCCUCUUGAGAAUAACCCACCUAGCAUGGAAGAUACAGACAACCCUAGUUAAAACAUGAGCUGUUCGAGCAUACAAAACAUAAUUUCAUUUGAAGGUUUAGAGUUUGGCACAUACAAAUUUACUUGGAACGGCAGGUAAAUACCGCAUAUAGGAAGGUAUGGUGGACUCAUAUGGAAUAACUUUGGGGUUUAUGGAGUUUGGAUGCACAAGCAGUAUUCCCGCUUAGUACAGGUGAAGGCUAGCAAAAGACUGGGAAGCGACCAACUGAGAGAGCGACAAUAGUCAUGAACAUGCAUUAAAAUUAAUCAACACUGAGUGCAAGCAUGGGUAGGAUAUAAUCCACCAUGAACAUAAAUAUCAUGAACGCUAUGUUGAUUUUGUUUCAACUACAUGUGUGAACAUGUGCCAAGUUAAGUCACUCCAAUCAUUCAAAGGAGGAUACCAACCUAUCAUUCCACAUCACAACCAUUUUAAUAGCAUGUUGGCACGCAAGGUAAACCAUUAUAAGCUCCUAGCUAAUUAAACAUGGCAUAAGCAACUAUAAUCUCUAAUUGUCAUUGCAAACAUGUUUAUUCAUAAUAGGCUGAAUCAGGAACGAUGAACUCAUCAUAUUUACAAAAACCAAAGAGGUCGACUUCAUACCAGCUUCUCUCAUCUCAAUCAGUCCAUCAUAUAUCGUCAUUAUUGUCUUUCACUUGCACGACCGAACGGUGUGUAUAAUAACAAUAGUGCACGUGCAUUGGACUAAGCUGGAAUCUGCAAGCAUUCAAUUCAAGGGAGAAGACAAGGUAAUAUGGGCUCUAAGUUAAAUCAACAAUCAUGCAUAUGAGAGCCACUAAACAUUUUUCAUUAAGGUCUUCUCCUCUCGACCGCCAAAGAAAAUAAAGAAAAUAAAACUAUUUACACGGGAAAGCUCCCAACAAGCAAAAGAAGAACUAGAAAUCUUUUUGGGUUUUCUUUUUAAUUAUUACUACAAGCAUGGAAAUUAAACUAACUAAUUGUUUUCUUAAGGUUUAUCAAACACACAAGAAGAAAGCUAGAAAAAGAAAAAUAAACUAGCAUGGAUAAUACAAUGAAAAAGUAUGAGCAGCGACAACUAGAAUAAGUGUGUGAACAUGAAUGUAAUGUCGGUGAGAAAUACGUACUCCCCCAAGCUUAGGCUUUUGGCCUAAGUUGGUCUAUUGCCAAGGAUAGCUUGGCUGAUAUCCGAAGUUAUAACUGGGGUCGUACUGAGAUGCAGCAGCCAUUGCCUCCUGAGUUGCGGCAUGGUGGCGAGCUGCCUCCGCUCUCCUCCCAUAUUCGUUUGCCUCCUCCCCGAUGACAACAUAUCUUCGUUUUGCCUGGUAAUCAGAAAGAGAAGAAGCAGGGAGAGUAACAUGGAUAGCGCAACGUCUGUCAAAGAUUAGUCGAUACUGGAGGAAUUGUUCAUUCCUCACAAGAAAAUGAUGACUGACCAUAGCGUCAUAAUCUAAAUAAGUGGGAAGCAACUCCCUAUCACCCUCACGUGGAGGUAUACCAAGAUAAUUAGCAACACGGGUCGCAUAAAUCCCUCCAAACAAAUCUCCAGAUAAACCAUUAUUACGCAACCUACGUGCAACAAUUGCCCCCAAGUUGUAAUCUUUAUUACCUAAUACAACACUCUUGAGGACACAAAGAUCAGGAACACACAUAUGACAUGCUUCAUCUUUACCAUUUAUGCAUCUACCAAUGAAGAGAGCAAAAUAAUGUAUAGCAGGAAAAUGAAUGCUGCCUAUGGUAGCUUGUGCUAUAUCUCUAGAUUCUCCCACGGUGAUACUAGCUAGAAAGUCUUUAUAUUCAGAUUUACGGGGUUCAUUGACAUUACCCCACUGUGGGAGUUUGCAAGCAGUAGUAAAAUCUUCUAAUUCCAUGGUAUAAGAUUGAUCAUAAAUAUCAAACAGGACACUUAUCUUGCGUGAAGUCCUCAAGAUCAGCAUUACGCACAUAUGCAUCAAAUUCAUCCUUGAUGCCUGCAUUGACCAUAAACUCUUAUGACGGCCAUUCACAAGGCCGCACGUCAGCUUCCCUUGGUGGUUCAUCGUCUUGCUCACGCAUAGCGCGCCUGGGUCCUUUCUUUGUUGAAGAACCACCUUGGUACAUUUUCCUAAACAUAUUUCUUCCUUUGAAAAAUUUCUGAAAUUUUUAGUAAGUCAAAAUAAAAGUGAAUCAAACUAAGCAAGAUUCAUAGCAACUACUCCCACAAGUGCCUAGAGCCUAUAUCAUGCAUUAGAAUUACUUGGGACCUCAUAAAUUUGACAUGCAAGCUCAAGAACAGGGUCACCUAGGCAGCAAAAAUUUGCAAUGAAUAAAGCACUAGAACAAAAACUAAUUGGACGAUUGGAGGAGUCACAUACCAUGGAACAAUCUCCCAAAGUAGUUUUAUGAAUGGAGCUUUGAGCAAGGAGAUCAAAAAUCGCAGCAAAAUGAGCUAGAACUCGUGCUUGAGCUGGAUGGGGAUUUUUUUGGGAGGAAGAUGGAGUGUGUGGGUGCCGGAAUAAGUGGAGGGGGCCCACCGUGGGCCCACGAGGCAGGGGGCACGCUCAGUAAGGGUGGGCGCGCCCUGGACCCUCGUGGCCAGGUGCUUGCCCCCCCUACUGUGUUCUCAAUGUAUAAAAUCCUAAAAUAUUCCAUAAAAAAUCAUACUAAAUUUGCAGGGCAUUUGGAGAACUUUUAUUUUCGGGAUAUUUUUUAUUGCAUGGAUAAUUCAGAAAACAGACAGAUAAUACUAUUUUUGCUUUAUUUAUUCUAAAUAACAGAAAGUAAAAGGAGGGUACAGAAGGUUGUUUCAUCCAUCUCAUGAUCAUCAAAAGAUCCACUAACAAGGUUGAUCAAGUCUUGUUAACAAACUCAUUCCGAAUAACAUGGAACCGGAGAAAUUUCGAAUAACACUAGGUUACCUCAACGGGGAUAUGAACAUCCCCAAUAAUAAGAAUAUCAUAUUUUUUUCUUGACAGUAGGAAGAGGAAAUUCAAAACCUCCAAUAAUGAUAGUUGGAAUUUUUCCAAUAGAAUUGAUGCUAUGAACUUGAGGUUGUUUCCUCGGAAAGUGUACCGUAUGCUCAUUGCCAUUAACAUGAAAAGUGACAUUGCCUUUGUUGCAAUCAAUAACGGCCCCUGCAGUAUUCAAAAAGGGACUCGCAAGGAUAAUCGGCAUACUAUCGUCCUCGGGAAUAUCAAGAAUAACAAAGUCUGUUAAGAUAGUGACAUUUGCAACCACAACGGGCACAUCAUCACAAAUACCGACAGGUAUAGCAGUUGAUUUCUCAACCAUUUGCAAAGAUAUUUCAGUAGGUGUCAACUUAUUCAAUUCAAGUCUAUGAUAUAAAGAGAGGCAUAACACUAACACCGACUCCAAGAUCACAUAAAGCAGUUUUAACAUAGUUUCUUUUAAUGGAGCAUGGUAUAGUUGGUACCCCUAGGUCUCCAAGUUUCUUUGGUAUUCCACCUUUAAAAGUAUAAUUAGCAAGCAUGGUGGAAAUUUCAGCUUCCGGUAUCUUUCUUUUAUUUGUAAUGAUAUCCUUCAUAUAUUUAGCAUAAGGGUUUACUUUAAGCAUAUCAGUUAAGCGCAUACGUAAGAAGAUAGGUCUAAUCAUUUCAGCAAAGCGCUCAAAAUCCUCAUCAUCCUUUUUCUUGGAUGGCUUAGGAGGAAAAGGCAUGGGUUUCUGAACCCAUGGUUCUCUUUCUUUACCGUGCUUCUUAGCAACAAAGUCUCUCUUAUCAUAACGUUGAUUCUUUUAUUGUGGGUUAUCAAGAUCAACAACAGGUUCAAUCUCUACAUCAUUAUUAUUGCUAGGUUGAGCAUCAAUAUGAACAUUAUCAUUAACAUUAUCACUAGGUUCAUGUUCAUCACCAGAUUGUGUUUCAGCAUCAGAAAUAGAAAUAUCAUUGGGAUCCUCAGAUGUGUCUACAACAGGUUCACUAGAAGCAUGAAAAGUCCUAUCAUUUUUCUUUUUCUUCUUUUUAGAAGGACUAGGUGCAUCUAAAUUAUUUCUCUGAGAAUCUUGCUCAAUUUUCUUAGGGUGGCCUUCAGGAUACAAAGGUUCCUGAGUCAUUUUACCAGUUCUAGUAGCCACUCUAACAACAAAAUCAUGUUUAUUAUUUAAUUCAUCGAGUAAAUCACUUUGAGCUUUAAGUACUUGCUCCGCUUGAGUGGUAACCAUAGAAGCAUAUUUACUAAUGAGUUUUAGUUCACCUUUAACUCUAGCCAUAUAAUCACUCAAGCGUCCAAUCAUGUAAGCAUUACUUUUUAAUUCUCUACCAACAUAAGCAUUAAAACUUUCUUGUCUAGCCAUAAAGUCAUCAAAUUCAUCUAAACGUUGGCUAGGAAAUUUAGUAGACGGGAUUUCAACUUUAUCAUAUCUAUAGAGAGAAUUUACCUUUCCUACCUAUGUCGGGUUAUCAAGACAAUGUGUUUCUUCACUAGGUGGUAUAUUAAGACCAUGUAUUUCUUCAAUAGGAGGUAAAUUCUUAACAUCUUCAGCUUUAAUACCUUUUUCUUUCAUAGAUUUCUUUGCCUCUUGCAUAUCUUCAGGACUGAGAAAUAGAACACCCCUCUUCUUCGGAGUUGGUUUAGGAAUAGGCUCAGGAGUUGGCUCAAUUGGCUCAGGAAUUGGCUCAGGAAGAGUCCAAUUAUUUUCAUUAGUCAACAUAUUAUUCAAUAACAAUUCAUCUUGGUCGACUGUUCUUUCCCUGAAAACACAACCAGCACAACUAUCCAAGUGGUCCUUGGAAGCAUCGGUUAGUCCAUUAUAAUAGAUAUCAAGUAUUUCAUUUUUCUUAAGAGGAUGAUCAGGCAAAGUAUUAAGUAAUCGGAGAAGCCUCCCCCAAGCUUGUGGGAGACUCUCUUCUUCAAUUUGCACAAAAUUAUAUAUUUCCCGCAAGGCAGCUUGUUUCUUAUGAGCAGGGAAAUAUUUAGCAGACAAGUAAUAAAUCAUAUCCUGGGGACUAUGCACACAACCAGGAUCAAGAGAAUUAAACCAAGUUUUAGCAUCACCCUUUAAUGAGAACGGAAAUAUCUUAAGGAUAUAAUAAUAGUGAGACUUCUCAUCAUUAGUGAACAGGGUGGCUAUAUCAUUUAACUUAGUAAGAUGUGCCACAACAGUUUCAGAUUCAUUGCCAUAAAAAGGAUCAGAUUCAACCAAAGUAAUUAUCUCAGGAUCAACAGAGAAUUCAUAAUCCUUAUCAGUAACAAAGAUAGGUGAAGUAGCAAAAGCAGGGUCAUAUUUAAUUCUAGCAUUCAGAGAUUGUUGUUUCCAUUUAGCUAAUAACUUCUUAAGAUUAUAUCUAUCAUUGCAAGCAAGAAUAGCUCUAGCAGCUUCUUCAUCCAUAACAUAACCCUCAGGAACAACAGGCAAUUCAUACUUAGGGGGAGAACCUUCAUCAUCACUAUCUUCAAUAAUAUCAUCUUCAAUAAUUUCAUUCUCUCUAACCCUAGCAAGUUGUUCAUCUAGAAAUUCACCUAAUGGCAAAGAAGUAUCAAGCAUAGAAGUAGUUUCAUCAUAAGUACCAUGCAUAGUAGAAGUGGCAUCAUCAAUAACAUGCGACAUAUCAGAAUUCAUAGCAGUAGCAGCUUUAGGUGUCGCAAGCUUACUCAAAACAGAAGGAGAAUCUAGUGCAGAGCUAGAUGGCAGUUCCUUACCUCCCCUCGUAGUUGAGGGGAAAAUCUUAGUUCAUUGAUCUUUCAAGUUCCUCAUAGUGAUCAGCAGAUAUAAAUCCCAAGUGACUCAAAGAAUAGAGCUAUGCUCCCUGGCAACGGCACCAGAAAAUAGUCUUGAUAACCCACAAGUAUAGGGGAUCGCAACAGUUUUCGAGGGUAGAGUAUUCAACCCAAAUUUAUUGAUUUGACACAAGGGGAGCCAAAGAAUAUUCUCAAGUAUUAGCAGUUGAGUUGUCAAUUCAACCACACCUGGAUAACUUAGUAUCUGUAGCAAAGUAUUUAGUAGCAAAGUAGUAUGAUAGUAAUGGUAACAGUGGCAAAAGUAACAGUAGCAGUUUUGUAGUAAUUGUAACAGUAGCAACGGUAAAGUAAAUAAGCAAAGCACAAUAUGGGAAAAGCUCGUAGGAAUUGGAUCAGUGACGAAUAAUUAUGUUGGAUGUGAUUCCACAUGUAAUAGUUAUAACAUAGGGUGACACGGAACUAGCUCCAGUUCAUCAAUGUAAUGUAGGCAUGUAUUCCAAAUAUAGUCAUACGUGCUUAUGGAAAAGAACUUGCAUGACAUCUUUUGUCCUACCAUCCUGUGGCAGCAGGGUCCUAAUGGAAACUAAGGGAUAUUAAGGCCUCCUUUUAAUAGAGUAUCGGACCAAAGCACUAUCUCUUAGUGAAUACAUGAACUCCUCAAACUACGGUCAUCCCCGAGAAGUAUCCCGAUUAUUGUCACUUCGGGGUUGUCGGAUCAUAACACAUAAUAGGUGACUAUAGACUUGCAAGAUAGGAUCAAGAACUCACAUUUAUUCAUGAAAACAUAAUAGGUUCAGAUCUGAAAUCAUGGCACUCGGGCCCUAGUGACAAGCAUUAAGCAUAGCAAAGUCAUAGCAACAUCAAUCUCAGAACAUAGUGGACACUAGGGAUCAAACCCUAACAAAACUAACUUGAUUACAUGGUAAAUCUCAUCCAACCCAUCACCAUCCAGCAAGCCUACGAUGGAAUCACUCACGCACGGCGAUGAGCAUCAUGAAAUUCGUGAUGGAGGAUGGUUGAUGAUGACGACGGGGACGGCGACAAAUCCCCCUCUCCGGAGCCCCGAACGGACUCCAGAUCAGCCCUCCCGAGAGAGAUUAGGGUUUGGAGGCAGCUCCAUAUCGUAAAAUGCGAUAAAACUUUCUCUCUGAUUUUUUUCUCCGUGAAAGCAAAUAUAUAGAGUUGGAGUUGAGGUCGGUGGACAUUCAGGGGGCCCACAAGGCAGGGGAGUGCGCCCAGGGGGAGGGGGCUCGCCCCCACCCUCGUGGACAGGGUGUGGGGCCCCUGGCCUUGAUUCUUUCGCCAAUAUUUUUUAUAUUUUCCAAAAGUAAUCUCCGUGGAUUUUCAGGUCAUUCCGAGAUCUUUUGUUUCUUCACAAAAAUAACACCAUGGCAGUUCUGCUUUAAACAACAUCUGUCCGGGUUAGUUUCCAUUCAAAUCAUGCAAGUUAGAGUCCAAAACAAGGGCAAAAGUGUUUAGAAAAGUAGAUACAUUGGAGACGUAUCAGGGUCGAAACUUGCAGUAAAAGCCUCCACAAAGUCGGUUUCACCAGAAAGACAAGUCCUCUCGGACUCAGGGCCAGACGCCAGGGUUCCCUGUGUCUGGACCCAGACGCCAGGGACCCUGGCGUCUGGCCCCUGGACACCGCAAAACUUCCUUUUGCACUUUCCAAAAACCUUGUGGGCUUUCCCCUUUGGCCCAAAUAAAGUGUUAUCGUACCCAAACAUUUCGGGAAACAUCCGGAACCCCUUCCGGUGAAUACCGGAACCCUUCCGGAGAUCAAACACUAUUAACCCAUAUAUCAAUCUUUAUCUUUAGACCAUUCCAGAGUUCCUCGUCGUGUCCGUGAUCAUAUCCGGGACUCCGAACAACAUUCGGUCACCAAUAUACAUAACUAAUAUAAUACUAUAUCGUCAACGAACGUUAAGCGUGCGGACCUUUUGGGUUCGAGAACUAUGUAGACAUGACCGAGACACCUCUCUGGUCAAUAACCAAUAGCGGAACCUGGAUGCCCAUAUUGGCUCCUACAUAUUCUACGAAGAUCUUUAUCGGUCGAACUGCAUAACAACAUACGUUGUUCCCUUUGUCAUCGGUAUGUUACUUGCCCGAGAUUCGAUCGUCGGUAUCAUCAUACCUAGUUCAAUCUCGUUACCCACAAGUCUCUUUACUUGUUCCAUAAUACUUCAUCCCGUAACUAACUCAUUAGUCACAAUGCUUGCAAGGCUUAUAGUGAUGAGUAUUACCAAGAGGGCCCAAAGAUACCUCUCCGAAAUACGGAGUGACAAAUCCUAAUCUCGAUCUAUGCCAACCCAACAAAUACCUUUGGAGACACCUAUAGAGCACCUUUUUAAUAACCCUUUUGCGUUGUGACGUUUGGUAGCACACAAAGUGUUCCUCCGGUAUUCGGGAGUUUCAUAAUCUCAUAGUCUGAGGAACAUGUAUAAGUCAUGAAGAAAGCAGUAGCAAUGAAACUGACACGAUCAUAAUGCUAAGCUAAUGGAUGGGUCUUGUCCAUCACAUCAUUCUCCCAAUGAUGCGAUCCCGUUCAUAAAAUGACAACACAUGUCUAUGGUUAGAAAACAUAACCAUAUGUGAUUAACGAGCUAGGUAAGUAGAGGCAUACUAGGGACUAUAAGUUUUGUCGAUGUAUUCACACAUGUACUAAGUUUCCGGUUAAUACAAUUCUAGCAUGAAUAAUAAACAUUUAUCAUGAAUUAAGGAAAUAAAUAAUAACUUUAUUAUUGCCUCUAGGGCAUAUUUCCUUCAGUCUCUCACUUGCACUAGAGUCAAUAAUCUAGUUCACAUCUCCAUGUGAUUUAACAUCAAUAGUUCACAUCUGUAUGUGAUUAACACCCAUAGUUCACAUCGCCAUGUGACUAACGACCAAAGGGUUUACUGGAGUCAAUAAUCUAGUUCACAUUGCUAUGUGACCAACACCCAAAGGGUUUACUAGAGUCAAUAAUCUAGUUCACAUCACUAUGUGAUUAACAUCCAAAGAGUACUAAGGUAUGAUCAUGUUUUGCUCGUGAGAGAAGUUUAGUCAACGGUUCUGUCACAUUCAGAGACGUAUGUAUUUUGCAAAUAUUCUAUGUCUACAAUGCUCUGCACGGAGCUACUCUAGCUAAUUGCUCCCACUUUCAAUAUGUAUCCAGAUUGUGACUUAGAGUCAUCUGGAUCGGUGUAAAAGCUUGCAUCAAUGUAACUCUUUACGAUGAGCUCUUUUAUCACCUCCAUAAUCUAGAAAUAUUUCCUUAGUCCUCACUAAGGAUAAUCUUGACCGCUGUCCAGUGAUCUACUCCUAGAUCAAAAUUGUACUCCCUUGUCAAUCUCAGGGCAGGGUACACAAUAGGUCUGGUACACAGCACAACAUACUUUAUAGAACCUAUGACUGUGGCAUAGGGAAUGACUUUCAUUCUCUUUCUAUUUUCUGCCGUGGUUGGGCUUUGAGUGUUACUCAACUUUACACCAUGUAAUACAGACAAGAACUUAUUCUUUGACUGAUCCAUUUUGAACUAUUUCAAAAAAAACUUGUCAACGUAUGUAUUCAUUGAAAAAUGUUAUUAAGUGUCUUGAUCUAUCUCUAUAGAUCUUGAUGCCCAAUAUAUAAGCAACUUCAUCGAGGUCUUUCAUUGAAAUUCUCCUUUCAAACUCUCCUUUAUGCUUUCCAGAAAAUUCUACAUCAUUUCUGUCGUGGAAAUAUCACGUCAGAUGUCCUCGUGUAAGGACUUAGUCGUGGAGUCAUCGCGACGGGUUAGCUUAAAGGGGUUAAACCGGACAAAGGACACGAGGGAUUUUAUACUAGUUCGGCCCCUUCGAUGAAGGUAAAGGCCUACGUCUAGUUGUGAUGGGAUUAUUGGGGUCUCGCUAACCAAAGAGCUAAACAAGCUAUGUCUGGCUAUCGAGUUGUCUUUCUUGUCCCUAAACCGCCGUCGGGUCGUCCCCUUAUAUACACGGGUUGACGCCCGGCCGGUUUACAGAGUCCCGAGGCCGACUCAUACAAGUGUUCAGCUCGGUCUCUCCUUUCCUUAUCUUACAACACAAGUUACAUGACUAUGGCGGUUUACUACUAUGGGCCCUAAUCCGCCUUUGGGCUCUGGGCCUCUAAGCUUCAUAAUAAAGCGCCAUCUUCUGAGUCUUCGUGGACUUGAAUAUAGUUGAGGGUGAACCGGCCCCUCCUGGGCGGUUUACACUCAGUAGUUAUAUCCCCAACAUUAGGCCCCAGAUUGAUUUGAACCUGUUCAUGUCAAUCUUCAGUACUUAGAAAAAUCAUGUGAACCUCUUCCUUCAUUUCUCAUAAACCACCAUGAUGUCUUCCCUUUAUAAACAUUGUUAAACCGCCGUGACAUCGUCCUCUGGACACAGCAACGGAUCAUCAUGACGUCAUCUCUGUAAAAAAAUGAAUAAAAAGAUUCCCUUCAUUUAAUGUCAUCCCAGAAAUCGAGGCGACAACUGCGCCACUUGCCGCUUUGGACUCCUCGAUUCUCACGCCUCUCACUUAUCCCCUAUCCUGUUAUAAAUAAGCCCGUCUGGCCCUUUCAUUUUCUCCUCUUUCCUCUCAUCUUCUUCCUCGUGACCCGAAGAACCCCAGCGCCGCCGCCGCCGUCGAUCUUCAAAUCUGCACCGACCGAGGCCGCUGCAUCACCCUGUUUGUUCCAGAUACCCUGCCGCGUUCCUCCGCCGCCGAGUGGCCCUGGUAAGUUCAUUUCCUGUAACCCUAGAUCUUCAUUAGGGUUUUCGAGUUCAUCCAUGUCGCCGUUCCUCAGUUCUUCUGCAGCCUUCUCUUUAGCCCUUUUACUGAGGGUAUAUAUAUGCAUCUGCUAGCUUUGAUUCGCGGCUAGAUUCAUUUUGAUAGUCCACCAUCCCGCGGCUUCUUGCUGCUCCUGACAGACUGUGUCUAGAUCUUCACUGUUCCUCUUAGCGCCAUUGUAGGGUUUAGUAAAAUUUUCUUUAGUUACCCACGGUAGAUCCAAAAUUGUACUGUGAUAUUGUGAAACCUGUUUUUGUAACACUUAGUAGAUUUUGAACCCUGGCUCUUCUGCCUAUAGGCGGUUUAACCUUUGAUAACCAAUCUUCCAUAUAUCAUUAGCCCUCUCUUAAACCGCCAACUGAAUUUAGACGGCAAUUUGCCGGUUUAACACUAAAUAGUAUGCUUAAACCGUUAAUUGUAAACCGGCCUUUAUUUUUCCUUUUACAGUUUUCCUUCCUUGAUGACCAAACAAUUCUCUGCCUGCAAUUGGGUUCCGUCCAAGAUCACCGAGACACAAAUCAACGGAUAUGUCACCACUGGCGCUUUAGCCUCAAAAAGGGUCCUUCAUUGGCGAGUUCCGGGCUCUGAAUGACCACCUGAACCUCAAGAUGGAGAAGUGAUUGUAUUUAUGCAACACUUAGACCGGGGAUUCAUCCCACCCGGAUCAAAAAAUUUCCGGGAUGUCCUCGCAAGCUUCCAACUCCAUCCACAAGAUGUUGGACCGAACUCUGUGUCCAAUAUAUGCAACUUUCAAGUAUUCUGCGAACUCUACCUUCAAGAAGAACCAUGUGUGGAGUUGUUCCGGGAUUUUUUUCAUUUGAACCGCCGUACAGAGUUCUCUGAUGGUCCCAACACAGAACUUGGUGGCGUUUCAAUUCAGAAAAGGAAAGAAGUUGAUUUCCCUCAUGCAAAACAUCAUAGUAAUCCUACAGAUUGGAACCAAACUUGGUUUUAUUGCCGGAACACUGCCCCUGACGGAGAAAAUCCUUUGUCGGGUUACCGCCCUCACCGGCUUAGCAACGGUCACCCAUUACCUUCACGCUUAUCCGCCGCAGAACGAAAAACUUUUGCUCCUCAAAUCGCCAAGCUCCGGGCUCUCAUGGCCAACGGUUUGACUGGCAUUGAUCUCGUCCGCUGCUGGGUUUCCUGGGGCAUUCUGCCUUUAAGCCGCCGUUCCGGAUUGAUGCACCGGCAACAUCAAAGAUCCUCAACGAUAUCAUGAAGUGGUAAUGACAGACCUUGAAGUUACUGAGUCUGUGAAGAAGAUGCUUGACGAAACAAUCUCUGCGUGCAGCCAAACCGGGUUGCCACUGUUUUGCGCCACCAACAAACCACCAGCGGUAAAUUUAACUUAAUGCUCACUGUUUCGCAUGUGCUUUAAUAAUGUGCUAAUACUCUUUUCCUUUAAUUUUUACAGGCCAACAGCUCUUUCUGGAAACGGACUAAACCGGCGAGGGCUCGUGCAAAGACCAAAGUCACCAAGAAAGCGGGCAAGAAGAAAACCACCGAAUCUUCUGAUCUGUCGGAAGAUGUUGACGAAUCAGAUCCAGAGGUAGAACUUGAUUCACUUGGUUCCUUUUUCAUACAUCUUAUUGACAAUAACUAUUCCCAGGAUGAUGCGGCAGCCAGUCGUGCAGACCAUGUUGAGGUAAUAUCUCUUUCUUCUGAUUCAGAUCUUGUGCCGGUUCAAAGAUUUCGCCGUACAGUUCGGAAAGUGAAAUACUCUCACCCUCUGGCUUAUCUGGAUCCAAAAUUUUCUUUGAAGACACAGCAAGCUGAAGAACGUCGCACAACCUGGCACAGUUGUCAGCAGAUCACCUCUUCCGGUUUAACGGAUACGCCAAACCGGAACGUCGCCCAGAGGUUACUUGUUCUCCUGAAAAACUUUAUCCUUUGAAGGGUUUCUUCAGAGACCCACUUAAUCCGUAUGAUCCCAAUUACCAGGCGUCUUCCAAAUCGUCUGGCGGUUCAUCAACCACUCAACUGCCUCCCCUUAAAACCGUCCCUGGGUAAGUAUAUUACUCUUCAUGUUUUUCCUUCACAGUUCGGUUUACCGUGCUAAUCUUUGUUGUGAUGUCACAGUGCCAAAGCUCGCCUGAGCAAGAAGGCUAAAACCAGUACCCCCAUUGGUGAAGUGGAACCGGAGAGGGCUGCUGAGGACACCGGUAGAAAUACCGAUGUUAUGGAUGAUUCCAUCCCGCAAGGUGCAAGCACUAAGGCUUAUCCGUCGGAGGCUGACCCGGCAAUCCAUACUGAUCCGUCGAGCCCUUGUACUACCCCUCCACCAAGUCCGGGUGCUGAUCUGCCAAGCCCGGCUGCUAACCCGCCAAGUCCAGCCAGGGGUGCCAGCAAUCCGCCAAGCCCACCAAGAAAUGAUGAUGAUGAUGUUGUAAUUACUGGCACGGGUCACACCAGUCCUGGCAAUCCGGUUAUCUUGGCCAAACAUACUGCUAAGGAGGAAUUCGCCGCUAUGGGCAAGGGGAAGGGGAAUACGGAUUUAUCCCACUUUGUCAAUCUUAGCGCUGAAGAGCUUCAUUCCGGUUAUUUAAACCGCCUGUACACCAGCCGUGACUUGGAAGCCGUUUUGGUAAACCUGAUGAAGGAGCGUUAUGAGGUAUGAAUACUUUGAAACUUGUUCAAUCCUGUAUCUUUUCCAUUGUAGCCCCCAAGGGCUGGUUUAUCUCGUGAAGAUAAGCCGGGACUUUGAUAUAAAGAACACUUCAACGUAGUAGCUCCCAAGGGCCGGUUUGUCUUCUUGAAGACAAACCGGGACUGUCUGUCCCUGUUAACAGCCUUUCCUUUAUGACUGAGUGAAUGUACAUUAGCCCCCAAGUGCCAAGCUUAAUACCUGGAUUGAGCCUUGGGACUUUGAAAAAUAUUCACUUUAAGAAGCAAUCCACAUUAGUCCCCAAGUUCCAAGUGUUUAAUUGAUUAUGCGCUUAGGACUUUAAGAAAUCUGUAACGGUUGUAUCAUCUGACUUUGCAGGCUGACAUGAAGACCAAAGAGUCCCAAACCACCGAUCUUCAAGAAAUCCUCAAGCUACAACAAGAAGAAACCUCUAAAGCCAAAGAAGAGCUCAAGGGUACCUUGGCAACCAUGGAACAACUUAAAGAGGGCUUCAAAACAGACUGCACCAACAGGGAAACCGAAAGGGCUGUUUUAUUGAAGUGGGCAGAAGAUGCUGAAGCAACCCUUAAACCGGUGGAAGAAGAGCUGACAGGUCUGAAGCAUCAAGUGAAUUCCAUGACGGCUACUGUGAUUGGUAAGUACCUUAGAACACGUGCUCUGUAGUACUAUCAACUUCGCCAGUUUAACUUAAAUUUCUUAAACCGUUGUAGGCCAUCGCAUUGCUCAUCUUGGAACAGAUAUGCGGAUGAAAUUGAAGGAGGCUUAUACACUGAUUGAACAACUAUAUACCGGUGCACAACGGGUUAUCUCUGCAGUCUCUUAUAACAAACCGGCACCAACAUUGAUCAAGGACACAUUAGCAAGCUUAAACAUGACACCGACUCAGAUAGAGGAGGUGAAGCGAUCUGCUGCCAUGGCUGGCGCUUUACUGGCACUGACCCGGGCCAAAGCAUGAAUAUCUGACUUGGAUCCAGUUGACAUCGCCAAGGGAUUUCCAGAUGAACAGGCAGACGGAUCGGCAUUUGACAAGGACACACUCAAAGCUCUGACAAAGGAGAUGUGUCCAUUGUCCAGUCAACUGGCUGUAGAAGCUAACCUAGCUGUUCAUCGGUCUUUUUAUGAUGAAGAGAACCAUCGAGUUGACACGACUGUGACGGAGAUACAAAACAUUAUCCCGCCAAUUCGUAAGCACACUUACGCCCCUGAUGUUGACCCGUCCGAUCUGAUAGGUGACGAAGCUGUCUUUCAGGCUUUAACCCGGAUUGACUGGACCACCCUUGACUUCCAGCCUCUGGGUGGAGAGGAGGAGGUUGAACCGGCACCUGAAGAUCCUUCCACUUCACGUCGUUCGGGCAACGAGUCUUAAUCCGGCAUUUGUGUUUCUAUGACAAAUUUUUGUUGUACAAGGAUAAUCAACUUUUUAGGCCUCAAAGUGCCUUGUAAUAGGCUAGUUAAAACACUUUGAUUUGUUGUGCUGAUGCACGACUUGUGUUGAACCGCCAUAACACAUGCAAUGUUUGCUUAUGCUUUGAUAACGCGACUCUGAAGCCUACAUAAAGAAAGUUUGUCCUGGUGGUUUACCGCUGGACGGGUCAUAAUACCCAAGAUAAAGCCUGAUUGAUAAUCAAACCUUAAGAAAUAUGAAACAACUCAUACCUGUGAUGUGAUAUCACUUUAGUUGGUUUAACAACUUUGAUUGUAAUAAGGGUGAAAACCCAAAUCAUUGAAUUUUGUACAACUUCACCAUAUACUGAUGGUGUAUAAGAAGUCAUGCCGGGUUACGAUGAACACCAGAUGAUCAAAAUUGGCGACAAGUAGUCAAAGCCAGACCGGGUUAAUAAACUCCGGUUUGAUAAUAAGGUCUGUCAACUUAUAGUUGAAAACCAAGCCGGGUUAACAAACACCGGUUAAUAUGAUGACUGAAAAUCCAUACCAGAUCAAAGAUACCGGUUUAACAUAGAAGUCAUCAAAAGAAAAAUAUUGACAAAAGCAAAUAAAAUUGUGUAGUCGAGGUUUUUCGAGGGCUGCCAGGCCCAAAUUCGAGGCUUUUCAUGGGCUGCUAGGCCGCUGACUUAAACCAUUUGACAAAGCCUUUUAAGAUGGGCCUCCAACUAACCAAUCACCGUUUUAACUUUGACAAGUUCAGGGUCUCAAUGAGAGUAACUAUCAAACGUUCGGAGGGUCAUGCCAGGAUUACCUGGAUACGAGUGGCUUACUUGAUGAAGGCAGGUUAACCCGGGGUUUUAGGUAAAUAUACCAGGCUUCCAAGCCAUGGGUCGAUACCCAGCUACAAGGGUCCUUUCAAAUCUUUAUUACUUUACACAAAGAGCCCCCAAGUAACAUGAUGAGUUGUGCUCAUUGGGUGCCUAUGUUUGAGUUGUGCAUAGCAUCCAGACUCUCUUUGGCCCCUUGGGUGUGAAGCUCCCAAGCUGUAUUGUGGCAUGAUAGCCGGUUUAACAGGCAAUACUCCGCUUUGUCAGCUGAAGCCUCCAUGUAACUCAAAGGAUAUUUGAGAAAAAACAGCAAAGGCCCUGCUUAUAGCAAGGAUGCUGGUUUAUUUUAUUGAUCAUAAUAUAUACAUUGUCAAAAUAUGUACAUAAGAAAAGCCUAUAGCUCAAGUGUAGUAAGGCCGUAGGAGAGCUAUGUUCCACGGUCGCCGGGUCUCCUCCUCAGAAGUGCGUGAGUUGUCUCGAACGUCAAUGAGGUAGUAUGAUCCGUUGUGCAGAUUUUUGAUGACCACAAAGGGCCCUUCCCAAGGUGGGGAUAACUUGUGCAUGUCGGUCUGAUCCUGGAUGAGCCGGAGCACCAAAUCGCCUUCUUGAAAGGUUCUUGUCCUAACUCGGCGGCUGUGAUAACGCCGCAGGUCUUGCUGAUAAACCGCCAAACGGGCUAAAGCCAUAUCCCGUUUUCAUCUAACAGGUCCAACGCCUCCUGGUGUGCUUGCUCAUUGUCUGCUUCAACAUAAUUAGCAACCCGAGGCGAAUCGUGACGAAUAUCACUUGGGAGGACCGCCUCAGCCCCGUACACCAUGAAGAAAGGCUUGUAACCCGUCGAUCUAUUGGGAGUGGUGUUGAUGCUCCAUAAUACAAAAGGCAAUUCUUCCACCCAACAACCCGGCGUCCGCUUUAAGGGACCAUCAACCGGGGUUUAAUACCCUUCAAGAUUUCUUGAUUAGCUCUCUCCGCUUGACCAUUGGUCUGGGGGUGCGCCACGGAUGCUAAGUCAAGCCGGAUGUGUUCUCUCUGACAAUAAUCUUCCAUCUCACCUUUAGAAAGGUUUGUGCCAUUAUCCGUGAUGAUGUUGUGCGGAAAGCCAAAGCGGAAGAUAAUCUUUUUGAGAAAUUGAACCGCCGUAGCCGCAUCACACUUGCUGACAGGCUCCGCUUCAACCCACAUGGUGAACUUAUCAACCACCACCAGCAGGUGGGUCUUCUUAUCCUUGGAGCGCUUAAAGGGUCCCACCAUGUCAAGCCCCCAAGUUGCAAAUGGCCAAGUGAUGGGAAUCAUCCUUAAUUCUUGAGCCGGAACAUGAACUCUACGUGAAAACUUUUGACAAGCAUCGAUAUCACAUCGCUUUACCAGAUCCUCCGCAUUAGCAUGAGUUGUCAACCAUUAGAACCCAUGACGAAAAGCUUUUGCAACCAGGGAGUUUGAACCGGCAUGAUGACCACAAUCACCUUCAUGAAUUUCUAGUAGGAUCUCUUAGCCUUCUUCCGGAGAAACACAAUGCUGAAAUACGCCUGAAACGCUGCAGCGGUGUAACUCGCCAUUGUGAAUAACCAUGGACUUGGACCGCUGGACUAUCUGCCGAGCCAGGACUUCAUCAUCUGGCAACUCGCCCCGGUUCAUAUACGCUAGAUAUGGAACCGUCCAAUCCGGCACAACGUGUAAAGCGGCCACCAAUUGAGCCUCCGGAUCAGGAAUAGCCAAAUCUUCCUCUCUAGGCAACUUAACAGACGGGUUAUGCAAGAUAUCUAAAAAGGUAUUGGGAGGUACCGGUUGACGCUGAGAUCCAAGCCGGCUUAAAUCGUCUGCUGCUUCAUUUUUGCGUCGAUCGAUAUGCUCAACCUGAUACCCUUUGAAGUAACCCGCCACAAUAUCCACCUCACGUCUGUAAGCCGCCAUGAGUGGAUCCUUAGAAUCCCAAGUGCCAGAAACUUGCUGAGCCACCAGAUCAGAGUCUCCAAAGCAUCGUACCCGGCUUAAAUUCAUCUCCUUGGCUACUCGGAGCCCAUGGAGCAGAGCCUCGUACCCAGUUGCAUUGUUAGUACAGGGGAACAUUAAACGGAGGACAUAACGUAUCUUAUCACCUCGAGGGGAAGUAAGAACAACUCCAGCCCCCGAGCCCUCCAAUUGUCUGGAUCCAUCGAAGUGAAUAGUCUAGUAUGUAUUAUUCGGUUUGUCCUCUGGCGCUUGUAACUCGGUCCAGUCAUUGAUGAAGUCCACAAGUGCCUGAGAUUUUAUGGCUGUUCGAGGCACAUACUUGAGACCAUGUGGACCAAGUUCAAUUGCCCAUUUUGCAACCCGGCCAGUAGCUUCCCUGUUCUGAAUGAUAUCACCCAACGAAGCUGAACUGACAACCGUAAUGGGAUGGCCUUGGAAAUAUUGUUUGAGCUUCCGACUUGCCAUAAAAACCCCAUAUACUAGCUUCUGCCAAUGCGGAUAUCGCUGCUUUGAGUCGAUAAGAACCUCACUAAUAGAGUAAACCGGCCGUUGAACCAGGUACUCCUUACCAGCCUCCUUGCGCUCCACCACAAUUGCCACACUGACAGCACGGGCAUUAGCAGCCACGUACAACAAUAAGGGUUGCCUGUCAACCGGAGCAGCAAGGACGGGCGGUUCGGCCAACUGUCGCUUCAAGUCUUCAAACGUCGUAUUAGCCGCAUCACUCCAGACAAAGGUGUCUGUUUUCUUCAACAUCUGAUAUAGAGGGAUCGCCUUCUCUCCCAAACGGCUGAUAAACCGGCUUAGGGCUGCAAUCCGACCUGCUAGACACUAAACAUCAUUGAUGCAUGCCAGUUUAGCCAAAGAUGUAAUCGCCUUGAUCUUCUCCGGAUUAGCCUCAAUGCCUCUGUUGGACACCAGAAAGCCUAGAAGCUUGCCUGCCGGAACACCAAAGACACACUUGUCCGGAUUGAGCAUCAUCUUGUAAACCCACAAAUUGUCAAAGGUCUCCUUGAGAUCAUCUAUCAAUGUCUCCUUCUUCCUGGACUUUACCACAAUGUCAUCAACAUAGGCAUGAACAUUGCGCCCAAUCUUAGUGUGAAGACAAUUAUGUACACAACGUUGAUAAGUUGCCUGGACACUCUUGAGCGCAAAGGGCAUAGAAACAUAGCAGAAGGCUCCAAAGGGUGUGAUGAAGGCGGUCUUCUCCUGGUCCUUAACUGCCAUUUUGAUCUGAUGAUAACCUGAAUAAGCAUCCAAGAAACUCAAACGCUCACAACCCGUCGUUGCAUCUAUGAUCUGAUCAAUACGCGGGAGAGCAAAAGGAUUGACCGGACAAGCUUUGUUCAAAUCUGUGUAAUCCACACACAUGCGCCAAGUGUUGUUUUUCUUAAGAACAAGCACCGGAUUAGCCAACCACUCAGGGUGAAACACUUCAAUGAUAAAACCAGCAGCCAACAGCUGGGCUACCUCUUCACCAAUUGCCUUGCGUCUUUCCUCGUUGAAGCGAUGAAGAAACUGCUUGACCGGUUUAAACUUGGGAUCAAUAUUAAGAGUGUACUCAGCGAGUUCCCUCGGUACACCUGGCAUGUCAGAAGGCUUCCAUGCAAAAAUGUCCCGGUUCUCAGGGAUGAACUCGAUGAGCGCACCUUCCUAUUUCGGAUCCAGAUUUGUGUUGAUGCUGAACUGCUUGGACGAAUCGCCAGGAACAAAGUCAACAAGUUUAGUCACAUCAGCCGGUUUAGAAUGCAGGGUUGGGUCAUCCUCAGUAGUGGGUUUCUUCAGAGGGGUCAUGUCUGCCGGAUCAACAUUUUCCUUAUAAAACUUCAGCUCCUCUGUAGCACAAACCGACUUAGCAUAGGCUGCAUCACCUUCCUCGCAAUCCAAAGCGAUUUUACGACUUCCGUGAACCGUAAUGGUCCCUUUAUGACCCGGCAUCUUGAGCUGCAAGUAGAUAUAACAUGGCCUCGCCAUGAACUUUGCAUAAGCCGGUCGCCCAAACAGUGCGUGGUAUGGGCUCUGGAUCCUCACCACUUCAAAGGUCAAUGUCUCAGACCGGGAAUCAUGUUCAUCACCAAACACAACUUCCAAAGCGACCUUACCAACAGGAUAUGCCGAUUUACCUGGUACCACACCAUGGAAAACAGUGUUGGACGGUUUAAGACUCUUGUCUGUCAACCCCAUGCGACGGAAGGUCUCGUAAUACAGAAUGUUAAUACUGCUUCCUCCAUCCAUGAGUACCUUGGUGAACUUAUAACCUCCCACCUGAGGUGCCACCACCAAAGCCAGGUGACCCGGGUUGUCAACCCGGGGCGGAUGAUCCUCCCUGCUCCAUACAAUAGGUUGCUCGGACCACCGCAGAUAACGUGGUACUGCCGGUUCAACAGUAUUAACAGCCCUCUUGUGAAGCUUCUGGUCAUGCUUACACAAACUAGUUGUGAACACGUGAUACUGCCCACCGUUCAAUUGCUUUGGGUGACUCUGGUAACCCGAUUGCUGCUGAUUUCCUUGAUUACUCUGCUGGUUAUUACCACCUUGGUUGUGCUGGUUGCCCUGAUUAUUCUGAAACCCAGAGUUCGAACCGCCACCGCCAUGAAAACCUGGACCUGAACCGCCCGAUGGACCCUGAUCAUACCGGAAAAGAUCAGAGUUUUUGAACUCCUUCAUGAUGUGACAAUCUUUCCAGAGAUGUGUUGCAGGAACCUCCUUGGUCCCAUGCUUUGGGCAGGGUUGAUUCAACAAACGCUCCAGAUUCAUUCCGCCACCGCGCUGGGGCGGUUUACCCUUACGACGCUGCACAUUAGCAUUAGCUACAAAAUCUGAAUCCGCUUUACGUUUACCGUUAUUCCCAUGGCCUCCUUGGUUGUGCUGUUGUCCCUUUGCACCGCCAUUCUUCUUUCCCUUCUCUGGUUUCUCCUCAUCAGAAUCGAGAUCCUUGGUAUUAUCAAAAUCGGCAUACUUGACCAAGGCAGCCAUAAGGGUGCCCAUGUCAUUACAGUGGCGCUUGAGUUGUCCCAACUUCUUCUUCAGUGACUUAAACCGGCAAUUACGCUCCAAGGUGAUGAUUGCUGAGCCAGCUAAUACGGUCCGAUGAAUGCAAGACUUCUGAAACCCGGCGCACCCAAUGAGUUGUUGACUCGUUCUCCCCUUGCACACAGGCGUCGAGACCCACAAGACAUAGGUUGCUUACAUGUGUCCUUGAAAUUGGCUAUAAACCGGGCCUUCAACUGGUCCCAUGACUCGAGGGAGUUAGGUGGUAAAUUUUUCAACCAAGUACGGGUUGUUCCCUCCAACAUCAUCGUGAAGUACUUUGCACAAGCCGCUUCAUCAACGUCCAGCAUCUCCAUUGCCAUCUCAUAACUUUCCACCCACGCCUCGGGUGGCUGAUCAGCGGUGUAAUUCGGCACCUUACGUGGGCCCUUGAAGUCCUUAGGCAAUCGCACAUUACGGAGAGCCGGAAUAAGACACGGCACUCCCCACAAACUGAAAGCAAGUCCAGUGCCUCGGUCCACUGAUGCUGCUGGCUGAACCGGGGCGGGUUGGUAUCGACCCGUAUGUUGUGCGGCUAAAGCGGCCUCCCUUCGUGCUCUGCCAUUAUCCACCACGUCUUGAGCGUUCACAUCACCACGCGCCGGAUUAGGCCCUUGAGGGACAAUGCGGCGCUGCGCACUGCUGGACACUUCCGGUUCAUCUAUAUGCCUGCUAUAGCGUUUGCUCGGUCGUGGAGUUGAGUGAACCCUGUCUCGGCUAUACGAGUAAGCUUGCUGCUGUGUCAGAGCUGUUUGAAGAAGAUCCCUGGCCCGCCGUGUCUCAACCGCUGUCGGUGAUUCACCUUCUAUCGGAAUAGCGGCCAACCGGGAUGCUGCUGCUAUCAUAUUGUCCAACGGGGUAGAGAAGUGACCCGGCAGUGGUGUGAUAUACCGCAGCGGGUUGUCCGUACACUGAGGUGGACCCAUCCCCUGAGGUUGAUCCGGCGCUCCGGUCCUUGGUAUCAUGGUCCGGUUCACUGCCACCGGGUUGCUAGUCCCUGCUCUAGCGUAUUAAAGAGAUUCAUCGCAUUGUAAUCCGCCGGCAAGCGAGAUUGAUGUCUCCUCCGGAAUACUUGAUUUGAAGCGUUCUGAUCCAUCAAAAGUCGAUAAUUCUCGGCUUGAAUCUUCUGCGCCUGGGCAUCUAAAGCGGCCCGUUCCUCCGCCAUCCUGGUCUCCUCAGCCGCUAAGUCCGCCUUGGCUUGCAUUAUCUGAUCAUUUAGACUUGCAAUGUCCGCAUUGUGCUGAUCCUGCGUCGCCGGUGUAACCGCUGUGGUCAACAAGGUCGCCCAGGCAUCCAUUAAACCGGAGAGAACUUGAGCCAGCCGGAGCGCGGAGCCACCUGCCCCUGCUACCGGUCCAAACGCCUCCGCAAUAGAGUUUUGCAAGGUUGGCUGUGUUCCGGCCAUGAAGAUUCCAACGUGGUUCGACGGUUCAAUAAAUUCCGGAAUACUGGUGCCAUCGGAAUACCUUUCAAGCACGCCAUCCUGAACUUGGUACAGGGAUUUGGUUUCGCCAGCGGAUGAUUCGCCAUCGGAAUAAGCGACCGUUUCACCCUCAGACACCGGUUCAGAUACGAUCCCGUGGACACAUCCCACGAACGCACGCUUCACAGUAGGCUCAAUCCGGGCGGGACUUGCACGCUGAGCCGUUUCGACGAGGUUGAUGCAGGUGUACGGCUCAGGGCCCGGUUCGCCGAUCUUGCCGAUGAAGACGUGAAUUCCGCCGAAGGGGACCCGGUACCCGUACUCGAUUGAGCCGGCCUCGGGGCCCCAGCCUGCAUCGCCGAUGUAGAGCUUGCUGCGACGACUCUUAGUCAUCCGACCGACCACGUACCCCUUAAGUCCUUCAGAGCUGCCCUCCAAGAACUCGAAACCAUCGUGCGAUAGCCCCACGGUGGGCGCCAACUGUCGUGGAAAUAUCACGUCAGAUGUCCUCGUGUAAGGACUUAGUUGUGGAGCCAUCGCAACGGGUUAAAUUAAAGGGGUUAAACCGGACAAAGGACACGAGGGAUUUUAUACUAGCUCGGCCCCUUCGAUGAAGGUAAAGGCCUACGUCUAGUUGUGAUGGGAUUAUUGGGGUCUCGCUAACCAGGGAGCUAAACAAGCUUUGCCUGGCUAUCGAGUUGUGUUUCUUGUCCCUGAACAGCCGCUGGGUCGUCCCCUUAUAUACACGGGUUGACGCCCGGCUGGUUUACAGAGUCCCAAGGCCGACUCAUACAAGUGUUCGGCUCGGUCUCUCCUUUCCUUAUCUUACAACACAAGUUACAUGACUAUGGCAGUCUACUACUAUGGGCCCUAAUCCGCCUUUGGGCUCUGGGCCUCUAAGCUUCAUAAUAAUGCGCCAUCUUCUGAGUCUUCGUGGACUUGAAUAUAGUUGAGGGUGAACCGGCCCCUCCUGGGCGGUUUACACUCAGUAGUUAUAUCCCCAACUAUUUCUGAUCAAUAAUAUGUCAUUCACAUAUACUUAUCAGAAAGGCUAUAGUGCUCCCACUCACUUUCUUGUAAAUACAGGCUUCACUGUAAGUCUGUAUAAAACUAUAUGCUUUGAUGAACUCAUCAAAGCAUAUAUUCCAACUCUGAGAUGCUUGCACUAGUCCAUAGUUGGAUCGCUGGAGCUUGCACACUUUGUUAGUACCUUUAGGAUCGGCAAAACCUUCUGGUUGCAUCAUAUACAACUCUUCUUUAAGAAAUAUCCAUUUAAAGAAUGCAGUUUUGACAUCCAUUUGCCAGAUUUCAUAAAAUAUAGCAACUGCUAACAUGAUUCGGACGGAUUUAAGCAUCACUACAGGUGAGAAAGUCUCAUCGUAGUCAACUCCUUGAACUUUGUCGAAAACCUUUUUCCGACAAGUCGAGCUUUGUAGAUAGUAACAUUACUAUCAACGUCCAUCUUCCUCUUGAAGGUCCAUUUAUUUUCUAUGGCUUGCCGAUCAUCGGGCAAGUCCACCAAAGUCCUCACUUUGUUCUCAUACAUGGAUCAUAUCUCAGAUUUCAUGGCCUCAAGCCAUUUCGCGGAAUCUGGGCUCAUCAUCGCUUCCUCAUAGUUCGUCGGUUCAUCAUUGUCUAUUAACAUGACUUCUAGAAUAGGAUCGCCGUACCACUCUGGUGCAGACCGUACUCUGGAAGACCUACGAGUUUCUGUAGUAACUUGAUCUGAAGUUUCAUGAUCAUCAUCAUUGGCUUCCUCACUAAUUGGUGUAGGAAGCACUGGAACUGAUUUAUGUGAUGAACUACUUUCCAAUUCGGGAGAAGGUACAAUUACCUUAUCAAGCUCUACUUUCCCCCCACUCACUUCUUUCGAGAGAAACUCCUUCUCUAGAAAGGAUCUAUUUUAGCAACAAAGAUUUUGCCUUUGGAUAUGUGAUAGAAGGUGUACCCAACAAUUUCCUUUGGGUACCCUAUGAAGACGCACUUCUUCGAUUUGGGUUCGAGCUUAUCAGGUUGAAGCUUUUUUACAUAAGCAUCGCAGCCCCAAAUUUUAAGAAAUGACAACUUUGGUUUCUUGCGAAACCACAGUUCAUAAGGCGUCAUCUCAACGGAUUUUGAUGGUGCCCUAUUUAACGUGAACGCAGUUGUCUCUAAUGCAUAACCCCAAAACGACAGUGGUAAAUCGGUAAGAUACAUCAUAGAUCGCACCAUAUCCAAUAAAGUGCGGUUACGACAUUCGGACACACCAUUACGCUGUGGUGUCCAUGUGGCAUGAGCUGUGAAACUAUUCCACUUUGUUUUAAACUAGCAACGUGGCCCGCUCUUCGCGCGGGCUAGUACUGAAUAUAGUUUGAUUGACAUAAAUUCAUACUCACCUAUUCUCUGGGCUGGUCGUGAAGUGGUGAUUUGAAAGAUAUCAGAGUUACCUCUUUACUAUUUCGGUGAGAUGUCUGGAGGCUAUGUUGUUGCUGAAAUUUUUUAGUGCUACGUGCUCGAAUCCAUGGGCUUGCAUGAUGCCGCUACAGUGAUGUGUACAUGGUGUGUGGCCUGCUUGACAAUCCCGUUGAGGCAUAUUGAGGUUUAUUAUUUUUAGUAUAUAAUGUUUCCCUAAGAAGUGUCGUAGGCAUCACAUUUGAGUCAAUAUGGGUGAUUUUGUAACGAUCAUAUUUUUUUUCAUAUGCCCAUGCAGUAUAUGUUAGCAUGGAAUUAUACUUUAAAAGGUUUGCAUCACCAAAUAUUACAUAAUUUACGCAAAACAUACGUACAUGCACUAUAUUUUUCCCCUAGACGAUGUGCAUUAAUCAUAUGUGUUUUUUAUAAUUCAUGGCUGAUUUUUCUAGAACAAUUUAUAGCUGAUUAUUUGUGCUUUUGUAGUAAAAUAAUUUGUUUGUACUUGAAUGAUUAGUUUGUCUUUUAGACCAAUAGGCUCACGUAGAUGCACACAUCAUUCAAACAUCUCUCGCACUGCAUAGUCCACAUCUUCACACAAAGGCUGGUCUUAGCCUGAUCCCCAUUGUCCCAUUUCUCCUUCCCUUCCUUUCUGUGUUGACUAUAAAUGUUACUGCUGCCGGUUGAUGUCUAGCUAAUCAUAGAGCAAAGACACCCUCCAUUUCUCUGUUUAUUACCAGAUACAUGUCAUAGGUUGAUGUCCAGCUAUGCAAAGAGCAAUGUCGGUGUUGUUGUUGAUUCAUUCUGGGAAUGGAUCUCAUCUCUCGUAGCCAGAUUGCAUCCAGACCGAGUUCAUCCUCCAGAAGACACAUCUAUAUUACUGAAAAUCAAGGACGGUUGACACGUCGUCUUUGUCCUCCAUAGCGGUUUCCAUGUUCUGUCUACAUAUCCAACUUUUUCCCUUUACUGUUCAUGUCAUAUAUCCCCCAUCUUCUUAACUUUUUCCUAUGUUUGUACUGCUGAACCGAUGUAACAAAGGUAGUGAAAUUUUUAAUUUGUUUAUGCCUAUCCACUUUAUUCGUGCUUGGGAAUGACAUUCGUUGUUGCCCCCGUGCCCCUAUUCAUAUGCAGGCUCUCAAAUAUGUAAUGGGCCUCAAAUAUCAGAUAAUAUUGAGCAUCGAUGUCAGGUAUGAAUGAGUUGUUUCCAUCGAAUGAUGAUGCACGUUUCCAUUACUUAUGCAUAUAAGUAGACCAUAUCCAUCCUGCCAUACCAUGGUAGCAUUGGUAUGUUAGUUAUUAUUUUGAAGAUAGUUUGUAGUAUACAACUUUUUCAUGUACUUAUUCUCAUCCAAUAAAAGGUCAGUAGCAACAUCUUGCUGAAGAAGAACUAUAAUAAAAGUGUUUUUCCAUGCCUUUAGCAUAUUUAUUUAUACACUAUUACCCUUACUCCAUCCCUUUAUUGAGACUCUCCUGAGAAUGCUACGUAUAGUUCUCCAUGUGCAAACACAUGUUUAGGCAGAGAUAGGUCCAAUUUUUUGAUCUACGGGGCUCACCUCCCCUUAUUUAUUUGUUGUCAUCGUACGAUUGAACUAAUAAAAUUAAUUAAAGUAGAUUUUUUUAGUGACUAAACUUCCAGUUCAUGAUUUUGUAACACCCUGCAUGUCGACUGCCUCCUGCCUAGAAGGCGGGUACUCAGUGGCACCCCCAUCACAAUACCUAUAGGCAGGAUCGAUGAAGCUAGUGGAUCGGAGGCUCGGAGACUGAGUGAGAAUAGUGGCCUCGAGAAGAGUUUUUUUUUACCUUGGAGAAGGAGAUUGGGAAUUGUUGCCUUGAACAUAGGUUUUUCUUUCUACAAAAAGUGAUUAUGAGUUGAUAGUUUUUCUUUGUAGCUACUCGCCAGCGAAGAGACCUCGGAUCCCGAAGAAAGACCGGCAGCGCUAGUGCAGAGACUCAUUGCGACAGCCGCUACGUGAAGUCGAGGACAUAGGGGACGGCAAGAUCUGUAAGUAGUUUUCUUUUUACAUGAAAUGCAGCUAAAAAUGAUAUAUGAGAUGUACUACUUUUUCAGGGAAAAGAUCUGGUAGUAGCUAUUUUGUACGUGAGAUGUAGUAGUUUUUUUUUUUGGUUUAAGGGACGUACGAUGUGGUAUUUUUUUUAUUUGUAGAACAUGAGAUCUAGUAGUUUUUCUGGCUUAUUCUUCUAAGAAGUGUACAUAGAAUAAAUCAGAUCCACCAGUUUUACAUGUAGUACGUGAGAUCUUUUAGGUUUUUCUUUUAGUUUUAUUUAAACAAACAUGCAGAGAGAUAUAAGGUGUGUACGUUUAUUUUAAUUGGAUGUAAUCUUUAUUUUAGGAUGGAGCGGCACGUACAAGCUAGGCAAAUAUUUUUUAUUUAGUUUUAUUUAAAGGGGCAUACACAUAGAUAUAAGGUGCGUACGUUUUUUCUUUAGUUGCAGGUAAUAUUUAUUUUAGGAUGGAGCGGCACGUAAGCUAAGGAUAGAUAUAUAUGUUUUUUACAUGAACAGCAUGCAGAUAGAUAUCAGGUGUGUAAGUUUUUUUUUUUAAAUUGCACGUAAUCUUCAUUUUAGUAUGGAGCGUCACGUACAGGCUAGGCUAAGGACAGCUUUUUUCUUUUAGUUUUAUUUAAACGAACAUGCAGAUAGAUAUAAGGUGUGUACGUUUAUUUUAAUUGCAUGUAAUCUUUAUUUUAGGAUGGAGCGGCACAUACAAGCUAGGCAAAUGUUUUUUAUUUCGUUUUAUUUAAAGGGACAUACACAUAGAUAUAAGGUGCGUACGUUUUUUCUUUAGUUGCAGGUAAUAUUUAUUUUAGGAUGGAGCAACACGUAAGCUAAGGGUAGAUGUAUAUUUUUUUUACAUGAACAGCAUGCAGAUAGAUAUCAGGUGUGUAAGUUUUUUUUAAAAUUGCACAUAAUCUUUAUUUUAGUAUGGAGUGUCACGUACAGGCUAGGCUAAGGACAGCUGCGUUUUUUUCUUUUUGAGAUGGAGUCCUCUUAGAUCUAAUCCGUUAAUUACGUCUUUCAAAUUAUGGGUCCACCAAACCAACGAUCAGAUGUUUCUAAUUAUUGUGGUAAUUUCUAGCUUAUUUAUCUUUUUUCUGAUUAACCCGUCAAGCGCUUUUUAUAUAUAAUAAUAAUAGAUGAAGACCAAACUCGUAACUCAAAUAUUCUCCUCUACGAUCAGAUCGUAGAAACAUUAUUUUCUUGUUACGAUAAUUCUCCACUUCACUCUGAAAUUCUUUGAACUUUUCAAAUGUUUCAGACUUAUGCUUCAUUAAGUAGAUAUAACCAUAUCUGCUUAAAUCAUCUGUGAAGUUCAGAAAAUAACGAUACCCGCCACGAGCAUCAACACUCGUUGGACCGCAUACAUCGGUAUGUAUUAUUUCCAAUAGGUCACUAGCUCGUUCCAUUGUUCCGGAGAACGGAGUUUUAGUCAUCUUACCCAUAAGGCACGGUUCGCAAGCAUCAAAUGAUUCAUAAUCAAGUGAUUCCAAAAGUCCAUCUUUAUGGAGUUUCUACAUGCGCUUUACACCGAUAUGACCUAAAUGGCAGUGCCACAAAUAUGUUGCACUAUAAUUAUCAACUUUGCAUCUUUUGGCAUCAAUAUUAUGAAUAUGUGUAUUACUACGAUGAAGAUUCAAUAAAUCAUCAACAUAGGGUGUAUGACCAUAGAAGGUUUUAUUCAUGUAAACAGAAUAACAAUUUAUUCUCUGUCUUAGAUGAAUAAUCGUAUCGCAAUAAACAUGAUCUAAUCAUAUUUAUGCUCAACGCAAACGCCAAAUAACAUUUAUUUAGGUUUAACACUAAUCUCGAAAGUAUAGGGAGUGUGCGAUGAUGAUCAUAUGAAUCUUGGAACCACUUCCAACACACAUCGUCACCUCACCCUCAACUAGUCUCUGUUUAUUCUAUAACUCCUAUUUCGAGUUUACUAAUCUUAGCAACCGAACAAACAUCAAAUACCCAGGGGCUACUAUAAACACUAGUAAGGUACACAUCAAUAACAUGUAUAUCAAAUAUACCCUUGUUCACUUUGCCAUCCUUCUUAUCCACCAAAUAUUUAGAGCAUUUCCGCUUCCAAUGACCAUUUCCUUUGCAGUAGAAGCACCCAGUUUCAGGCUUUGGUCCAGCUUAGGGCUUCUUCACGGGAGUGACAACUUGCUUGUCAUUAUACUUGAAGUUACAUUUCUUUUCCCGUUUCCCUUUUUUUGAAACUAGUGGUCUUGUAAAUCAUCAACACUUGAUGCUCUUUCUUGAUUUCUACCUUCGUCGAUUUAAACAUCACGAAGAGCUCGGGAAUCAUUUUCGUCAUCUCUUGCAUACUAUAGUUCAUCACGAAGUUCCAGUAACUUGGUGAUGGUGACUAGAGAACUCUGUCAAUCACUAUCUUAUCUAGAAGAUUAACUCCCACUUGAUUCAAGUGAUUGUAGAGGCUAUGGUGUUGAUGUAGAAGCCCUCCAUGAUCGAUUUCCCCUCUGGCGGAGUGCCGGAAAAGGCCCCAAGAUGGGAUCUCGUGGAUACAGAAGGUUGCGGCGGUGGAAAUAGGGUUUCGUGGUGCUCCUGGAUGUUUUCAGGGUAUGCAAGUAUAUAUAGGCGAAGGAGGUCGGUCAGGGGAGCCACAAGGGGCCCAUGAGGGUGGGGGCGCGCCCACCCCCCUAGGGCACGCCCUGCACCCUCGUGGCCGCCUCGGCUGCUUCUUGACGUCCACUCCAAGUCUCAUGGAUUGUGUUUGUUCCAAAAAUAUCGCUCCCAAAGGUUUCAUUCCGUUUGGACUCUGUUUGAUAUUCCUUUUCUUCGAAACACUGGAAUAGGCAAAAAAACAGCAAUUUGGGCUAGGCCUCCGGUUAGUAGGUUAGUCCCAAAAAUGAUAUAAAAGUGUAAAGUAAAGCCCAUAAACAUCCAAAACGGGUAAUAUAAUAGCAUGAAACAAUCAAAAAUUAUAGAUACAUUGGAGAUGUAUCAAGCAUCCCCAAGCUUAAUUGUUGCUCGUCCUCGAGUAGGUAAAUGAUAAAAACAGAAUUUUUGAUGUGGAAAGCUACCUAGCAUAUUUCUCAAUGUAAUUUUCUUUAUUGUGGCGUGAAUGUUUAGAUCCAAAUGAUUCAAGAUAAAAGUUCAUAUUGACAUAAGAAUAGUAAUACUUCAAUCAUACUAACAAGUAAUCAUGUCUUCUCAAAAUAACAUGGCCAAAGAAAGCUUAUCCCUACAAAAUCAUAUAGUUAGGCUAUGUUUCAUUUUCGUCACACAAAAUACUCCCAUCAUGCACAACCCCGGUUUCAGACACGCAAUUGGUUCACACUUUCUAAUGCGCUUCAGCUUUUUCAACUCUCACGCAAUACAUGAGCGUGAGCCAUGGAUAUAGCACUACGAGUGGAAUAGAAUAUGAUGAUGGAGGUUGUGUGGAGAAGACAAAAAAAUAAAGUCUCACAUUGACGAGGCUAAUCAACGGGCUAUGUAGAUGCCCAUCAAUUGAUGUGAACAUGAGGAGUAGGGAUUGCCAUGCAACGGAUGCACUAGAGCUAUAAAAGCUCAACAAAAGAAAUUAAGUGGGUGUGCAUCCAACUUGCUUGCUCACGAAGACCUAGCGAAGCCCAUCAUUGGAAUAUACAAGCCAAGUUCAAUAAUUAAAAAUUCCCACUAGUAUAUGAAAGUGACAAAAUAAGAGACUCUCUAUCAUAAAGAUCAUGGUGCAACUUUGAAGCACAAGCGUGGAAAAGGAUAGUAACAUUGUCCCCCCUUUUUUGGGCCUUUUUUUAUUUGGCCUUUCUUUUUUUACUUUUUAUUUGGCCUUUCUUUUUUUAUUAAGGGACAAUGCUCUAAUAAUGAUGAUCAUCACACUUCUAUUUAUUUACAACUCAUGGAUUACAACUCGAUAGUAGAACAAGAUAUGACUCUAUAUGAAUGCCUCCGGCGGUGUACCGGGAUAUGCAAUGAAUCAAGAGUGACAUGUAUGAAAAUUUAUGCAUGGUGGCUUUGCCACAAAUAAGAUGUCAACUACAUGAUCAAGCAAUAUGACAAUGAUGGAGCGUGUCAUAAUAAAUGGAACGGUGGAAAGUUGCAUGGCAAUAUAUCUCGGAAUGGCUAUGGAAAUGCCAUAAUAGGUAGGUAUGGUGGCUGUUUUGAGGAAGAUAUAAGGAGGUUUAUGUGUGAUAGAGCGUAUCAUAUCACGGGGUUUGGAUGUACCGGCGAAGUUUGCACCAACUCUCAAGGUGAGAAAGGGCAAUGCACGGUACCGUAGAGGCUAGCAAUGAUGGAAGGGUAAGAGUGCGUACAGUCCAUGGACUCACAUUAGUCAUAAAGAACUCAUAUACUUCUUGCAAAAAAUUUAUUAGCCCUCGAAGCAAAGUAUUACUACGCAUGUUCCUAGGGGAAGGGUUGGUAGGAGUUAACCAUCGUGCGAUCCCGACCUCCACUCAUAAGGAAGGCAAUCAAAAGAGCACCCCAUGCAACAAAUUUGUUACACAACUUUUACCAUACGUGCAUGCUACGGGACUUGCCAACUUGAACACAAGUAUUUCUCAAUUGCAUAAUUACCCAACUAGCAUGACUCUAACAUUAUCACCUUUAUAUCUCAAAACAAUUAUCAAGCAUCAAAUUGAUCAUAGCAUCCAAUUCACUUUCUAUGAUAGUUUUUAUUAUACCCAACUUGGAUGCCCAUCAUUCUAGGAGCAAUUUUAUAACCAUAGCAAAUACCAUACUAUUCUAAAAGACUCUCAAAAUAAUAUAAGUGAAGCAUGAGAGAUCAAUAAUUUCUACAAAACAAAACCACUGAUGUGCUCUAAAAAUAUAAGUGAAGCACAUAGAGCAAAACUGUCUAGCUCAACAGAUAUAAGUGAAGCACAUAGAGUAUUCUAAUAAAUUCUGAAUCAUGUGUGUCUCUCCCAAAAGGUGUGUACAGCAAGGAUGAUUGUGGUAAACUAAAAAGCAAAUACUCAUAUCAUACAAGACGCUCCAAGCAAAACACAUAUCAUGUGGUGAAUAAAAAUAUAGCUCCAAGUAAAGUUACCGAUAGACGAAGACGAAAGAGGGGAUGCCUUCUGGGGCAUCCCCAAGCUUAGGUUUUUGGUUGUCCUUGGAUUAUCUUGGGGUGCCAUGGGCAUCCCCAAGCUUAGGCUCUUGCCACUCCUUAUUCCAUAGUCCAUCAAAUCUUUACCCAAAACUUGAAAACUUCACAACAGAAAACUCAACAGGAAAUCUCAUGAGCUCCGUUAGUGCAAGAAAGAAAAACCACCACCUUAAGGUACUGUAAUGAACCCAUUCUUUAUUUAUGUUAGUGUUAAACCUACUGUAUUCCAACUUCUCUAUGGUUCAUACCACCCGAUACUAGCCAUAGAUUCAUCAAAAUAAGCAAACAACACACGAAAAACAGAAUCUGUCAAAAACAGAACAGUUUGUAGCAAUCUGUAACUUUCGAAUACUUCUGGAACUCUAAAAAUCCUACCAAAACAGGAAGUCCUAGGAAAUUUGUCUAUUGAUCUAUUUAAAAACAAAUCAACUAAAAAUCACGUUUCUGUGAUUUAUUAAAAUUAUUCUCGUGCGCGCAUAAGUUUUUGUUUUUCAGCAAGAUCAAAUUAACUAUCACCCAAGAUGAUCCUAUAGGUUCUACCUGGUACAAACACUAAUUAAAACAUAAAACCACAUCUAAACAGAAGCUAGAUGAAUUAUUUAUUACUAAACAGGAACAAAAAUAAAAUUGGGUUGCCUCCCAACAAGCGCUAUCAUUUAAUGCCCCUAGCUAGGCAUAAAAGCGAGAAUAGAUCUAAGUAUUGCCAUCUUUGGUAUUCAAUUCGUAAGUGUCUCUCAUAAUAGAUUCAUAAGGUAAUUUGAUUUUCUUUCUAGGAAAGUGUUCCAUGCCUUUCCUUAAUGGAAAUUGGAAUCUAAUAUUUCCUUCCUUCAUAUCAAUAAUUGUAUCAAUCGUUCUAAGGAAAGGUCUACCAAGAAUAAUAGGACAUGAAAGAUUGCAAUCUAUAUCAAGAACAAUAAAAUCUAUGGGCACAUAAUUCCUAUUUGCAACAAUAAGAACAUCAUUAAUCCUUCCCAUAGGUUUCUUAAUGGUGGAAUCCGCAAGGUGCAAGUUCAAAGAGCAAUCAUCAAAUUCACGGAAACCUAGCACAUCACAUAAAGUUUUUGGAAUCGUGGAAACACUAGCACCCAAAUGACACAAAGCAUAGCAUUCAUGAUCUUUAAUUUUAAUUUUAGUAGUAGGUUCCCACCCAUAAUAAAGUUUCCUAGGGAUAGAAACUUCCAAUUCAAGUUUUUCUUCAUAAGACUGCAUCAAAGCAUCAACGAUAUGUUUAGUAAAAGCUUUAUUUUGACUAUAAGCAUGAGGAGAAUUCAACACGGAUUGCAACAAGGAAAUAUAAUCUAUUAAAGAACAAUUAUCAUAAUUAAAUUCCAUGAAAUCCAAAAUACUGGGGUCAUUGCUAUGUAAAGUUUUGACCUCUCCAAUCCCACUUUUACCAAAUUUAGCAUCAAGAUCUAAAAACUCUGAAUCAUUGGGACACCUUUUAACUAAAGUUGACUCAUCUCCAGCCCCAUCAUUAUCAAGAUGCAUAUUGCAAAACAAAGAUUUAAUAGGAGACACAUCAAUCACUUUUAGAUCUUCAUCAUCAUUUUCAUGAAAACUAGAAGAACACGCUCUUACAAAGCAAUCUUUCUUAGCACGCAUCCUAGCGGUUCUUUCUUUGCACUCAUCAAUGGAAAUUCUCAUUGUUUUGAGAGACUCAUUGAUAUCAUGCUUAGGUGGAAUAGAUCUAAGUUUCAAAGAAUCGACAUCAAGAGAAAUUCUAUCAACAUUCCUAGCCAAUUCAUCAACUUUAAGCAGCUUUUCUUCAAGCAAAGCAUUGAAAUUCUUUUGAGAAUUCAUAAAUUCUUUAACACUAAUCUCAAAAUCAGAGGGAAUCUUAUUAAAAUUUCCAUAAGAGUUGUUGUAGGAAUUACCAUAAUUAUUAGAGGAAUUACUAGGAAAUGGCCUAGGAUUAAAGUUUCCUCUAUACGCGUUGUUACCAAAAUUAUUCCUACCAACAAAAUUCACAUCCAUAGAUUCACUAGAAGAACGCCCGUGCGUUGCAACGGGGCCACAUUAACUUUAAGAGUUCAAUAUUACGACAUUGACGACCUUUUUUACCAUCAAAUCCUCACACACACACACUCUCCCCCCUCCCUCUUCCUCACUCUCUCUUCCUCUCUCUCUCUAACACACACACACACACACAUAGCCUAUUCUCCCCACCAAUAAGACUUACUCAAUUGCCAAUAAUGUGUGGACUUGUGGCGAGCUUGACUGAACUAAUGGAUAGUGUGAUAUAUUCCCCAAUCAUUUAACAAUGAAAUUUCAGAAAUGGGAAGAUUAUGUAACACCUCAAGUCGUUAGCUACAAUGACCUCCCCCUAAUGAUGCCAUGUCAUCAGGCUUGCUAAGCCAAACUGCCACUUGAUAAAAAUCAAAGCCCAAUUCAAAUUUAAAAUAAAGUCAAAUAAAUUGUUUCGUCAAAUAGUAAAACUAAAAUGUUCAGCAUAUUCUAUAAAUUCCACUGAUCUUUGUCAUGUUGAGCCCAACAUUAUUUGACCCAAAAAUUAAAUCUUGUCAAAUUAAUAAGAGGUCCAACAAUAGUUAAAAUAACCAAUUAAAUAUAAACCUAAUUUUAUGUAUUUCCUUUUGGCCCCAAACUUUUUGUGCCACCUAAAAAUAUUGUGGUCGAAUUAUGUCCAUAGUUUCACAAUUAACAAAAUCCAUUUAGUUGAUAUAAGAAUAAAUAGAAAAUGGUGUUAAAAAGGAGAAACAGAUUAGAAUACAUUAAAAAACAAAAGGUCGAUGAAAAUGGGGGAUUCCCCCUACCCCCCCGGGCCUUGCCACCAAACUGGCCCAGUGGUCCGGUCCCCACACAGUCGUCUUCUCCUGUUCCCCGAGGACAUCGCUACAGAGUCGGGCUCCCGCCCGACCACCUCGCCGGCAUCAAAGGGGAAUGGAUAAGGGUGACGCCCUGCCUCCCCUGCCCCCAUGGCCUCACUCCUCCUCGACGCCCCCUCCCAGAUCCACUUCUCCUCCUUGCUUGCUCGAUCCCGGUGAUCUGGACGAAGUCAGAUGCCACGGCCACCAUGACCGACCCCGUCCACACGGCCACUGCCCUCCCUGCUGGCUAGGAGCUUGUCGAGGAGCUCCGAAUGCCUUCGCUACUUCGUCUGCACCAACGAGAUCAAGUCCAGCACCCCUAGAUCGACGUCAUUCUUCCUCAACCUUCGGCCACCGCAACAUUGUUGUUUGAUCCGCACCGCCCCGAGCUCUCCUGUCUUCCCCUAGGGUCCCAUUGACACUGUCGUGAUCUCCUCUUGCCUUUCCCCAGUUUCCCCUCUCAUUUGCUCUCGUUAGGUAUUUCGUUGUGGCCGAGAACCGCCGUCCGCCAUGGCCAUUGCAGGGGUAGCCACUGAGCUCCUGGGAUUGACCCCGUGGCACAUGCCCGCUCCUAUGCGCGCCCAUGCCCGAGCCUUUAGCUCUUCUUCUGUGCCCACGGGGCCACGCCCGCUCUGGCUCUCCAUGCCCAUGCACGUGCCACAUCGCGUCUGUCGCGCCCACCAUUGCCAUCAUGCUCGCCACAUCCAUCGCACCAUUGUGCCUCACGCGACGCACACCCUGGUCGCGCGUCACACUCUUGCUGGCUGCGCUCGCCGCGUCUGCUGCCGCCUCCCUUUGCUCGCCCCGCUGUCGCGCCCCUGCCUCGCACCGCCUCCUGUCGCGGCCAUCUUCUGUUGGCCGCCCCUCAGCCACGCCGGCCGCAUCUCUGCCCUCCACCGUCGGCCGCUCGCCUCGCCUGCUACGUGCUUCUUCCUGCUACUAUGAGCUGCUCUACCACUGGUACGCUGUUGCGGCAUGCCCUCGACACCGCCGUGGAUAAACGUGGCGGAGGGAUUGUCAAUGGAGUACGAGGAGGAGGUGGUGGAGAAGGUGUAGUGAGGCAAGAGGUCUGGGGUGGCGUCAGCUGGCUGUGGUGGAGGUGAUUAUGCGAGAAGGAGCCGGAGUGGAAGGAGAGGUCACAAUUGGAAAGAAUCGCAAAAAAAUCAUAACCUGGAGAUCUCAUUCCAAAAAAUGCUAAUAUCGAUGGAGGGGUGAUUUCCUUCAAUUGGUGGAAAACAUAGGAAAUAUUGGAUGUUAUCAAGGAAAGGUAAAAAUUUAGGAAAGUUAGGAUUUUGAACUGAUUUCUAUGCAAAUGGGGUUUUAUUUUUUGGUAACAUGGUAUUAGUACCUGCCCGUUUGUGACGUGUCUGAUUAGGAAAGUUUGCAAAGGUUAAGAAACUAUUUGUUGGGAGGAAAGUUUGUGAUGUCCUGUUAUUUGUUUCCUAAAACAAAUUUCACUAAUGAGAGAAAUCGAUUGAUUUAGAUAAGUUAGGAAAGUUAGAUUCAAAUCUAUUAUUUGUUUCUUAAAAAAUUGUUAUUUGUUUCCUAAGACAAAUUGAACCAAUAAAAGGAAUCAAUUGAUAUGAAUAAUUUAAGGGAGUUAGAUCCGUGAUUUGUUAUACGUUAGGAAAGUGCUAGCUGUAAUAAGAGUGUAGAGAAAAAUAAAUCGAUGGACCAGGAUGGGAGGGGGUGGUGGGAGGGGAGAUGAAAAAAACCAGCAAAAAUAAACCAUGGAGACUAUUCACCAACUACUCCAUUAGGAGUAGAGAUUAUUAUUCUCAAUCAAAGUAAACAAAUGCAUAUCAUUAGGAUCAAUAGGAGCACUCUUAGUAGCAAAAAAAUUCAUAAGUUCAUCCAUCUUUCCACUCAAGACAUUAAUUUCUUCUAUCGUAUGAACCUUUUUACUAGUAGAUCUUUUGGUGUGCCAUUGAGAAUAAUUAACCAUAAUAUUAUCUAGGAGUUUAUUAGCUUCUCCUAAAGUGAUUUCUAUAGAAGUGCCUCCCGUGACCGAAUCUAAAAGAUUACUAGAAGCAAAAUUCAAUCCGGCAUAAGAAAUUUGUAUGAUCAUCCAUAAAUUCAAACCAUGUGUAGGGAAAUUACGUAUCAUUAAUUUCAUCCUCUCCCAAGAUUGUGCAACAUGCUUGAUAACCCACAAGUGUAGGGGAUCGCAACAGCUUUCGAGGGUAAAGUAUUCAACCCAAAUUUAUUGAUUCGUCACAAGGGGAGCCAAAGAAUAUUAUUGAGUAUUAGCAGUUGAGUUGUCAAUUCAACCACACCUGGAUAACUUAGUAUCUGCAGCAAAGUAUUUAGUAGCAAAGUAGUAUGAUAAUAAAGGUAACAGUGGCAAAAGUAAAGAUAACAGUUUUGUAGUAGUUGUAACAAUAGCAACGGAAAACUAAAUAAGCGAAACACAAUAUGUGAAAAGCUCGGAGGCAUUGGAUCAGUGAUGGAUAAUUAUGUCGGAUGCGAUUCCUCAUGUAAUAGCUAUAACAUAGGGUGACACAGAACUAGCUCCAGUUCAUCAAUGUACUGUAGGCAUGUAUUCCGAAUAUAGUCACACGUGCUUAUGGAAAAGAACUUGCAUGACAUCUUUUGUCCUACCCUCCUGUGGCAGCGGGGUCCUAGCGGAAACUAAGGUAUAUUAAGGCCUCCUUUUAAUAGAGAACCGGACCAAAGCAUUAAUACAUAGUGAAUACAUGAACUCCUCAAACUACGGUCAUCACCGAGAAGUAUCCCGAUUAUUGUCACUUCGGGGUUCUCGGAUCAUAACACAUAAUAGGUGAAUAUAGACUUGCAAGAUAGGAUCAAGAACACACAUAUAUUCAUGAAAACAUAAUAGGUUCAUAUCUGAAAUCAUGGCACUCGGGCCCUAGUGACAAGCAUUAAGCAUAGCAAAGUCAUAGCAACAACAACCUCAGAACAUAGUGGAUACUAGGGAUCAAACCCUAACAAAACUAACUUGAUUACAUGGUAAAUCUCAUCCAACCCAUCACCGUCUAGCAAGCCUACGAUGGAAUUACUCACGCACGGCGGUGAGCAUCAUGAAAUUGAUGAUGGAGGAUGGUUGAUGAGAUGACGACGGCGACGAAUCCCCCUCUUCGGAGCCCCGAACGGACUCUAGAUCAGCCCUCCCAAGAGAGAUUAGGGCUUGGCGGCGGCUCCGUAUCGUAAAACGUGAUGAAACUUUCUCUCUCAUUUUUUUCUCGCGAAAAGGAAUAUAUGGAGUUGGAGUUGAGGUCGGUGGAGCCUCAGGGGGCCCACGAGACAGGGGGGCGCCCAGGGGGGUGGGCGCGCCCCCCACCCUUGUGGACAGGGUGUGGGCCCCCUGGUCUUGAUUCUUUUGCCAGUAUUUUUUAUAUUUUCCAAAACUUGCCUCCGUGGAUUUUCAGGUCAUUCCGAUAACUUUUGUUUUCUACACAUAAAACAACAUCAUGGUAGUUCUGCUGAAAACAGCGUCAGUCCAGGUUAGUUUCAUUCAAAUCAUGCAAGUUAGAGUCCAAAACAAGGGCAAAAGUGUUUGGAAAAGUAGAUACGUUGGAGACAUAUCAACUCGCCCAAGCUUAAACCUUUGCUUGUCCUCAAGCAAUUCAGUUGAUAAACUAAAAGUGAUAAAAAUAACUUUUACAAACUCUGUUUACUGCUAUUGUUGUAAACAUGCAAAGCCAACAUUCAGGUUUCGACAAAUAUUAUGAACUAACCAUACUCACAAUAACACCUCGGUCUCUCAAUUACUCAUAUCAAUGACAUAAUCAGCUAGCGAGCCAUAAUAAUAAAACUCGGAUGACAACACUUUCUCAAAACAAUCAUAACAUGAUAUAACAAAAUGGUAUCCCGCUAGCCCUUUCUGAGACCGCAAAACAUAAAUGCAGAGCACCUUUAAAGAUCAAGGACUGACUAGACAUUGUAAUUCAUGGUAAAAGAGAUCCAGUCAAGUCAUACCCAAUAUAAACCAAUAGUAAUGAAUGCAAAUAACAGUGUGCUCUCCAGCGAGUGCUUUUUAAUAAGAGGGAUGAUGACUCAACAUAAAAGUGAAUAGAUAGGCCCUUCAAAGAGGGAAGAAGGGAUUUGUAGAGGUGUCAGAGCUCGAUUUGAAAAUAGAGAUUGAAUAACAUUUUGAGCGACAUACUUUCACUGUCAGCGCAACAACUAUGAGAUGGUUGUAUCUUCCAUACUACAUGCAUUAUAGGCAGUCCCCAAACAGAAUGGUAAAAGUUUAUACUCCCCCACCACCAACAAGCAUCAAUCCAUGGCUUGCUCGAAACAACGAGUGCCUCCAACUAACAACAGCCCUAGGGGAGUUUUGUUUAAUUAUAUUGAUUUGCUUUGAUCUUUUUGGAUCAUGGGACUGGGCAUCCCGGUUACCAUCCCUUUCUCGUGAAUGAGGAGCGGAGUCCACUCCUCUUGAGAAUAACCCACCAAGCAUGGAAGAUAUAGGCAGCCCUAGUCGAAACAUGAGCCGCUCGAGCAUACAAAACAGAAUUUCAUUUGAAGGUUUGGAGUUUGGCACAUAUAAAUUUACUUGGAACGGCAGGUAAAUACCGCAUAUAGGAAGGUAUGGUGGACUCAUUGGAAUAACUUUGGGGUUUAAGGAGUUUGGAUGCACAAGCAGUAUUCCCGCUUACUACAGGUGAAGGCUAGCAGAAGACUGGGAAGCGACCAACUGAGAGAUCGACAACAGUCAUAAACAUGCAUUAAAAUUAAUUCACACCAAGUACAAGCAUGAGUAGGAAUAAUCUACCAUGAACAUAAAUAUCAUGAAGGCUAUGUUGAUUUGUUUCAACUACAUGCGUGAACAUGUGCCAAGUCGAGUUACUCAAUUCAUUCAAAGGAGGAUACCUGUAACGCCCUGGAUUCGAUGCGCCAGGUGUCCGCCAGUUAUUCGUCGUUGUUGCCAUGUCAUUUGCAUGCGUGUUGCAUUUUAUCAUGUCAUCAUGUGCAUUGCAUUGCAUACAUGUUCGUCUCAUGCAUCCGAGCUUUUUCCCCAUUGUCUGUUUUGCAAUCCGACACUCCUAUGUCCUCCGGCGUCCCCCUUUUGACUCUUGUUGUGAGCGAGUGUUAAACAUUCUCGGAAUGUACCAUGAGUUGCCAAGCGGCCUAGGUACACCACCCGUAGACCGCCUGUCAAGUUUCGCGCCAUUUGGAGGUCGUUUGAUGCUCCAACGGUUAACCGGGUAACCGUAAAAGCCCUCUUUGUGUUGUAGCCCAACAGCCCUCCAAAGUGGCCCAUAACCCAUCCUAACCCCCUUCAUGCUCUUGGUCGUUCGAUCACAAUCGUGUGGCCGAAAACAGCUCUCCAUUUGGACUCUCCUAGCUCCCAGAAUCUAUAAAUAGGUGCCCCUCCCCGAAUUUUUGCGCAGAUGAACCCUAGCCUCUUCCCCUGCGCGCCGCCAGACAUGUCCGAUCCCGCCGGACGCAUCUCCGCCGCCGCCCGCAGCCUAUGGCGUGCCGCCAUGUGGUGCCCCGCGCCGUCCCCGCCGCCGCGGCCCGAAGAGCCCGGAUCGGGCCCUCCCGGCCCAUCUCCCCGCGCCGCCGCCCGGAUCUCGCCCACCGCCGCCCGCUUCGUGCUCCNNNNNNNNNNNNNNNNNNNNNNNNNNNNNNNNNNNNNNNNNNNNNNNNNNNNNNNNNNNNNNNNNNNNNNNNNNNNNNNNNNNNNNNNNNNNNNNNNNNNNNNNNNNNNNNNNNNNNNNNNNNNNNNNNNNNNNNNNNNNNNNNNNNNNNNNNNNNNNNNNNNNNNNNNNNNNNNNNNNNNNNNNNNNNNNNNNNNNNNNNNNNNNNNNNNNNNNNNNNNNNNNNNNNNNNNNNNNNNNNNNNNNNNNNNNNNNNNNNNNNNNNNNNNNNNNNNNNNNNNNNNNNNNNNNNNNNNNNNNNNNNNNNNNNNNNNNNNNNNNNNNNNNNNNNNNNNNNNNNNNNNNNNNNNNNNNNNNNNNNNNNNNNNNNNNNNNNNNNNNNNNNNNNNNNNCCCGCCGAGCCUCCUUCGUCGCCGCCGCGCCCGGAUCCGGCGUCAGCCGGUCGGAUCUAGAUGGACGCUGCCACCCCUCGCCGAUAUCUCCAUCGGGCGCCGCCGCCAUGCUCCUGCCUCCCUCGAUCCAGUCGGGAUUGAGGAGAGGGACGACCGGGCCUCCAUUGCCCCGUGGGCCCUGCGGCCUCCUGUCGGCCGAGUUCCACCGGCCCGCGUCCCCGGCCUGCCAGGCCUCCACCUCCACCGACCGGCCCUUUAGGCCCUCUGGUGAGAACCCGCAAGGCCCCGCUCUGUGCGUGUUUUAGUUAUUUUGCGCUCGUCCGUUUUUUUUCAGAAAUGACUAAGUCCCUGUAAUUUUUGCAUUUUGAUGCCAUGUUCAUCAUGCCAUAACUUUGGUUGUGCUGCUCCGUUUUGUGCAUGUAAUAUAUCAAAAUGUUCGUCAUGAGAUGCUCUACAUUUCAUUACAUUGUGUCAUGUUUGUUUGAGUCCAUCUAGAAGCCAUUAUCAUUGUUGCAAGAGUGCUAUAUGAUGUUAACUGUUGUCUGUUAACAGAACUUGAUGUUUUGUCUUUUUCGUUGCAUUUUGUAUGUGCAUCUUAUGAGCAUGAGCUCUACAUGUGUUUUGAACUACAUCAUCCAUCUUUACAGAGGUGCAGUCCAUGUAUUUUUGUGAGUCUUGUACUGGGUGCAUCCAGCUCAUGAAGUAUGGUACUUGCUGUUACUAUUUUGCUAGGCUGAAUGUGUUAUUUCGUGAUGCUAUGUAAACCUGAUGCUACAAGUCAUUCUAUGCACAAUCUGGAGAUGUUCACUAAGGAUGUUUUGCUAUACGUGUCAUGCUAUAUCCAUCCAUGCCCCUGGUUGCAUUUAUGGCUUGUUGUAGAUUGUUGUUAUCAUGCUCCAAAGUUGCUAAAUAAUAUUGCUGUCAGCCUGUUAACAUUAAGUUCAAUGUUGCCAUGAUUAUUGUUAGUUAUCCAAGCAUGCUAUGAACUUUCUUUUGCCAUGCUUAGCUUCGUAAACAUGUCUUCUUACUUUUGGUUGCCUUUUCAUGCCAUGUAAUGCUCUGUGGUGAGUGGUACAAGCUCACCAACAUGCCUACUUAUCGUUGUUCCUGCCAUGUUUAAAUCUGUCAUAUCUUUUGUCAUGUUUACAUGGGUGCCAUCAUAUCUUCUGAUCCUUUUUGGCUCAUGGUCAGUAAAGGACUUUUGUUCUAUGCAUUUAGUAGUUUCAUGCCAUGCUUUUGUUUGCCAUGAUAAGUCCUGUAGCAUGCUGUUUGAUAGCUCUAAACAUUGCAACCUGAUAUUAUUUCUGCAAAGUCUGAAACUCUUAUUAUAUGCAAUCUUGCCAUGUCGUUUUGAGCAUGUUCUACUGAUUUCUGGAGAUAGCUCAGUGUUCAUGUUUUGUUAUGCUUUACCUGUAAAUCAUGCCCUUGCCUUUUGUUUUCAUGUUGGGGUGUUGUAGCAUAUUGUUUUGAUGCUUGCUAGAUGCCUAGUUGCUGUUUUGGACAGCUUGUCCUUUAAACUUGUAUAGUGUGUGUGUGUUGAACCGUUGAUCCGUUUUGAGUGUGCUCUAUAUGAAACUUGCUUAGUUUUGCAUGUAGUUUCAUAUUAUCAUGUUGCAUCCAUGUUUUGAGAGUGUUUGCUUGAUGUUUGUAUGCAUUUCGCAUCAAUGCCAUGUUUAUCUUGUUUUGCUCAUAUCUUCUAGGCCGUAGCUCCGAACUAAAUGAACUUUAUAUGUAACUUGACUAGAAUCUCGUGUAGAUCAUCUUGGUGCAUCUUAAGUUGCUGUUUAACCACUUGAACAUAAGGUUUAUUCAGAUCUGGACCAAUUUCGAAAUUUGCAUAUGAGGACUUACCGGAAUUGUUAUAUGUUGUUUCCGGCCUCAUUUAAACUUGAUUCGAUGUGUUGCUCUUGUAUGCAUCAUCUCUUGCCAUGAGUAGCUUCAUGUAGCUUUGUAAUGCAUCAUACUUGGUUGAGCAUCAUGUCUUGUUCAUGUGUGGUGUGUUUACCAUGUUGUGUGUUUCUUCUCGAUAGUUCCCGUUUCGUUGCGAUCGUGAGAAUUCGUUCGUCUACGCUUGGUUCGUCUUCGUGGCUUCAUCUUCUUCAUGGACUCGUUCUUCUUCCUAGAGGGAUUUCAGGCAAGAUGACUGUCACCUUGGAUCUCAUUACUAUCAUUGCUAUGCUAGUUGCUUCAUUCUAUCGCUUUGCCGCGCUACCUGUCUCUUGUUCAUCAAGCCUCCCAAACUGUCAUGUCAGCCUCUAACAUUUUCACCCUUCCUAGAAAACCGUUGCUUGGCUAUGUUACCGCUUUGUUCAGCCCCGCUUAUAGCGUUGUUAGUUGCAGGUGAAGUUGAAGAUUGCUCCAUGAUGGAUAGGAUUUUGUUGGGAUAUCACAUUAUCUCUUAUUUAAUUAAUGCAUCUAUAUACUUGGUAAAGGGUGGAAGGCUCGGCCUUAUGCCUGGUGUUUUGUUCCACUCUUACCACCCUAGUUUCUGUCAUACCGGUGUGUUAUGUUCCUUGAUUUUGCGUUCCUUACGCGGUUGGGUGAUUUAUGGGACCCCCUUGACAGUUCGCUUUGAAUAAAACUCCUCCAGCAAGGCUCAACCUUGGUUUUACCAUUUGCCUCACCUAGCCGUUUUUCCCUUGGGUUUCCGGAGCCCGAGGGUCAUCUUUAUUUUAGCCCCCCCCCCCCACCCGGGCCAGUGCUCCUUCGAGUGUUGGUCCGAACUGAGCAACCUGCGGGGCCACCUCGGGGAAACUUGAGGGCUGGUUUUACUCGUAGCUUGACUUAUCUGGUGUGCCCUGAGAACGAGGUACGUGCGACUCCUAUCGGGAUUUGUCGGCACAUCGGGCGGCUUUGAUGGUCUUGUUUUACCAUUGUCGAAAUGUCUUGUAAACCGGGAUUCCGAGUCUGAUCGGGUCUUCCUGGGAGAAGGAAUAUCCUUCGUUGAUCGCGAGAGCUUAUCAUGGGCUAAGUUGGGACACCCCUGCAUGGUAUAAACUUUCGAAAGCCGUCCCCGCGGUUAUGGGCAGAUGGCAAUUUGUUAAUGUCCGGUUGUAGAGAACUUGGCACCAGAUCCGAAUUAAAACGCAUCAACCGCGUGUGUGGCCGUGAUGGUCUCUUUUCGGCGGAGUCCGGGAAGUGAACAUGGUUUUGAGUUAUGUUUGACGUAAGUAGGAGUUCAGGAUCACUUCUUGAUCAUUGCUAGCUUCACGGCCGUUCCAUUUGCUUCUCUUCUCGCUCUUAUUUGCGUAUGUUAGCCACCAUAUAUGCUUAGUCGCUGCUGCAACCUCACCACUUUACCCCCUUCCUUUCCCAUUAAGAUUUGCUAGUCUUGAUACCCAUGGUAAUGGGAUUGCUGAGUCCUCAUGGCUCACAGAUUACUACAACAACAGUUGCAGGUACAAGUUAUGCGAUGAUCAUGACGCAAGAGCGAUGUUUACUUGUUAUGGAGUUCUUGUUCUGCUUCUUCUUCGAUCAGGGGAUAGGUUCCAGGUCGGCAGCCUGGGCUAGCAGGGUGGAUGUCGUUUGAGUUUCUGUUUGUGUUUCAUCCGUAGUCGGAUGAUGCUCUUAUGUAUUGUGAUGUUGUAUUCGUGUGGCAUUGUAUGCCUUUUGUAUGUAUCCCCAUCUUUUAUGUAAUGUUGAUGUAAUGAUAUCCACCUUGCAAAAGCGUUUCAAUGCUUCGCCAGUUUUUCCUCUUGUCCCUGGCGGCUGCAACCCUAGCCGCCACUAGGGUCGAUCUUCCAACGCCGUUCUGCGGUGGCUCCCCUUUGCCGGCGACCUUGGUCGUCGGUGGUGAGGGGGGCCGCCGGAUCCACACGUGUGGAUCGAUUUUACUCCCCUAUAGUUUAGGUUUUUAGGUUGUUCAUCGUAUUUGCUUCGGUGACGACGAUGUCGAUGCUGAAUAAAGAAUUUUCUGAUCCUUCCCUGACGAGGCCAUCGGUCCUAUGGUCGGGGAUGGAUUUGGAAACCAGUCUGUUCAAGCAAGGAUGGUGUGGCGGCGGCGGCAUCCUCGUGGUGGACCUGUGUCCUCGGGCUCCGCCGUUGCGACGACGUUUGCUCCAGCGUCGACGUGGAGCUUGGGAGGUAGUCCAGGAGCGGAUGCAGAUUGUGGUCUGCAUCGACGACAUCUGGAAGAUGGAAUAUCUACUAGGCUCAUGGUUCGUGGAUGGCAGAUAUGGUUUCCUCCUUCGGCGUCUUAGUCGUGGUGGGGUGCUAGAUCUGGAGUUCGAUGGCGUGUCUGGGGUGUUGCCCCGGUCUGAUUCGUUCAACGGUAAGGGCUUCACUUUUGGUGAGCCACCUUGGAGGUCCGCAAAGCUGCAUAUCAGCGAUGGAGCCGCGUCGAGCUCGGGUGAGGUGGUGAUUCAUCAUUCUUUUCUUCGGUGGCUGCUGUGCUGGUGCCGGAGGCAGUUGACGAGCGUUGGUGUCAAGCUCCGAGAUGUUCUGCUAUCUUUUCAGUUUUGUCAUGUCGGUCUUUACGUGAUUUGUACUUUGUUCUUUAUGAUAUGAAUGAGACACGUAUUACCAUGCAAAAAAAGCGUUUCAAUAUGUGGUUCUAUCCUUGGUGGGACCUUCGAGUCUCUUUAGGAUAGUAUCGCAUAUUGGGCGUGACAAUACCAUCCCAUCAUACCACAUCCUAAUCAUUUUAAUAGCAUGUUGGCACGCAAGGUAAAGCCAUUAUAACUCAUAGCUAAUAAUCAAGCAUGGCACAAGCAACUAUAAUCUCUAAAUGUCAUUGCAAAUAUGUUUACUUCAUAAUAAGCUGAAUCAGGAACGAUGAACUCAUCAUAUUUACAAAAACAAGAGAGGUCGAGUUCAUACCACCUUCUCUCAUCUCAAUCAGUCCAUCAUAUAUCGUCAUUAUUGCCUUUCACUUGCACGACUGAACGAUGUGUAUAAUAAUAAUAGUGCACGUGCAUUGGACUAAGCUGGAAUCUGCAAGAAUUCAACUCAAGAGAGAAGACAAGGUAAUAUGGGCUCUAAGUUGAAUAAACAAUCGUGCAUAUAAGAGCCACUAAACAAUUUUAAUAUGGUCUUCUACUCUCGACCCCCAAAGGAAAGAAAAGAAAAUAAAACUAUUUACACGGGAAAGCUCCCAACAAGUAAGAAGAAGAACGAUAAAUCUUUUGGGUUUUCAUUUUAAUUUCUACUACAAUCAUGGAAACUAAACUAACUAUUUUUUUUGUUUUUUCUAAAGGUUUAUCAAACACACAAGAAGAAAGCUAGAAAAAGAAAAUUAAACUAGCAUGGAUAAUACAAUGAAAGAGUAUGAGCACCGACGACUAGAAUAGUGUAUGAACAGAAAUACGUACUCCCCCAAGCUUAGGCUUUUGGCCUAAGUUGGUCUAUUGCCACGGACCGCGGCUACUCUCCCCGGUGUACUGAGGGGUGUAAUCAGCAUACCACUGGCUGGUCAUCUCUUCCGGAUCCCACUGGUAAGAUGAUGCUCGAUAAGGGACCAGUGCAGGUUCCAGCUCAGGCUCAGGUUCUGGAGUGAAUGCUUGGCCUCGAUGAGCGUACACUGCUUCCGGCGUGACAAGAAAAUUAUCUGCAAUCAAAUCAAACAACAAAGGCGUAGGCAAAAUAAUAGUCUCAUUGUGUUUCUUAUUAAAUCUUAGGUUAUACAAGAGCAUCUUAUCUUCGUUGUCAACAAUGAACUCAUGUGCUACCAUACUCUUGUAAUCUAAAAUGUAAGGAGGCAAUUUUUUUCUCCUCUUCCUCAUGGUGCCUAAUAGGUAUCUCAAAAUGUCUAGCAAGACGUGCAGCAUAGAUACCUUCAAAGAUGGGGCCUUUUGUACGAUUCAGGCUUAGCCAUUUAGCAAUAACGGCACCCAUACUAAAACUAUUAUCUCCAAACAAGGCAUGGUGAAGAAUGAUAAUAUCAGGAACAUUGAAGUUUCCACUAUUUCCACGACAAAUCAAGCAUCUACUAGCAAACAUGGCGAAGUAGCGUAAAACAGGAAAGUGUGUGCUAGAGAUUCUCGCAUUAGAACCCUUCUUUGGAUCCCCAACAGUGAUAGUGUUAACAAAGCCAUCCACAUCUUUACGAUGUGGUUCCUCUAAUUUUCCCUCAAAGGGUAUCCUACAUACCGUGCAAAAAUUACAUAAAGACAUUUCCCUGAAUUCAUCAUAUAAAUGAAAUGAUACUUGCUACCGCUUGAGCACUAUGUUGGAUUUCCCCGAAGAGGAGAGGAUGAUGCAGUAAAGUAGCGUAAGUAUUUCCCUCAGUUUUUGAGAACCAAGGUAUCAAUCCAGUAGGAGAUCACGCACGAGUCCCUCGUACCUACACAAAAUGAUAUCUACUCGCAACCAACGCGAUUAGGGGUGUCAACACCUUCACGGUCACUUACAAGGGUGAGAUCUGAUAGAGAUGAUAAAUAAUAUUUUUGGUAUUUUUGAUAUAGAGAUGCAAAGUAAAAAGUAAAAGGCAAAGUAAAAACAAAGCAAGUAAAUAAAGUAAUGGAGAUUGAUAUGAUGAGAAUAGACCCGGGGGCCAUAGGUUUCACUAGUGGCUUCUCUCAAGAGCAUAAGUAUUCUACGGUGAGUGAACAAAUUACUGUUGAGCAAUUGAUAGAAAAGCGAAUAAUUAUGAGAUUAUCUAGGUAUGAUCAUGUAUAUAGGCAUCACGUCCAAGACAAGUAGAUCGAAACGAUUCUACAUCUACUACUAUUACUCCACUCAUCGACCGCUAUCCAGCAUGCAUCUACAGUAUUAAGUAAAACAGAGUAACGCCUUAAGCAAGAUGACAUGAUGUAGAGGGGUAAAUUCAUGCAAUAUGAUAAAAAACCAUCUUGUUAUCCUCGAUGGCAACAAUACAAUACGUGCCUUGCAACCCUUUCUGUCACUGGGUAAGGACACCGCAAGAUUGAACCCAAAGCUAAACACUUCUCCCAUUGCAAGAACUACCAAUCUAGUUGGCCAAACCAAACGGAUAAUUCGAAGAGACUUGCAAAGAUAACUCAAUCAUACAUAAAAGAAUUCAGAGAAGAAUCAAAUAUUGUUCAUAGAUAAGCUGGAUCAUAAACCCACAAUUCAUCAGUCUCAACAAACACACCACAAAAAGAAGAUUACAUCGAAUAGAUCUCCAGAAGAGAGGGGGAGAACAUUGUAUUGAGAUCCAAAAAGAGAGAAGAAGCCAUCUAGCUAAUAACCAUGGACCCGAAGGUCUGAAGUAAACUACUCACACUUCAUCGGAGAGGCUAUGGUGUUGAUGUAGAAGCCCUCCGUGGUAGAUGCCCUCUCCGGUGGAGCUCCGGAACAUGCCCCAAGAUGGGAUCUCGCGGAUAUAGAAGGUUGCGGCGGUGGAAUUAGGUUUUUGGCUCCGUUUCUGAUCUGACGGGGGUACAUAGGUAUAUAUAGGAGGAAGGAGUACGUCAGUGGAGCAACAGGGGGCCCACGAGGCAGGGGGCGCGCCCUCCACCCUCGUGACCGCCUCUGGCACUUCUUGGAGUAGGGUCCAAGUCUCCUGGAUCACGUUCGGUGAGGAAAUCACGUUCCCGAAGGUUUUAUUCCGUUUGGACUCCGUUUGAUAUUUUGUUUCUUCGAAAUACUGAAAUAGGCAAAAAACAGCAAUUCUGGGCUGGGCCUCCGGUUAAUAGGUUAGUCCCAAUAAUAAUAUAAAAGUGGAAAAUAAAGCCCAAUAUAGUCCAAAACAGUAGACAAAGUAGCAUGGAGUAAUCAAAAAAUUUAGAUACGUUGGAGACGUAUCAAGCAUCCCCAGGCUUAAUUCAUGCUCAUCCUCGAGUAGGUAAAUGAUAAAAAAUAAUUUUUGAUGCAGAGUGAUACUUUGGCAUAAUUUCAAUGUAAAUCUUCUUAAUUGUGACAUGAAUAUUCAGAUCCGAAAGAUUCAAGACAAAAGUUCAUAUUAACAUAAAAGUAAUAAUACUUCAAGCAUACAAGUUAAAGCAAUCAUGUCUUCUCAAAAUAGCAUGGUUAAAGAAUGUUAUCCCUACAAAAUCAUAUAGUCUGGCUAUGCUCUAUCUUCAUCACACAAAGUAUUUAAUCAUGCACAACCCCGAUGACGAGCCAAGCAAUUGUUUCAUACUUUAGAAAUCUCAAACUUUUUCAACUUUCACGCAAUACAUGAGCGUGAGCCAUGGACAUAGCACUAUAGGUGGAAUAGAAUGGUGGUUGUAGAGAAGACAAAAAAGGAGAAGAUAGUCUCACAUCAACUAGGCGUAUCAACGGGCUAUGGAGAUGCCCAUUGAUAGAUAUCAAUGUGAGUGAGUAGGGAUUGCCAUGCAACGGAUGCACUAGAGCUAUAAGUAUAUGAAAGCUCAACAAAAGAAACUAAGUGGCUGUGCAUCCAACUUGCUCGCUCAUGAAGACCUAGGGCACUUUUGAGGAAGCCCAUCAUUGGAAUAUACAAGCCAAGUUCUAUAAUGAAAAAUUCCCACUAGUAAAUGAAAGUGACAACAUAUGAGACUCUCUAUCAUGAAGAUCAUGGUGCUAUUUUAAAGCACAAGUGUGGAAAAAGGAUAGUAGCAUUGUCCCUUCUCUCUUUUUCUCUCAUAUUUUUUUUCUUCUUUUUUUUCUUUCUUUUUUUUAUUUUGGUGGGCUUCUUUGGCCUCUUUUUUUUUAUUUGGGCUUCUUUGGCCUCUUUUAUUUUUCAUAAAGUUCGGAGUCUCAUCCCGACUUAUGGGGGAAUCAUAGUCUCCAUCAUCCUUUUCUCACUGGGACAAUGCUCUAAUAAUGAUGAUCAUCACACUUUUAUUUUUCUUACAACUCAACAAUUACAACUCGAUACUUAGAACAAGAUAUGACUCUAUAUGAAUGCCUCUGGCGGUGUACCGGGAUAUGCAAUUAAUCAAGAGUGACAUGUAUGAAAAUUAUGAAGGUGGCCUUGCCACAAAUACAAUGUCAACUACAUGUUCAUGCAAAAAGCAACAUGACAAAAGUAAUGUGUGUCAUAUGAACGGAACGGUGGAAAGUUGCAUGGCAAUAUAUCUCGGAAUGGCUAUGGAAAUGCCAUGAUAAGUAGGUAUGGUGGCUGUUUUGAGAAAGGUAUAUGGAGGGUGUAUGAUACCGGCGAAAAGUGCGCGGUAUCAGAGAGGCUAGUAAUGGUGGGAGGGUGAGAGUGCGUAUAAUCCAUGGACUCAACAUUAAUCAAAAGAACUCAUGCACUUAUUGCAAAAAUUUAGAAGUCAUCAAAAACCAAAGCAUUAAACGCAUACUCCUGGGGGAUAGAUUGGUAGGAAAAGACCAUCGCUCGUCCCCGACUGCCACUCAUAAGGAAGAAAAUCAAUAAAUAAAAUUGUGCUCUGACUUCAUCACAAGCGGUUCACCAUACGUGCAUGCUACGGGAAUCACAAACUUCAACACAAGCAUUCUUUAAAUUCAUGAUCACCCCAACUAGCAUUGCUUUGAUAUUAUCACCUCCAUAUCUCAAAACAGUUAUCAAGCAUCAAACUUAUCUUAGUAUUCAACUCACUCAAAGAAAGUUUCACAUAUCUUGAAUACCAAGUAUAUUAACAUUAAGCAAAUUACCAUGCUAUCAAUAACUCUCAAAAUAAUCUAAGUGAAGGAUGAGAGAUCAAUAGUUUCUUUAAAACAAAUCCACUACCAUGCUCUUAAAAGAUCUAAGUGAAGAACUAGAGCAAAAAUUAUCACGCUCAAAAGAUAUAUGUGAAGCACAUAGAGCAAAACUAUCAAGCUCAAAAGAUAUAAGUGAAGCACAUAGAGUAUUCUAGCAAAUUCCAAAUCAUGUAUGGCUCUAUCAAAAGGUGUGUACAGCAAGGAUGAUUGUGGCAAACUAACAAGCAAAGACACAAAAAAUACAAGACGCUCCAAGCAAAACACAUGACAUGUAGUGAAUAAAAAUAUAGCUCCAAGUAAAUUACCGAUGGAAGUAGACAAAAGAGGGGAUGCCUUCCGGGGCAUCCCCAAGCUUUUGACUUUUUGGUGUCCUUGGAUUAUCUUGGGGGUGCCAUGGGCAUCCCCAAGCUUAGGCUCUUGCCACUCUUUGUUCCAUAAUCCAUCAAAAGAAUUCACCCAAAACUUGAAAACUUCACAACUCAAAACUCAAUAGAAAUCUCGUGAGCUCCGUUAGUGAAAGAAAACAAAAGACUACUUCAAGGUACUGUAAUGAACCCAUUAUUUAUUCAUAUUGGUGUUAAACCUACUGUAUUCAAACUUCCUUAUGGUUUAUAAACUAAUUUACUAGCCAUAGAUACAUUGAAAUAAGCAAACAACACACGAAAAACAGAAUCUGUCAAAAACAGAACAGUCUGUAUCAAUCUGUAACUAACGCAAACUUCUGGAACUCUAAAAAUUCUACCAAAUUGGACGUACUGGAAAAUUUGUUUAUUGAUCAGCAGCAAAAAGAAUCAAUGCAAAAGCAUGUUCCUGUGAUUUAUUGAAUUUUUUCUCGUGAGCGCAAAGUUUCUGUUUUUCAGCAGAAUCAAAUCAACUAUCAUCAUAGCUUAUCCUAUAGGUUCUACUUGGCACAAACACUAAUUAAAACAUAAAACCACAUAUAAACAGAAAGUAGAAACAAAAUUUAACACUAAACAGGAACAAAAAACAAAGAACACAAAAUAAAAUUGGGUUGCCUCCCAACAAGCGCUAUCGUUUAACGUCCCUAGCUAGGCAUAAAAGCGAAGAUAGAUCUAACGAGUGCCCUCCUUGGCACCGGAUGUGUAAGUAGAAAGAGAAGAUCUCCUUUCUAAGUCAUUAAUACUUCUAUUCAGAUUAAGAACAUUGCCAUUAAUGGAUGACAUGAGAUUAAGCACGUUACGGAAAUUUGCAUCCAAGCUAGACUUCAACUCUUUAAUAAUUUCAUUUUGAUAAAAGCACAAGAGAGUAGUUGAUUCAACUUUAUCAUUUAAAGGGUGCCCAAAUAUGGUUUUCAUUUUUUCAUAGGUAUCUAUAGCAUCCCCUUCAAGAAAACCUUCUUCAAAAAUAGAAUCUAGAACUUGUUUGAAAGAGGCGGGCAAGCCAACAUAGAAACUUUUUAAGUAAACAUCGAUUUGAUAUUGUGGCACAUAACUAGCCCGAAUUCUUAAUAACCUAUCCCAAGCAUCUUUUAAAGAUUCAUCAAGUAAAUAGCGAGGAUAGAUAGGUUAUCCAAGGCACUAGAACUCAGGAGAAAUCCCUUAGUUUUUUUGAUUCGGCCAUGGUAACAAGUAAUCCAACACACAAGCAAAGGCAGACGAGAAAAAGGCAAAAGAGAAAGAGAAGAGGAGAUUGGGAAAGAGAGGGCGAAUAAAACGGUAAGGGUGAAGUGGGGGAGAGGAAAACGAGAGGAAAAUAAUGUAAUGUGAGAGAUAGGGAUUGUGAUGGGUACUUGAUAUGGUUGACUUUUGCGCAAACUCCCCGGCAACGGCGCCAGAAAUUCUUCUUGCUACCUCUUGAGCACUGCGUUGGAUUUCCCCGAAGAGGAGAGGAUGAUGCAGUAAAGUAGCGUAAGUAUUUCCCUCACUUUUUGAGAACCAAGGUAUCAAUCCAGUAGGAGAUGACGCACGAGUCCCUCGUACCUACACAAAACGAUAGCUACUCGCAACCAACGCGAUUAGGGGUUGUCAAUCCCUUCACGGACGCUUACAAGGGUGAGAUCUGAUAGAGAUGAUAAAUAAUAUUUUUGAUAUUUUUGAUAUAGAGAUGCAAAGUAAAAAGUAAAAGGCAAAGUAAAAACAAAGCAAGUAAAUAAAGUAAUGGAGAUUGAUAUGAUGAGAAUAGACCCGGGGGCCAUAGGUUUCACUAGUGGCUUCUCUCAAGAGCAUAAGUAUUCUACGGUGGGUGAACAAAUUACUGUUGAGCAAUUGAUAGAAAAGCGAAUAAUUAUGAGAUUAUCUAGGUAUGAUCAUUUAUAUAGGCAUCACGUCCAAGACAAGUAGAUCGAAACGAUUCUACAUCUACUACUAUUACUCCACUCAUCGACCGCUAUCCAGCAUGCAUCUACAGUAUUAAGUAAAACAGAGUAACGCCUUAAGCAAGAUGACAUGAUGUAGAGGGGUAAAUUCAUGCAAUAUGAUAAAAACCCCAUCUUGUUAUCCUCGAUGGAAACAAUACAAUACGCGCCUUGCAACCCUUUCUGUCACUGGGUGUCAGCAAGAUUGAACCCAAAGCUAAACACUUCUCCCAUUGCAAGAACUACCAAUCUAGUUGGCCAAACAAAUGGAUAAUUCGAAGAGACUUGCAAAGAUAACUCAAUCAUACAUAAAAGAAUUCAUAUAGGAAUCAAAUAUUGUUCAUAGAUAAGCUGGAUCAUAAACCCACAAUUCAUCGGUCUCAACAAACACACCGCAAAAACAAGAUUACAUCGAAUAGAUCUCCACAAGAGAGGGGGAGAACAUUGUAUUGAGAUCCAAAAAGAGAGAAGAAGCCAUCUAGCUAAUAACUAUGGACCCGAAGGUCUGAAGUAAACUACUCACACUUCAUCGGAGAGGCUAUGGUGUUGAUGUAGAAGCCCUCCGUGGUAGAUGCCCUCUCCGGCGAAGCUCCGGAACAGGCCCCAAGAUGGGAUCUCGCGGAUACAGAAGGUUGCGGCGGUGGAAUUAGGUUUUUGGCUCCGUUUCUGAUCUGACGGGGGUACGUAGGUAUAUAUAGGAGGAAGGAGUACGUCGGUGGAGCAACAGGGGGCCCACGAGGCAGGGGCGCGCGCCCAGGGGGGCGCCCUCCACCCUCGUGACCGCCUCUGGCACUUCUUGGAGUAGGGUCCAAGUCUCCUGGAUCACGUUCGGUGAGGAAAUCACGUUCCCGAAGGUUUUAUUCCGUUUGGACUCCGUUUGAUAUUAUGUUUCUUCGAAAUACUGAAAUAGGCAAAAAACAGCAAUUCUGGGCUGGGCCUCCGGUUAAUAGGUUAGUCCCAAUAAUGAUAUAAAAGUGGAAAACAAAGCCCAAUAUGGUCCAAAACAGUAGACAAAGUAGCAUGGAGUAAUCAAAAAUUAUAGAUACGUUGGAGACGUAUCAAUACUGAAGGCGCUGACUUCUUAGGAUAAUAAUAAAAGUUUUGCACGAAAGUAUUGGUUAGUAAGAGAAACUGAUCGAUCCGGUCGUGGAGGAAAUCGGUGAGGCCUGCAUUCUCGAUCAAAGAAUAAAAGUCUUCAUAAAUUCCAACUUCUCGCAAGAAAUUAUCGCAUGGCCAUUCACACGGCCGUAUUUCCGCUAUGCGAGGAAGAUUAUACUUAGCCUUUUCCUUCUCUUUAGCUUGUUUUUCAUGUGAGCAUUGGCUAGAAGAGCCCCUCAAAAAUCUCCUUAACAUUUUCUGAAAAUUUCUAAAAUUUUAGUAACUUCAAAAUAAAAGUGAAUAAAACUAAACAAGAUUGGUAGCAACUACUCCUACAAAUGCCUAGAGCCUAUAUCAUGCAUUAGAAUUACUUGGGACCUCAUAAACUUGACAUGCAAGCUCAAGAACAGGGUCACCUAUGCAGUAAAAAUUUGCAAUGAAUAAAGCACUAGAACAAAAACUAAUUGGACCAAUGGAGGAGUCACAUACCAAGCAACAAUCUCCCACAGCAGUUUUGUGAACGGAGCUUUGAGCAAGGAGAUCAAAAAUCGCAGCAAAAUGAGCUAGAACUCAUGCUUGAGCUAGAUGGGGAUUUUUGGGGGAAGAAGAUAGAGUGUGUGGCUGCUGGCAUAAGUGAAGUGGGGCCACCGUAGGCCCACGAUACAGGGGGGCGCGCCCAGGGGGUGUGGGCGCUCCCUCCACCCUCAUGGCCUGGUGCUUGCCCCUCCUGUAGUGAUUUCAGUGCCUAAAAUCCUCAAAUAUUCCAUAAAAAUCAUACUAAAUUUGUAGGGCAUUUGGAGCACUUUUAUUUUUCGAAUAUUUUUUAUUGCAUGGAUAAUUCAGAAAACAGACAGAUAAUACUAUUUUUGCUUUAUUUAUUCUAAAUAACAGAAUGUAAAAAGAGGGUACAGAAGGUUGUGCCUUCUAGUUUCAUCCAUCUCAUGAUCAUCAAAAUGAAUCCACUAACAAGGUUGAUCAAGUCUUGUUAACAAACUCAUUCCGAAUACGGAACCGGAGAAAUUUCAAAUAACACUAAAUUACCUCAACAGGGAUAUGAACAUCCCCAACAAUAAGAAUAUCAUACAUUUUCUUGACAGUAGGGAGAGUCAAAACCUCCAAUAAUGAUAGUUGGAACUUUUCCAAUAGAAUUGAUGCUAUGAACUUGAGAUUGUUUCCUCGCAAAGUGUACCGUAUGCUCAUUACCAUUAACAUGAAAAGUGGCAUUGCCUUUGUUGCAAUCAAUAACAACCCCUGCAGUAUUCAAAAAGGGUCUACCAAGGAUAAUCGACAUACUGUCGUCCUCGGGAAUAUCAAGAAUAACAAAGUCCGUUAAGAUAGUGACAGUUCCAACCACAACAGGCACAUCCUCACAAAUACCGACAGGUAUGGCAGUUGAUUUAUCAGCCAUUUGCAAAGAUAUUUCAGUAGGUGUCAACUUGCUCAAUUCAAGUCUACGAUAUAAAGAGAGAGGCAUAACACUAACACCGGCUCCAAGAUCACAUAAAGCAGUUCUAACAUAAUUUCUUUUAAUGGAGCAUGGUAUAGUUGGUACCCCUGGAUCUCCAAGUUUCUUUGGUAUUCCACCCUUAAAAGUGUAAUUAGCAAGCAUGGUGGAAAUUUCAGCUUCCGGUAUCUUUCUUUUGUUUGUAAUGAUAUCCUUCAUAUACUUAGCAUAAGGAUUUACUUUAAGCAUAUCAGUUAAGCGCAUACUUAAGAAGAUAGGUCUACUCAUUUCAGCAAAGCGCUCAAAAUCCUCAUCAUCCUUUGUCUUGGAUGGUUUAGGAGGAAAGGGCAUGGGUUUCUGAACCCAUGGUUCUCUUUAUCUACCGUGCUUCCUAGCAACAAAAUCUCUCUUAUCAUAACGUUGAUUCUUUGAUUGUGGGUUAUCAAGAUCAACAGCAGGUUCAGCUUCUACUUCAUUAUCACUAGGUGCAUGUUCAUCACCUGAUUGUGUUUCAACAUCAGAAAUAGAAAUAUCAUUGGGAUUCUAAGGUGUGUCUACAAUGGGUUCACUAGAAGCAUGCAAAGUCCUAUCGUUUUUCUUUUUCUUCUUUUUAGAAGAACUAGGUGCCUCUAAAUUAUUUCUCUGGGAAUCUUGCUCGAUUCUCUUAGGGUGGCCUUCAGGAUACAAAGGUUCCUGAGUCAUUCUACCAGUUCUAGUAGCCACUCUAACAGCAAAGUCAGGUUUAUUAUUUAAUUCAUCAAGCAAAUCAUUUUGAGCUUUAAGUACUUGCUCGGCUUGAGUAGCAACCAUAGAAGCAUAUUUGCUAAUGACUUUAAGUUCACCUUUAACUCUAGCCAUAUAAUCACUCAAGCGUCCUAUCUCGAAAGCAUUGUUCUUUAAUUCUCUACCAACACAAGCAUUAAAAAUUUCUUGUCUAGCCAUAAAGUCAUCAAAUUCAUCUAAGCAUGGGCUAUGAAAUUUAGUAGAAGGGAUUUCAACUUUAUCAUAUCUAUAGAGAGAAUUUACCUUUACUACCUGUGUCGGGUUAUCAAGACAAUGUGGUUCUUCGACAUGUGGUAUAUUAAGACCAUGUAUUUCUUCAAUAGGUGGUAAAUUCUUAACAUCUUCAGCUUUUAUACCUUUUUCUUUCAUUGAUUUCUUUGCCUCUUGCAUAUCUUCAGGACUGAGAAAUAGAACACCUCUCUUCUUCGGAGUGGGUUUAGGAAUAGGCUCAGGAGUUGGCUCAAUUGGUUCAGGAAUUGGCUCAGGAAGAGUCCUAUUAUUUUCAUUAGUCAACAUAUUAUUCAAUAGUAAUUCAUCUUUGUCGACUGUUCUUUCCCUGAAAACACAACCAGCACAACUAUCCAAGUAGUCCUUGGAAGCAUCGGUUAGUCCAUUAUAAAAGAUAUCAAGUAUUUCAUUUUUCUUAAGAGGAUGAUCAGGCAAAGCAUUAAGUAAUCGGAGAAGCCUCCCCCAAGCUUGUGGGAGACUCUCUUCUUUGAUUUGCACAAAAUUAUAUAUUUCUCGCAAGGCGGCUUGUUUCUUAUGAGCAGGGAAAUAUUUAGCAGAGAAGUAAUAAAUCAUAUCUUGGGGACUACGCACACAACCAGGAUCAAGAGAAUUAAACCAAGUCUUAGAUCACCCUUUAAUGAGAACAGAAAUAUCUUAAGGAUAUAAUAAUAGCGGGACUUAUCAUCAUUAGUAAACGGGGUGGCUAUAUCAUUUAACUUGGUAAGAUGUGCCACAACAGUUUCAGAUUCAAGGCCAUAAAAAGGAUCAGAUUCAACCAAAGUAAUAAUCUCAGGAUCAACAGAGAAUUCAUAAUCCUUAUUAGUAACACAGAUAGGUGAAGUAGCAAAAGUAGGGUCAGGUUUCAUUCUAGCAUUAAGAGACUGCUGCUUCCAUUUAGCUAAUAACUUUUUAAGAUCAUAUCUAUCUUUACAAGCAAACAUAGCUCUAGCAGCUUCCUCUUCCAUAACAUAACGCUCAGGAACAACAGGUAAUUCAUAAUCAGGGGGAGAAUUUUCAUCAUCACUAUCAUCAAUAAUAGCAUCUUCAAUAAUUUCGUUCUCUCUGACCCUAGCAAGUUGUUCAUCGAGAAAUUCACCUAAUGGCAAAGUGGUAUCACGCAUAGAAGUAGUUUCAUCAUAAGUAUCAUGCAUAGCAGAAGUGGCAUCAUCAAUAACAUGCGACAUAUCAGAAUUCAUAGCAGUAGCAGGUUUAGGUGUCGCAAGCUUACUAAUACCAGAAGGAGAAUCUAGUGCAGAGCUAGAUGGCAGUUCCUUACCUCCCCUCGUAGUUGAGGGAAAAAUCUUGGUUCUUUCGUCUUUCAAGUUCCUCAUAGUGAUCAACAGAUAUAAAUUCCAAGUGACUCAAAGAAUAGAGCUAUGCUCCCCGGCAACGGCGCCAGAAAUUAGUCUUAGGGGAUCGCAACAGCUUUGAGGGUAAAGUAUUCAACCCAAAUUUAUUGAUUCGACACAAGGGGAGCCAAAGAAUAUUAUUGAGUAUUAGCAGUUGAGUUCUCAAUUCAACCACACCUGGAUAACUUAGUAUCUGCAGCAAAGUAUUUAGUAGCAAAGUAGUAUAAUAAUAAAGGUAACAGUGGCAAAAGUAAAGAUAACGGUUUUGUAGUAAUUGUAAAAGUAGCAACGGAAAAGUAAAUAAGCGAAACACAAGAUAUGAAAAGCUCAUAGGCAUUCACUACGGGAAACAGAUAAUUUGCCGUCAGGAGGCGUCUUUGCCGUCUGCUUUUCGUCGGGCCAGACGGCAAAGACAAGGUUUGCCGUCUGCUGCAGACGGCAAAGAAAUACUAACGGCAAAAUAGACUUUGCCGUCUGUCAAACAAAAUACAAACGGCAAACAGCUCACUUUGCCGUCUGCCAAAACAAUGACAGACGGCACAGACUUUGCCGUCUGUUCUUUUGUUCUGCAGAUGGCAAAGUGAGCUGUUUGCCGUCUGUAUUUUAUUUGAUAGACGGCAAAGAGAAAACACAUCACGCGGAUUGAUCACGUGGAUCCGUAACGUGGCAAGAUCCAAAACACACGUCCCCUUCCACCGUAGCCGUCGGACACAGCACCCACCCACCCACGAGUCAAGGCCCCACCCAUGAGGCCUGCCACGACCCAUGACCCCCACGCGCCCAUCUCCUCUCUCUCCCUUAUCCCCUCAGCGCCCUCCUUUCUCCUGCUCCUCUCUCCGUCUCCCCCGACCAAAGCCACGCCGCCGGCCAGCUUCCUCCUCUCUCCCAGCGCCCGCCCGCCCAUCCGGCGUCCCCGAGCAGCCGCACGCUCGCACGCCGCCGGCUAGCACCUGCCCGUCAACCCGUCCCUGAGCAGCAGGCUCCGCGCCCAUCGCUCGUCCGGCCGGCGUCGGGCCCACCCGUUCCCAGCAGUCGCCUCCGUGCCCGUCGCUCGUCUGGCCGACACCGCGCCCGCCCGUCCCCGAGCAGCCGGCUCUGCGCCCGUCGCUUGUCCGGCCGGCUCUGCGCCCGCCCGUCCCCAGCAGCUGGCGCCGCGCCCGUCGCUCGUCCGGCCGGCGCCACGCCCGCCCGUCCCCAGCAGCCGGCGUCGCGCCCGUCGCUCGUCCGGCCGGCGCCGCGCCCGCCCGUCCCCAGCAGCCGGCGUCGCGCCCGUCGCUCGUCCGGCCGGCGCCGCGCCCGCCCGUCCCCGAGCAGCCGGCUCCGCGCCCGUCGCUCGUCCGGCCGGCGCCGCGCCCGCCCGUCCCCGAGCAGCCGGCUCCGCGCCCGUCGCUCGCACGGCCAGCGCCUCGCCCGCCAGUCCCCGAGUAGCCGGCUCCGCGCCCGUCGUUCGUUCGGCCGGCGCCGUGCCCGCCCGUCCCCGAGAAGCCACACUCCACGCCGCUCGUUCGUCCGUCCAGCACCGUGCCCCUAGUCUGCAUGUCCAUCGUCGUCAGCGUGCAGCACCGCCAUUGCCGCCGCGUUCAACUCCGGCGCCGCCGCAUGAAGCUCCUCCGUCUCCGCCGCGUGAAGCUCCGCCAGCUCGCAGUUUGCUGCUUUACUAGUGUCGUUGUCCCCUUUUGGGUGUGCGUCCUUAGUUGAUCUUAGUUUUUAUUUCUGUCAUUUAGGCUUGUAGUCUUUGCUGGGGCAGCGGUGGGGCUGUCCUCCGCGUGCUGAUUUGGUACUGUGUAAGACAAUUUGGUUUCUUUGCUAUGCAAUGGAGCCGGACCCCUUGUCCUCUUUUCCUCUAAAAUAAAUGGUUGUUGGGCGAGAUGCUCUGAUCCGGCGUCUUUUUUAAAUAAAAAAAUUGUCGUCUGUAGUUUAAUCUGACUGACGGCAAAGCACACUAUUUGACUGACGGCAAAAUUUUUGUGGUAGAUGGCAAAUUCACAGUUUGGCUGACGGCAAAAGCUUUGCCGUCUGUUCGACGAGAAGUUGACGGCAAAGUAUUCUUUGCCGACUUAUCUUUGCCGUCUGCUUCCUGACGGCAAAAUCUUUGCCGUUUGGAUUUAGGUCUUUGCCAUCUGUGAUCCACAGACGGCAAAUUACCUGUUUCCUGUAGUGAUUGGAUCAGUGAUGGAUAAUUAUGUCGGAUGUGAUUCCUCAUGUAAUAGCUAUAACAUAGGGUGACACAGAACUAGCUCCAGUUCAUCAAUGUAAUGUAGGCAUGUAUUCCGAAUAUAGUCAUACAUGCUUAUGGAAAAGAACUUGCAUGACAUCUUUUGUCCUACCCUCCCGUGGCAGCGGGGUCCUAGCGGAAACUAAGGUAUAUUAAGGCCUCCUUUUAAUAGAGAACCGGACCAAAGCAUUAACACAUAGUGAAUACACGAACUCCUCAAACUACGGUCAUCACCGAGAAGUAUCCUGAUUAUUGUCACUUCGGGGUUGUCGGAUCAUAACACAUAAUAGGUGACUAUAAACUUGCAAGAUAGGAUCAAGAACACACAUAUAUUCAUGAAAACAUAAUAGGUUAAGAUCUGAAAUCAUGGCACUCGGGCCCUAGUGACAAGCAUUAAGCAUAGCAAAGUCAUAGCAACAUCAAUCUCAGAACAUAGUGGAUACUAGGGAUCAAACCCUAACAAAACUAACUUGAUUACAUGGUAAAUCUCAUCCAACCCAUCACCAUCCAGAAAUCCUACGAUGGAAUUACUCACGCACGGCGGUGAGCAUCAUAAAAUUGAUGAUGGAGGAUGGCUGAUGAUGACGACGGUGACGAAUCCCCCUCUCCGGAACCCCGAACGGACUCCAGAUCAGCCCUCCCGAGAGAGAUUAGGGCUUGGCGGCGGUUCCGUAUCGUAAAACGCGAUGAAACUUUCUCUCUGAUUUUUUUCUCCGUGAAAAGGAAUAUAUGGAGUUGGAGUUGAGGUCAGUGGAGCCUCAGGGGGCCCACGAGACAGGGGGGCGCCUAGGGGGGUGGGCGCGUCCCCCACCCUCGUGGACACAGUGUGGCCCCCUGGUCUUGAUUCUUUCGCCAGUAUUUUUUAUAUUUUCCAAAACUUGCCUCCGUGGAUUUUCAGGUUCUUCCGAGAACUUUUAUUUUCUACACAUAAAACAACAGCAUGGCAGUUCUGCUGAAAACAGCGUCAGUCCGGGUUAGUUUCAUUCAAGUCAUGCAAGUUAGAGUCCAAAACAAGGGCAAAAGUGUUUGGAAAAGUAGAUAUGUUGGAGACGUAUCAAUGCUCAUGAUCAAGUUGCUUAAAAUUCAUAAUAUCGUUUCUAAGAGAGAUGAUCUUAGCGGGAGGAAAAUACUUGGAGAUAAAAGCAUCUUUGCACUUAUUCCAUGAAUCAAUACUAUUUUUAGGCAAAGACGAAAACCAAGUUUUAGCACGAUCUCUAAGUGAAAACGGAAAUAACUUCAAUUUAACAAUAUCAUUAUCCAUGUCUUUCUUCUUUUGUAUAUCACACGAAUCAACAAAGUUGUUUAGAUGAGUAGCGGCAUCUUCACUAGGAAGGCCGGAGAAUUGAUCUUUCAUAACAAGAUUCAAAAAAGCAGCAUUGAUUUCACAAGAUUCAGCAUCAUUAAGAGGUGCAAUCGGAGUGCUAAGGAAAUCAUUAUUAUUGGUAUUGGAAAAGCACACAAUUUAGUAUUAUUUUGAGCCAUCGUGACAAGCAAUCCAACACACAAGCACACAAAAAGGCAAGCGAAAAAGAGGAGAAAGAGAGGGCGAAUAAGAUGGCAAGGGUGAAGUGGGGGAGAGGAAAAGGAGAGGCAAAUGGCAAAUAAUGUAAUGCGAGGAAGAUGAGUUUGUGAUGGGUACUUGGUAUGUCUUGACUUGAGCGAAGACCUCCCCGGCAACGGCACCAGAAAUCCUUCUUGCUACCUAUUGAGCACUGCGUUGGUUUUCCCUUGAAGAGGAAAGGGUGAUGCAGCAAAGUAACAUAAGUAUUUCCCUCAGUUUUUGAGAACCAAGGUAUCAAUCCAGUAGGAGGCUCCAUGCAAGUCCCUCGUACCUACACAAACAAACAAGAACCUCGCAACCAACGCGAUAAAGGGGUUGUCAAUCCCUUCACGGCCACUUGCGAAAGUGAGAUCUGAUAGAGAUAAUAUGAUAAGAUAAAUAUAUUUUUGGUAUUUUAUGAUAUAGAUUGGAAAAGUAAAGAUGCAAAUAAAAGUAGAUUGAAAGCUUAUAUGAUAAAAUAUAGACCCGGGGGCCAUAGGUUUCACUAGUGGCUUCUCUCAAGAUAGCAUAAGUAUUACGGUGGGUGAACAAAUUACUGUCGAGCAAUUGAUAGAAAAUCGAAUAAUUAUGAGAUUAUCUAGGCAUGAUCAUGUAUAUAGGCAUCACGUCCGUGACAAGUAGACCGACUCCUGCCUGCAUCUACUACUAUUACUCCACACAUCGACCGUUAUCCAGCAUGCAUCUAGAGUAUUAAGUUCAUAAGAACAGAGUAACGCAUUAGGCAAGAUGACAUGAUGUAGAGGGAUAAACUCAAGCAAUAUGAUAUAAACCCCAUCUUUUUAUCCUUGAUGGCAACAAUACAACACGUGCCUUGCUGCCCCUGCUGUCACUAGGAAAGGACACCGCAAGAUUGAACCCAAAGCUAAGCACUUCUCCCAUUGCAAGAAAGAUCAAUCUAGUAGGCCAAACCAAACUGAUAAUUCAAAGAGACUUGCAAAGAUAACCAAUCAUACAUAAAAGAAUUCAGAGGAGAUUCAAAUAUUUCUCAUAGAUAAACUUGAUCAUAAACCCACAAUUCAUCGGAUCUCGACAAACACACCGCAAAAAGAGUUACAUCGAAUAGAUCUCCAAGAAGAUCGAGGAGAACAUCGUAUUGAGAUUCAGAGAGAGAGAGAAUAAGCCAUCUAGCUAAUAACUAUGGACCCGAAGGUCUAUGGUAAACUACUCACAACUCAUCGGAGAGGCUAUGGUGUUGAUGUAGAAGCCAAGUGAAACAAGUUGGCCAAGCAAGUUAUAUCGGAUGGAAAGCUUUGCACUGACCGACAUGAUAACUCCAAACUUUCCAAAUGCACAAGCCCUUGAAUUUCAGUAGGGAGUGCUACAUCUGCUAGUCUGGCUAAGACCUUCAAAUACCUAAGCAGAAAUAAAUGGCCAAUUGCAGUUUGGUCGACUAUCAUGUUCCAUCCAUCUGGAAACUCAAAGAAUAGAACCCGUAGAUACUUAAACUGUGAAAGGUGAGGCGUGUACUUGGACUCUCCAAACCGUGCAUAUCAUCUAACUUGUGACAUGCUAGUAGCAAGGAUCUCCGAUGUUGCACCACCAACACUGGACUUCAGGGAUAACCGAUGAACCUUGUACUUGCAACUUUGUAAUCUUGCCAUGUCUUCAUAGUUAUAUGCCACACUAAUGAAAUUGUUUUCUUUAUUCUUGCUUAUGAUCAAAUCAACCAUCAUGUCGUGUACUCUGCAAGAAACCACGUCCCCAUAGCAUAUUUCUUCAGGUUGAAUCAGAGUUCUAUUGAUAAGCUCGUCAAAAUAACUUUUGGAAACAUCUUCCAAAUCCACUCCGUGCAAAUUACAAACAAAGCCUUCGCCUAUCCAUUGGCAAACCAGGUCAUCCUUUCUGAUCACACGGUGUUCUGGAUACAUGCCAUGGUACAAAAAACACGGUCGGAGAUGAACGGGAAGAUGCAUGUAGCUAAGGUUUAGUAUACUCCUCAUCUCUUCCAUGGUGGGCUCUGUGGCAAACUUAGUACCAAGAGAAGUCUUUAUGCUCUCCCAUUUAUUUAGUGAUCUUGCUUCAUGGGUAGCUAAUAGGCUAGCUAUGGUGAUAAUUGCAAGCGGUACUCCACCACACUUCUUGAGAAUGUCAGUUGAAAUUCCUUUAAACUGUGGUGGGCAGACAAUUUCAGACCCAAAUACUCUAUCAAAAAAUAAUCUUCUUGAAUCUUGCUCUUUGAGGUGCUUCAUUUUGUAGAUGCAUGUACGAUCAUUGUGGCAUGCCCUCAUAGCUAUGCCAUCCAAUCGUGUGGUUACCAUUACCCUACUUCCAUUACUGUUUUCCGGAAAGGCACAACUAAUAAUAUUCCAUGUCGGCUGAUCCCAUAAGUCAUCAACUACAAUAAAGUAUCUAUUGCAAUUUUGCACAAGUUAGUACAUGGUCAUAAGGUGCAUAAGAAAGCAUUAAAACUAAUAAUGAAGAAAAAAUAGGAUGAUGAACAUGUCUUUCUAAGUUUAAGGAAACAAUGGCAUACAUAUGGUUUAACUUAAAACAAAGGGUUCAAGCUCUAAUAUCACUGUCCUUAUUUAUAUUGAUUAAACUGUAAUGUAUUGUAAAAGUAAGGUACACCAAGAAGAUUUUUUAUAUAUGUCUUUGAUCAUAUAAUAUUGUCAUAUUGAUACAAGCUAACACAACUUUUCCAUAGUGGAAACGCCUCACAAGAUUCGGUGUUGGCCUUAAAAGUCUCGUUGUCAUGACUCAUGAGUACAACUCUUUCAAGUCACACCAAACAAUGCACAAAAAAACCUUAAAAUGACAUCUGUCCAAAUCACACAAUUGAUGAGUAAUGGCCCAUGCAAGUAUAUACGUGCGUACAAGAAUAAAAAUACCUCUUAUGUUUGAGGUGUUCUCUAAGUCGGUCAAUGAUGUCUUGCACCUCAUGAGCUUGAGAAAGAAUCCUCCAUCCCGAGCUUUAACUGUAGGCCACUGAGAAGGCUUUUCACAUCUGGUCUUUGGGAUACGGAGAUAAAGGCCUUGCAAUUAAGCUGCACUCUAAUGUCAUCAUACACUUGUUUCGCUAGAGUAGUUUUACCCAACCCUCCGAACCCUACGAUGGAAACGAUUUUGAGUUUCUUCCGGGAAUCCAUCAAAAAACUUACAAGCUCUUCCCUUGGGCCAUCAAUACCUGCAAGGCAUGUUGCCCUCAUUGUAGAUUGCCGACAUCCAGAAAUCCAUAACCACAAUGCUAGGACUUGAAUUGAUGCAAGAACCUUUCUCAUAGCUUUGUGGUUAAACAAGUAGUUUUUAUAGGUAGUAUCAAGCUUAAUUUGUUUACAUGGAUAGUAAAAUAUAUAUAAACAAGUUAACAUAGAAACUAUAAAAAACAUAUUACAAAUUAUACAACCCAAAAAUAGAAAAACGGAAAUUUGCGGGAAAAUUUAGGUGAAAUAAAAAAUGACAAACAAGAAAAAAAAGAGGAAAUCAAAGAGAAAAAAAUUGGGAAAACUUUGUUUUUGCCACUCUAGCUUUUGCCCAAUUUUCUUAUGCCACUCUAGAAUUUGACAUAUCACUUCUGCCACUCUUAGCUUUUGACAAUAUAUUACAUAUGCCAUUUUGUGGCAAAAGCAAUAUUUUUUCAUUUCACUUUUGCCACUCUAGCUUUUGAUAAUGUAUCACAAUUGCCACCCUAAAAUUAUUACUUUUGCCAUGGAAUGGCAAUUAUGAUGUAUUGUCAAAAACUAAGAGUGACAAAAGUGAAAUGUCAAAUUCUAGAGUGGCAGAAGUAAAGUUGUCAAAAGCUAGAGUGGCAAAAACAAAGUUUUCAAAAAAAAUUAGGGGAAAUAUCCAAUGUCUAACGAUUAAAAUUCGAAGAGGUAAGCCUACGUGAUGAAAAAAUGGGUCCAAUUAGAGCCCACUGCUGAAGCGAACGACGAGAACCGAAAAUUGCAGCCCCCAUUUCUUUCCUUCCCCACAACACAAGUAGACCGCCGCCGCCAUCGCCGCCGCCGCCGGCGGCCGCCUGCACCAUGCUCCGCCUCCGAGGGCGCAUCGUUGCCCAUCUCCUCUCUUUCUCCUCCACCUCUGGCCCGGCCAUCUCCCCCCUCCACCGGCUCCUCUCCGCAUCGGCAGCCGCCGGCUCCAUUUCCCCGAACCCCGGUGGAUUCGCCGUCGAGGAGUACCUCGUCGACACCUGCGGGCUCACCCGGCCCCAAGCCUUCAAUGCCUCCACCAAGCUCUCCCACCUCAAGUCCCCCGCCAACCCCGAUGCCGUCCUCGCCUUCCUCGCCGGCGUCGGCCUCUCCGGCGCCGACGUCGCCCCGGUUGUCGCCAAGGACCCGCAGCUCCUAUGCGCCAAAGUGGACAAAACCCUGGCUCCGGUGGUCGAUGGGCUCACCGGCCUCGGCCUGUCGCGUUCCGACAUCGCCCGCCUCGUCUCGCUCGCCCCCGGCGGCUUCCGCCGUAGAGCCAUAGUCUCCAGGCUGCACUACUACCUGCCCCUCUUGGGCUCCUUCCAAAACUUCCUCCGGCUGCUCAAGCGCUCAUCCCACCUUCUGUCGUCGGACCUCGACAAGGCUGUCAAGCCCAAUGUUGUGUUCCUGAGGGAGUGCGGGCUAGGUGGUUGUGAUAUUGCCAAGCUGUGUAUCCGUGUGCCUAGGAUGCUGAGCACCAACCCCGAGCGUGUCCGGGCGAUGGUGGCAUGUGCCGAAAGAUUAGGUGUGCCCCGUGGCUCUGGGAUGCUCAGGCAAGCGCUGCAGGCUGUCGCGUUUCGCAGCGAGGAGAAGAUCGUCGCCAGAUUGAAGUACUUGAAGAAUACGUUCGGGUGGUCUGAUGCUGAAGCAAGCAUUGUUGUGCGCAGGUAUCCGGCGGUGCUGGGGAAGUCAAAGGAAUCUUUGAAGUGCAGGUCUGAGUUCCUGCUCUCUGAGGUGGGGCUGGAACCCAUGUCCAUUGCUCAUCAACCUGUAAUUCUCAGUCUUAGCCUGGAGGGCCGGCUGAGACCCCGGUACUAUGUUAUAAAGUUUCUCAAGGAAAAUGGACUGCUAGAUGGUGACCCGAGCUUCUUUACUGCGGUCAAGAUGACUGAGAAGGUAUUUAUGGAGAAACUCAUAUCCCCUCACAAGGAAGCUGCACCACACCUCGCUGAAGACUAUGCAACAGCUUGCAAAGGGGAAGUGCCAACUAAUUUCAUAUUUAGAUGGACCAGGAACAGGCUAUGAAAAUCCGUAACCUGUGUAUGGCGCAAGAAAGUUUUCACUCUGUGUAGUAAGUUGGUAACUCCUGCCUUGGUGUUUAGGCCUAACUGGAUGUUGACUAUCUUUUCUAGUGUGUUUGUUACUUGCCAGUUUGCUCAUUGCUAACUCUUGAUGUAACUAGUAAUAAAUUGAUUUCUGAACCCCCGAUAUGCUGUUGUUGUCAUUCCUUAGAGGAGAUCCUUCAAAAUAUCAGUCUGGUCUGCUUUUAUGGCAAUUUUUAUCUAGCAUGUUCCCUUUUGAUUUCAUUGUAUUUUCAGUUGCAUCAUAUUUCAGUUAGUACUAAGUUUGUGGUUCAAUGUUCAGUAUUUGGAUUAUUCUUACAAAUAUUAUGACAGUUAGUACUAAAGUUUGUAGUUCAAUGUUAAGUAUUUUACAGUAUGCUUAGAUAUAUAUUUCUAAUUGAUGUCGGUUCCUUUUUAACCUUUUGUUUUCUUCCUCCUUAUUCAUUCCUAAAUACCACAGUUGACCUUUCUUUAGUUUGGAAAUUUCCAAAUUUCUACAUAUGAAUCAGUCUUAUCAUUGGCACCCCUCAUUAAUUGUCAGAAUAAACCAAUUGAGGUGCCAUGUAUAACAAGCAAAUCCAAUGAAGUUUGAGCUAACACUUGUUCUUGUGGACAUAUGAAGAAGAAAUGGCUAUGAGAUUUUCCCACUACAACCUACUGCUUGCACUGAGGGCAAAGGAGGAGAACCCAAACUCAUAGAAAUAGAGCUAGCAGUGGAUAUUGAAGGACUCAAGGGCUCUCCGCCUGCUGGUGUCAUUGAACACCCGGUACCUGGCCAGAUUCAUUGCCUCCUCGACCGGUAUCGGUCCGAUGCGCCACCCCAUCUUGGGCACGACGAGGGUCACCACCGAUAACCUCGCCGCCGCGGAGUUGGAGACCAUAUCCACAUGGUGAUCGACCCUUGCCAGCACCCUACUGCUAUUGGUGAUUAGCUCCAUGACUCCAUUUGGUGCCAGUGGCGGAGACAGGGGGACCAGCAGGGGCCUUGCCCCCCCNNNNNNNNNNNNNNNNNNNNNNNNNNNNNNNNNNNNNNNNNNNNNNNNNNNNNNNNNNNNNNNNNNNNNNNNNNNNNNNNNNNNNNNNNNNNNNNNNNNNNNNNNNNNNNNNNNNNNNNNNNNNNNNNNNNNNNNNNNNNNNNNNNNNNNNNNNNNNNNNNNNNNNNNNNNNNNNNNNNNNNNNNNNNNNNNNNNNNNNNNNNNNNNNNNNNNNNNNNNGCUAAUUCACUGAUGAACAGUGCACAAUUAGACAUAUUUUGAUGCUAAAAGUCUAUUUUUCUAUUCUUUGGCCCUCCUUAACCUACUUUGACGACACUUGGCCCCCCUGAUCCACAUUUCCUGGCUCCGCCACUGUCUGGAGCUGAAGUUGAUGACAGACACAUUGGGUAUUGCGGGACGAGUUGCCACCUUCUGCCGUGCGACGUCACCCUGGGAUUGAGUUUGGUCACCCCCUCAGCGGUGGCCGGUGGGUGAGCCGGAGCGGUGUCUAACAAAAACAAACUGUGUGCCUGUACCUAUCUACUUGUCAUCUUGUUUGCAGAUUUUUUGUAAGUGCUUCCUUGUAUUGGCGUUCUUGUGCUUUGGUUGUCAGAUUGCCGCUGUUUAUGAUCUGGUAACAGCUUUCCUUGUCGUUGCCCCUCGUAUUUUCUCUUGUUUCCAUACAGGUUCAUCGGGGGUGCAUAUAUACAUACAAGAGUACUGUUUUCAUUGCUGCCACUGUGAAGUCGCUAUGUAGGUAAUGGUCACAACAGAUUUAAAGAGCAUAGUUUUUCUAUUUGCAUGACCUGGGUAUAGAUAACAUUGCACAUGAACUUGGAGAGUGCCUUAUAAUAACUUAAAUAGACAUUAUUUAAUGAAGUUCCACGCUUCAUUUAAAUUUUAAUUGGUGGUGUCGAAACUUGAAGAGUGCCUUAACUUAAAUAGACAUUAUUCAGUGUCGAAAUUUGAAGCCAAGCUCCAGCCUACUGAAAUUGUACUGAGAUUCGCUGAUCCUUCACAUACCAUGCAUAUUUCUUGAUUUCUUAAAAAAAAAUAGCAUUCCGUAUAAGUUACUACUGAUGGACAAAAUUUUAUUGGAUCAGUGACUUGAUUCAUUUAUUUAGAUCCGAGCCUCCUUGCGUAGUAGAGCAUAACAGCUAUUUAGACACAUAAUUUUUUUUCCGCCUAAGAUGCAUACUGCCUGAAUCCUUUUAUGAUAUCAGCUGCUGUUGAUAUUUUUAGUGCCUACUGCAAAAUCAUACACACACAGUUGUGAGAUUUUUUUUUUAUGAUAUCAGCUGUUGUGUGUAUCUUUUUUAGUGGGUAUUUUCAAAUUGAAAUCGAGAUUGUUACCUGCUCAUAAGCAGCCUGCAGCUGCAGGUAUUAAUACCCAUCUUUUUCUCUGCCCGAGAAGCAAAGAUGAAUUAUUUCGAACUUGAGAUUAUUUAAAUUGGAAUAUAUAAUAUAUGUAUGUACUCGUUACGUAUGACUAACAAUGCGUUCCACUUGUGUGAUCAUCUCCGGUGCCUUUCUUUUACAUUUCUGAUUCCCUGUGUUUCAUCGUCGCGGUGGCCAUCAGGCAGGCCUCACCGGCAAAUUAAGGUUUGCGUAUUAUCAAUGGUGUUCUGUUCGGAUAAAUAGGCGAGGAGUAGUAGGAAUCCUGGAGUUUGAUUGCUGUUCUGAAAUCAACUGAAAUCAUGUGCUCCAUGCAAUGCUGUUCUGAUCUCCAUCCAUGCUUUCCCAUUGUGUAAAGAAGCUACAGUAGGUAGAUUUCAAAACUUGAAGCCAGAAAUUCCAUAUGUUUUAAUGCUGCAUGUUUAAUAUUUGAAGAUAAAUGCGAUGUUGUGCUGCUGAGGUACUGGCAAUAAAAGCAACUGCUCGCACCGAUUUCCCAAUCAAGUCGCAUCAAGUCGAGCUUAAUCAGUAGAGUACGUGCGCCAAAAUUAAACAAGUCCAAAAGUAUACAUCGAUGCAAGGUUUACUACUCAUAUCACCAUAUCACCAUCUUUAUCUCCGUUUGAGAAGUAGAGAUGAACUCCUUUCAACUUCGUAGAGUAUUAGUUUAGUUUGGAGCUCUUUGGUUUUCUUAAUUUAUCCUUCCUUUUCACCGGUCAUCUCUGGUUUUUUUUCUUUUUAUCUGUUUUCUUUAUGUUCUUUAUGAUUUCCAUCGGUUUAGAACCUUUUUAAUUGUCUUUUUUGUUUUCUAUGUUUUGUUUGUAUCGUUUUCCCUCGGUUUUCUAUGUUCAUUUUUCAUGUACAUAUUUUUUCCUACAUGUUAAACAUUUUUAAAAUACACAAUUAACAUUUUUUCAAAUAAAUUUUUUGAUGUCUACAUUUUUUAUAUACAUCAAGAAUUUUUUUAUACAAUUUAACUUUUUUUAAUACAUGUUUAGCAUUUUUAAAUACAAUGAUUACUAGUUCUUUCAAAUACAACUUUGAUGUCUAAUUUUUUCGUAAACUUUGUAGAUAUUUCAUAUGCAUCUGAAAGACUGAACAUUUUUUUAUUUGAUAUGCAUUUUUUGAAAUACGUGAACAUUUUUAGAAUGUCACAAAUAUUUUUUUGUAAGGUAUCAACAUUUUGCAUAUAAAUUUUAAACAUUUAUUUGAUAUAUGUUUAACAUUUUUGGAGCAUGGAGCUGGCUCUUGGGGUCUCCCCGUUGACCUCUUGGAGCAGAUCUGGAAGUGGUGGCCUCCUCCUUUGCGCUUCUUCCUGCCUCGCCGGUCUGCGCUGCCCAGUUCAGGCGGUCGGUUGGGGAUGGAGGAUAUGGUGGGUAUAUGGACCCGGGGAAACCCUUGGCCAGCUGCUGUGUGGCCACGAUGCCGGCGGCACUCCGUGUCAUUCUCAUCUAGUGGCGGCAUCGAGGUCCUUCCCUUAAUUACCCUCUACCUCCACGGCCUAGGUGAAAGCCCAAACUCUCCAAUUGGGUGGUGCUGGCGCGCCAUGUCAUUCUUCUUCUUGAAAGGCGCCACCUUUGGUCAGCGGAAGGGUGGUCGAGGCUUUGGUGCAGGAGGUGGGCUAUCUUCUUCAAUGAUGUUCCUGCUUGGCUGCUUAUGGUUGACGUUGGUUCGGGCUGCGGUGGUGGCGAUGUAUGGGGUGUGGCAGUGCAAGGUGAGGUGACCAUGCUUGUCGUCCUCUCCCUAGCAUCCACUUGGUUCUGGCCAUACGAGCUCGACGGUGAAUGGCUCUACCUGCCGACUGCGUGGCAUCCUACGGUCCGAGGCGAGAGGGUAGGGGCCUUCUUCGGAGGUAGAGAGGGAUGGUGGAUCGACUAUGGUUGGCAUCAGUGGAGUUGACAGCGUGUGGCCUCCUCCGGGAGCGGGUCACUACCCUGUCUUCGUCGUGUCGUGUGCAGGAUUGUGUUCGCCGAGGGCCUCAAUUCUCAGGCUUGCGCUUGUUAGUGGCUCUGUCUUGUACCUUUACCAUUCUUGCUCUUUUCUUUUUUUAGUUGUAUGCCUGUUGUAUGUUGGGAUUGUGGAUUUAUAAUAUAAAGUGGGGGGAAACCCUUUAUAGUCGAUCAAUGAGACUUCCUCCAGACGAUCCAAAUUCAACAUCAAUGAGUAAAUUGCUCCGUUGAAGUGCUAAUGGAAUUCCCUCUUUUAUAGCUGACAGUUCGGCUUCGAGAGUAUUUGCAAGUGUAAAUAUGUCCUCAAGAGCUAAAAAUAAUCGAGCCUUUAGAAUAACUGAGAAUCAUGCCCGUACCCCCUUUGCACUCCAUGUAUGAGCCAUUGGUGUUGAGUUUUGCUCUUUCCAUUAUCGGUUUGUUCCACAAAAUAGACAUCGCUGCCUCAACAUUGUUUCUGAUGGAAGUUUAACAGGAACGAUCCUUUGCUAUCACAAGUUUCUGAUUGAUUGCCUUGCCUUUCAAAUCAUCAUUUGGACGACAGUGAGAUUCGGCGAAACAAAGUAACAUGAGCGAUUCUUUGCUAUCACAACCUAUCAUUGCGCAGAAAAAGUACAAACAUCAUAACCUUUUUUUUCCUUCUAUGAGAAGUUGAGAACUACUACAAACAUCAUAGUUUUUUCUUUUUUUUUCUUUUUGAGUGAUACAUCCAGAAUUUUUUUUUUGGAACAGAGUUAACACAAAGGUAGGCCCAUCCAAACCCCCCGUCCAAUAGAGCCCACACGCACCAGGCUUGGCUUUCUCCUUCCUCACAGUGAGGAGGGGAGUACGCAUUCCAUUCCAUCCAAGAAAACGAAUCUCUGUCGCCGCCCGCGCCGCCGCCGGCCGAAUUUCGUGUUUUGACCCUUUUUGGAAAGAAAAUCGGGAUCUGACCCUAGUUCGGAAAAAUUUCAGGAUCUGACCCUUUUGCCUACCGCUAGAGGGCCUGGCGGUAGGAUUGCGUUCCCUACCGCCAUACCCUACGGCGGUAGGCCAUUUGACGGCGACUGACGGCCGUUGGCAGCCGCUGACGUGGAAAAGGGCCUACCGCCAUCCCCUACGGCGGUAGGUUACUGGAGCCUACCGCCAUAACCUCUGGCGGUAGGGUCCUGUGUUCUGGAUAAGGUGGGGAGGGGCUGGAUAUCCCCCCCCCUCCUCAACCACUCAUUCAGCCCACAUCACCUCUCCACCGAGCUCAACUCUCCCCCCCUCUUUCUUUGAAGCACAAGAGCCUCCCAAAUCUCUCUCAUUUGUUUGAGAUUUCUCCGGUGGAUUCUUACCAUUUUCAUUACUCAAGGUGGCUCUCUCAUUUCCCCUCAUUUUGAUUGGUUGAUACCUUUGUUUACUUUGCAUUUGCUCAUUUGAUUGCAAACCCUAGCUCCUCAUUUUCGUGUGGUCAAAUCAAUUACUAUGAUCCAUUUAGGUUUAUGUUUGUGGUUUCAUUAUGUAUGAUGUGCUUAGAAUUGGUUGUAGAAAAGUUUGUGUGCCUAGAUCUAGUGCUAGUCUUAAUGUACAUAAUGGGGGUUAGGUUAUGCUUAAGAAAGCAAUUAAAGCUAAGUUACUUUAAUAGCAACUUUUCGAAUUGUAGGAUGGCACCGUUCGUUUUCUUUGAAACUUCUGCUGAGGCGGCGGCGAACCGUGAACGCGAAUUGAUUGAGGAAAAGAUGAACUUGUGGAUCGAAGCCAUUGAUGCGUUGAAUGCGGAGUGUAGGGCCUUUUCAUAUAAUUAUUUCAAUAAAGACCGCUCCGAAAAUUUUAUAACAAAAAAGGAGAGGCUGAUGAAGAAGCUCAAGACGGCGGAAAAAAAUUGUAGGCGUGAUCUUGCAAUGCAAAUUACAUUGUGUGCGACAACGGCAAAAUAUGCUGAGAUAGACAUGGGCAAUCAUGGUCAUGUCACUGAUUGGUUAGUUCGCCAACCAUUCUCGUCGGAUGAGAACCGUGCAUCUCAUUGGGCGUGGGUCAAAGAAAGAAAUGAUGUUAUUUGUUGCAACCCGGGACCAUACGCCGCAUAGUAUUGCAUGAGGCUAUGUAAUCUUUGUCAUUUGGACUGUAAUGACAUGUACCCUAUGCUUGGUCGUCGUUUGAACUACUAUGACUUGUACCCUUAACAUUUGAACUCAUUAAGAACUUGGUGUUGUAUGUCAUAUCAAGUAACCGAGUGUUGUACUCUACUUAAUUUAUUUUAUGUUUUUGUUUAUGUCAUCUUAAACCCGUAUAUUCAUGUAGGAUGGACAGUCGAUCCAUGACUAUGAACAUAGCGUGUGAGAAGAUCAUGGCGGAGCGACACCGUUGCUUGAAGAAGGAAUGUGAAGCAUGGUUGAAGAGUUGUGAUGAGGCAAAUGCGGCCAUGAAGGAUUUCAGCAAGUAUCACUUUAUCGAGGAACCUUCUGAUGCUAAGGAGAAAAAAGCAUUCUGAAAGCUUGUGAAGGAGAAAGAAAGGAUGCUUGAUCAGCUGGAAGACCGGGAAUAUGCUUGCAGACACGCUUUGGCAGUUGACAUGUAAAGAGGCAAAUAUAUCAACACAUGCAUGAACAUAUUAAAAGUAGUACCAUUCACAUUAUUUAACCAUCCGGAUUGAGCAACAUGUCGAUAGGCCUUCCCCUAUCAACCCGACGUGUCCUAGAACCACCGGAUACACGGCCACGGCCCCCUACAAGGCUAGUCCUUCCUCCACGGCCACGGCUCCCUCCAAGGCUAGUCCUUCCUCCACGGUCGCGGCCCCCUCCAAUGUUAGCCCUUCCUCCACGGCCACGGCCCCCUCCAAGGCUACUGCUCCGUCCACGUGUUUGACUAGUGCCCGUGUUGGUUCUUCGUUUCUUGCAUGUCCUAACGUUGUGUCCUGUGUCAUUGCAUUCUCCACAAUUGUUGUUUUCCGGUGGCUCCAUGAAAUGACCACUACCAAAUUGCUUCAUUCCAGUGUAUCCAGCUAGAUCAUCCAUGUCACUCCGGAAUCUCUUCUUUCUUCUUCUUCCCCUCAUAGGCACCAUGAGUGCGGGAUCUGGCACAAUGUCUGGCCCAACAUACUCAGGCCACUAUGAGGCAUCAAGGAAAGGAUUGAACUGAGGCGCCCACGUCAACCUUGUUCUUUCCAAUGUAAACUCGUGCAACCACACCGUUGUGCCAUCGGAUACGUUCAUGUUUCUCACCCGUGCUGCGGUUAUCAAAUGCGAGCAAGGCCAAUGAUACUUGUGUGGCCUCUCACACUGGCACCAACGGUUUUUAAGGCGCACCUCGUAAGCAACUCCACCGUAAGACCUACCAUCCCUUGUUGUCCCACCCGGCUCAUCGAUUUGAUAGAUCAUUUCUUUUUCAUUAUAUGUGAUCACUUGUUGUUUGGCAGACUUGCGCGCUUGAUGCAACAACCAAUCAUGAACCUUUAAUGGAUAGUCCAUCUUUUCCCCAAUCCACUUGGUCGUGCUUGCAGAAUGCUUUAGGAAGUACUCAUUGAGCUUGAUGAAAGUGUACUUGAGUAUUGCGGUCACCGGCAAGGAACGGACACCCUUCAACACAUUGUUGAAGCAUUCCACCAUGUUGCUUGUUAUGUCCCCAUAUCGCAUACCUCCUUCAUCGUAAGCGCGUGACAACUUUUCCUUCUCCGGAAAGUGCCUAACCAAGAAUUCUUUCCCCCCUUUGUUCUUUUCCAAAGCCUCGAGGAGUUUAUCAUAUCGGGUCUUGAAUGUGGCGGUAUUGAAAGCUACGCAAACAAGGGUAAGGUCUUUGCAAAACUCCUUGCUCUUGCAUGCCCGGUAAAAGUUUGCAACAAAGUGUCUCAUGCACCAAUGGUGUUGAAGCUUUGGAAGACCGGGAAUAUCAACGUCUAUUGCUUUGAGAAUCCCAUGAUGGCGAUCCGAUAUAAUGCAUACCUCUCCGUUGCCUAUCACCUUGGUUCUCACAUGCUCCAUGAACCACUCUCAGUUAUCAUCGUGCUCCGAAGGCACCAAGGCAAAUGCCACCGGCAACACGUUAUCAUUUGAAGAGUGGGCCAUCGCCACCAUCAAUGUUCCCUUGUAUUUGCCGGUCAAGAAUGUACCAUCUAUAGACAACACCGGGCGACAAUACGUGAAUGCCUCAAUGCAUUGUCCAAAUCUCCAGAAGGCACGACGAAACACUCCGGCAAUUGACUCCACCCGAUGGCGCAUUCCCGGGUUUCAAUGAGCAAUUGCUGCCAACAUCUUGGGGAGAAUGUUAUAUGCGGCCUCAUAAUCACCAUGCAGCAUCCUAAUAGCGUUUUCCUUCGCCAUCCAUGCCUUCCCGUACUUGACCGGGUGUCUGAAUUGUUCCUCAAUCGAAGACAUGAGAAACUUGACCUUCACGGUUGGAUCAUGUGCUAUUUGAUGCAACAAUUUAUAUCCUAGAUACUCCGACGUGAGUUGACGGUGUCCUUUGCUUUGGUCGGCCUUGUCCGGGGGUACGCACGUGUGAGUGCCAACAUGACUCUUCAAGACCCAUUGCCCGGUUUCUUUGAUUUUUCUACCGCGGACCAUCCAUUUGCAACCUUCUUUGUCACAUUUGACCGUGUACCAAAGUUUUUGAUUUGAAUGACUAACAACAAACGGCCUAUGGUUCCUAAUGGCAUAGUCACACAACCAUAAUUUGAACUCUAUCAAAGAACCAAACUUGAUGCCUUUCUUCAAAUGAGCAUUCUCAUCCUCAUUUUCUGGUCGAGGAUCACUAAAUUUGGGGCACGGCGUUGGCUCGGACAACCAUAAUCUCAUCCCACCAUCAACGACUGCAUUGUCCGCAAGACUCACAUCUCUAAACAAAGAUGGCCCUCUCUCCUUGCCGGUCACCUUCUUGUAGAUUUCGUUUUCUUGCGCAGUCAACCCAUCCUCAUCCAACUCUUCCUCCGGACCCUCGUCAUCCGAGUUAUACCCACACAUACGGUUAUGAGGGAGGGUACAGUCCAUGUCUUGUUGCCGCACAAUGACAUUCAAGUUACCAAUUGGAUUGUAAUGGAUCUCUUCAUUCUCCGAGUAAACAUCCUCCUCUAGAGCAACAAUAGCAUCAUCAUCAACAUGAGGAAUAGCAUCUUCUUCAACAUGAGGAAUAGCAUCAUGACAGAGUACUAUGGCGCUAGCGUUGAUAUGAUCUUCAUUGGGUUGGCUACUUGGUGGUUGGCUAGAAGAAUUGGGGACAUACACCUCGGCACUGUCAUCAUGCAUGGGGGAGGAUGCAUUGCGGUUGAGAUCAAUUUGCAAAGGAGGAGGAUCAACCUUUGUGGCAAAGAUCUCAAGAGACUUGUCUUGUGAUGCGUCUACUUUUUCCUUGUACACAUUCCAAUGCAAUUGGGAGGUGAUGGACAUACUCUUUAAUCGGGACUUUACUCCCAAUCCAACGUCAUAUCUCCCAAUAAGCUUAACCUCGGCAUUUGGGUCAUUCCAAUGUAAGACCCUUCUCACUUGAACUACAAGAUCAUCAAAGCUUGGACUUGUGUCAAAAACCAUAGCCUCUUCCCCUUCAUCGUCAUUUCCAAGCAUAAAUGUCGACUUGUCCAAAUAAUGAACGUUUACGACCUUAUGCAUCUAAGAAAAUGGGAAGAAUAUAAUCAAUCCAUAUAUGUCAUCCAACCAACACAAAUGGACAAAAUGAACGAAAUUUUGCAUAACUACUAUUCAUAGUAAAGUUAACCUAACCAUUAACAACUAACCCUAACCAUAACCCCUAACAUAACCACUAUAACCCUAACCCCCAACAUAACCACCCAACAUCCCUAACCCUAACCCUAACACCAACCCCUAACAUAACCACAACCCUAGCCAUAAAUGCAUCAUAAAUGCACAUAACAACAUCAACACCUAGGGUUUGCAAUAAAUUGACCAAAUCAACACAAAACAAAGAUCUCAGCCAAUCAAAAGAAGGGGGAAUGGGGGAGGUACCUUGGGUGAUGAAAAUGCUCCGGAUCCACCGAUGAAAUCCCAAGCAAAUGGAGUGGAUCUAGGGGGGUUUGUGAGGGGGAGAGAGGGGGAAGAGGAGCUGAGCACGGGGAAGAAGAUGAGUGGGGAAGAAGAGUGGUGGUGGGGCCCACAAACCAGCCCCUCCCCACCUUAUCCAGAACACAGGACCCUACCGCCAGAGGUUAUGGCGGUAGGCUCCAGUAACCUACCGCCGUAGGGGAUGGCGGUAGGCCCUUUUCCACGUCAGCGGCUGCCAACGGCCGUCAGUCGCCGUCAAAUGGCCUACCGCCGUAGGCUUUGGCGGUAGGGCACGCAAUCCUACCGCCAGGCCCUCUGGCGGUAGGCAAAAGGGUCAGAUCCCGAAAUUUUUCCGAACUGGGGUCAGAUCCCGAUUUUCUUUUCAAAAAGGGUCAAAACACGAAAUUCUGCCGCCGCCGCCUGUGCGAUGCUCCGGCUCCGAGAGUCCAUCCUUUCCCAUAUCCUCUCUUCUCCCUCCAAAGCUGCAUUCUCCCCACUCCGCCGCCUCCUCUCCGCCACAGCGGGCCCCGUUUCCUCAAACCAAGGCUUCGCCGUCGAGGAUUACCUCGUCGGUACCUGCGGCCUCACCCGUCCCCAAGCCCUCAAGGCCUCCACGAAGCUCUCCCACCUCAACUCCCCCGCCAAGCCCGACGCCGUCCUCGCCUUCCUCGCCGGACUCGGCCUCUCCGGCGCCGAUGCCGCCGCCGUCGUCGCCAAAGACCCGCAGUUCCUCUGUGCCAAAGUGGACAAAACACUGGUCCCCGUCGUCGCCGGGCUCGCCAGCCUCGGUCUCUCGCGUCCUGAGAUCGCCCGCCUCGUCUCGCUCGCCCACAGCGGCUUCCGCUCUAGAUCCAUCAUCUCCAAGAUGCACUACUACCUGCCCCUCUUCAGCUCCUGCCACAACUUCCUCCGGGCGCUCCAGCGCUCGUCCUACCUUCUCUCGUCGGACCUUGACAAGGUUGUCAAAGCCCAAUGUCAUGUUCCUGCACGAGUGCGGGCUAGGUGCUUGUGAUAUUGCCAAGUUGUGUAUCCGUGUGCCGAGGAUGCUGACCACCAACCCGGAGCGCGUACGCACGAUGGUGGCAUGUGCCGAAGGUCUAGGUGUGCCCCGUAGCUCAGGUAUGUUCCGGAAAGCAUUGCACGCUGUCGCAUGCAUUAGCGAUGAAAAGAUCACUGCGAAAGUAGACUACUUGAAGAAGACGUUAAGGUGGUCUGAUGCGGAAGCGAGCAUUGCUGUGCGCAAGCAUCCGGGUGUGCUGAGAAAGUCAAAGGAAUCUCUGAAGAGCAGGUCCAAGUUCUUGUUAUAUGAGGUGGGAUUGGAACCUGUGUACAUUGCUCAUCGACCCACAUUUCUUAGUCUUAGCCUGGAGGGGCGGCUCAGACCCUGGCACUAUGUUGUCAAGUUUCUCAAGGAAAAUGGAUUUGUAGAUCGCGACCUGAGCUUCUAUAGUGUAGUCAUGAGGCCCGAGAAGUAUUUCAUGGAGAAAUACAUAUGCCCUCACAAGAAAGCAGCACCACACCUCGCUGAGGAUUAUGCAACUGCUUGCAAAGGGGAAGUGCCGGCUAAUUUCAAAUUUACAUGAACCAAGAACAGGAUAUGAAGAUUGGUAAUGUUUGUAUGGCGCAACAAAGUUUUCGUUCUGUGUAGUCAACUGGUAACUCCUACUUCGGUGUUCUAUGCCCAAUUGGAUUUUGGCUGUCUUUUAUAGUGUGUCUGUUACAUGUCAGUUUCAUCAUUGCUAACUCUUGACGUAACUGAUGAAUUGAUUCCUGAACUCUGAUAUGCUGUUGUUGUCAUUCCUUGGAGAAGAUGUUUGAAAAUAUCAGUGUGGUCUGCUCUCAUGGCGACGUUUAUCUAGCAUGUUUCCUUUUGUUUUCAUUGUAUUUUCAGUUAGUACUAAGUUUGUAGUUCAAUGUUCAGUAUUUGGAUUAUUCUUACAAAUAUUGUGACAGUUAGUACUGAAGUUUGUGGUUCAAUGUUCAGUAUUUACAUUAUGCUUGGAUAUAUAUUUCUAAUUGAUGUCGGUUCUUUUUUAACCUUUUGUUUUCUUCCUCCGUAUUCGUUCCUAAAUACCAUAGUUGACCUUUCUUUAGUUUGGAAAUUUUCAAAUUUCUACACAUGAAUCAGUCUUAUCAUGAGCAUCCCUCAUUAAUUGUCAGAAUAAACCAAUGGACGUGCUUUGUAUAACAAGCGAAUCCAAUGAAGGUUGAACUAACAUUUGUUCUUGUGAACAUUUGAAGAAGAAAAGGAUAUGAGAUUUUUCCCACUACAACCUACACUGAGGGCAAAAGUUUUUUCCUUCAUAUCUGUCUACAAUUCAGUGAAAUCAUAGAUUUAAGAAUAUAUUUUGCAACAAAAUUGAUCCCAGUUUUCUGCCUUGAAACGACACUGAGACAUUCGACCUGUUGUCCAUCCUAACAAAGUUGCGAAUUGUUUUGUUUAGCAAGGACUAAGAUUUAAGAGUUGCUCGACUAGUACAUGUCUUGCAACCAAACUAGUGUCGCAACAUAUCCACAAGUCGGUGCCCUGGGCACUUGUAAUCCUUGGUGCUUAGUGAUGUAUGUAUCUGUUCUGGUUGUGUUUAAUGAGCAGCAGGGAUAACUGACCGUGCUACUGUUACCAUGGCACUAUAUACAAACAUUUUUCCUGUUGAAACACAUGAAAGAUCACAACCAUAUCGAUCUGAAAAAGAAGAGAAAAAUGAGAAAUAGUAUAUAUUCAGUAAAAACAAAAAUAUCAAUUCAUGAAUUACUAAAGAUUAUGCCUGGGUGAUGAUGAAGUGCACAUCAGCCAUCAGAUGUAGUGCGCCUCUGUCCUGUUGCUUCUGCAGAGCGUCAGCAGAUCUGGGCUGCUGUUGCUAUUUUGUUCUGCUCAGUGACUUGGACUGGGUUUAGUUAACUUGCUUUCCCUGAACUUCAUGAUCAAAACAGAAAAGAACUUAAGGGACGCAAGAGGGGGAAAAAUGAAACACUUAGGCAAGCUGUACAUGCUUGUGUUGAUCAGUGCUUUAUAUUUAUUUGGAGACGAAUGUGUUGGAUAUUUUGUUCAAAUAGGAGGGAUAUAUCUAAGCAUAUCGCCACUAGGGAAAGGUCACUCUACUGUUCAGGUUGAUAAACUUUCCAUAAACGGGGUUUACUUGAUCAAAAUUGGAGGUUAAGAUAGCUUGUUAUUUUUCACUGGGAUUAGACUUAUGUUUUACUCAGAAAUUCUGGCUAACUAUCUCUGAAAUAAAAGAAAAAUGAACCUAAUUAGUCUGAUGUAAAGUUUCUGCUGGACAUAUUGACAAAACUUAUUCACCUGCACCUGGCCUAUUUCUGAGGAGUAUCUCCAGACUAUUUAACCGUCGCAACCACAAAUGCCAAUUUUUCAAGAUUCCUCACAGGAAGAAAAAGAGAGGUAUAGCAAAUCAGGAAUGUUUAUGCAUGGAAGGUCACUUGAUGCAGAUAGAGAGCAUUCCGUACUCUAUUUACACAUAUCUUAUAUUCUUUCUGCUUGGUCAGCAUAUAUAGUUUGUGGGGCCAGUUCUGUCUGGUCAAGCAUGUUAAUGUAUCAGGGGAAGACUGCAUUCUGAGAUCAGUUGACAUGUUAAUGUGGAAUAAAAGAAAAUGUUGCUAAGCUUCUCAACAUGGGCAUGCUCGACAGCCAGGUAGUUAUAUAAAAUACUCUUAUCUAUAUUUACUGAAGUUUAUGUAUGCAUGUCCAAUUUAUCCAUUAAUUUACAUCCUUGGUCCUUAUGGUGCUGCCACUGAAGUAGACCAUAUGCAUAUUACUGAAGUGGGAGUAAUGCCAGUUCUCCACAGCGUAAUGUCCCUCUGAUAUAUAUGAAUCUACUUUUCACACUAGAGUCUAGACUCACAAGAACACUUUAUGGUAUUCUUAUAUUUAUAUGGCCUCUAUCACACAGAGAUCUGCCUUGUACACUGUAUUAUCUAUGAUUCCAGAUGCGACUGCCUUCUCUUUCUGUGUAGCACUGCAAAUUUUUUUUGUUUAUCUGUUGAGAUCAGCUUCUCUAUGCAGUUACUCAGGGUACAGCCUAUUGGGGUGAUUAUCAAAAAUUCAAAGAUUGGAUUUAAAACUUAGCAUUUUCUUUUGCUAUAAGAUACUACUGUCCAAUAAAUAGUAGACACUAAGUUCUGUCUUAUCGCCGUUAUGGAGAAAACAAGGGGUCCACGAGUUCUCAUCUUUGUGCUUCGGUUGCAGACCUGUCUCUUCUGUCUGGUUGCUGUGAGGUAAGCCCUUUCAGAAACCAGCAUUCUGCUGUGUCACAGCAGUUUAUGUUGCAUCUACAAUGAUUUCAAUUAGCAUCCACAUCCAGGUCUGGCAUAUAAAUUCAUUUCUUUUUAUAUACUGCUCACACAACAGGAGACCUAUGGUAGUUCUGCUUUAGUUUUAUUCUGUUGCAGUUAAUAGCGUAUCUUCAGUUCCUAUUUACUUGUACUUUUGCAAGACUGACUACGAAUUCCGACCAUUUAUGUUAUAAUAUAUGGGAGAAAUGGAAAUACGGAAGUAUGUGGCAAGACAAAUUUAAUGAGCGAUUGCAGGUCUUAGCAAAAGGAGAACCUAGGCGAUCAAAACCGAAGGAGAAAUAAGAGUUGGGAAUGAGAGGAAAUUACAGGUCAGGAGGGGAGGCGACAGGCAACCCAAACUCAUAGAAAUAGAGAUGGUGGUGGUGGUGGAUCUUGAAGGACUCCAGGACUCUCUCCCUGCAUGGUAUGCCUCCAUGAACUCCCAGUACUUGGCCGGAUUCCUUGCCUCAUCCAUCGUCUCCGGCGUCGGGCCUAUUUAGCACUCCAUCUUGGGCAUGAUGAGGGUCUCCGCCAACAACCUCGCUGCCCUGGAGUUGGUGACCACAUGGUGCUGUGCUUGACCCUCGCCAGCACCCCAUUGCUAUUGGUGGGACGAUGGGCCAACUUCGGUCACCCUGGGGUUGGGAGGGCGCGGUGAGGAGGUGGGUGUCGCAACGUGGGAAGAAAAGCCGAGCGCGACAAUGACGGUCAGGUCUGGGCAUGGACGGGUAGUAGUUCACGAUUCAUCUGGAUCACCCCCCUCAGCGGUGGGAACAUCGGAGCGGUGUCUGACAAAACAAAGUGUGUGCCUGUACUCCUUGCCGGCCUGGAUAGCAUGGCUGAAUGGUCUCAUCUAAUUAUACUUAUCCAAAUCAUGGUUGAAAAAAUUAUGUGUGGCCAGUUCCAUUUUUUCCCAAUGUUCAUAUUUUAAGAAUGGUCAUUUGUUGAUUUCAUUAGUGAAAUUCUGCACUUGCUUCUCUUUCUCUCAUUGCUUCAUGAUUCAUGUCAUUAGUUAAUUUCACGCCUUGCAGUUGGCUCUUCAUAGCUGCAGAAUUGCAGAGAGUUUGAUCCAAUAGUUUUUACAAAUUGCUGUAAAUAAUAUCAUGUGGAAAACUUGUCAUGGUUACAUUUUGCCUUUGUUUUAUGUUCUGUUUUCUGCUUGUCAUCUUGUUUACGUAUUCUUUGUAAGUGCUUCCUUUGUGUUGGUGAUCUUGUGCUUNNNNNNNNNNNNNNNNNNNNNNNNNNNNNNNNNNNNNNNNNNNNNNNNNNNNNNNNNNNNNNNNNNNNNNNNNNNNNNNNNNNNNNNNNNNNNNNNNNNNNNNNNNNNNNNNNNNNNNNNNNNNNNNNNNNNNNNNNNNNNNNNNNNNNNNNNNNNNNNNNNNNNNNNNNNNNNNNNNNNNNNNNNNNNNNNNNNNNNNNNNNNNNNNNNNNNNNNNNNNNNNNNNNNNNNNNNNNNNCGGCUUGUCCCCAAGCCGCCGCGCGGGGAAACCGCGCCUGAAGAGCUUCUCGAUCCUUUUCCGUGGGAUGUUGCGACCCGAGAGAGGCAUGGAAGGCAAGCGGGUGAGCAUCACUAGGGGAGGAGAAGACAUGGGCUGAGAGCAUCUACAACCAUACAUACCUAAAACCAGUUGCCAGGCGCGUCCGCAGAAGGUGACCUGGUACACCCCAAAUUUCAUCACAAACUACCAUGGUAGGCAUAUCCGAUUACCAUUUUCAUACAAAUCCAUUUAACCACAUGAUCUACGUAAACUAAACUACGCGUUCUCAUCGUCGGAGAUGUUGAUGAUGUUGGUGCUGGAGCCGUCGGUCUCAUUAUCAUUGGCGGUCGGGCGCACGGUCGACUCGUCCUCAUCCUCCUCGUCGAACUGGGUGAAGAGCUCGUCGACCUCCGCCUCCCGCUGGUGGAGAAUGCGGCGGUUCGCCUCCACCAGCUCGUUCGUCUGGGCCUCCUCGAACUCCGCCAUGGCGUUGGCCAUGUUGAAGCCCGCAAGCGUCGGAUCUGCCGCCGUCGCCGCAUCCUUUGGCUCUGGCUCCUCUUCCUUCAUGGCAGCAUUGUCCUUUCCCAACUCCUUCUCUUCCUUCUCCGCUUCCGCCUCCCCCUCCUCCUCCUAUUCCUCCUCAGGCUCUGGCUCCUCCUCCUUCUCUUCCUCCUCUAGUUUGGGCGAAUCGGGUGAUAGGCCGUCAGCGAAACGAGCAGCACGCCUCGCCCAGAUCUCCUCCCACAGCUGCAAUUGACACUCUGGCAUCAACAUGGUGUAUGUAGUGAUCCACUACCAGGCCAUGGCUAACGGCUAUGGGUGGGAAGGAGAGAAGGAGGCUGGCGGCGCGGGGUGGAAUGGGGAUGUGCUAGGGUUGGGUCGCUUUCGUCCGUCUUAAAUAGCCGGACUUGCUCCCUUGGGAGGCACACCAGAGCAGUGCCAUGCGGUGCGAACUCGAGGAGAUGCUCGUUAUACCAAUGGUGUCCGUGUGGGCCCUAGCGGCCCGUCCUAUGUAGCGGGCGUGCUUGGGCGCGUCCGGGCAUCCCCAUAUCUGCCCCAAAUAUGGGCCGGAUAUGGGGAGUGCCGGUCAGUCCAGGUGUUUGGGUCGGAUAUUGAGCGUCCGGUUGGGUGGCAUUCUUUCGUCUGGACAUUAACCAGGCGUUUGGGGGCGGGUAUGGGGGAUUUUGUAGAUGCUCUGACGGAUGGAGAGGUAUAUGAGGCAGGUGGCGGAAGGGGCAGCAGUAGAGGAGUAACAUAGGGGCGGAGGCAUCGAACCCUAGAGAAGAGCUUGACGAUCGACGGGAUGAUGAAAGACCGAGGGAGAGGUGCUGGACCAGCAUUGUGUUUAUUCGGUGGUAGACAAAAAACCAACAUGUGAUUAAUUUUGGUGUUAGGGGAAAAACCAAGUGGAGAAAAAAACUUAUGUAGGAGGUAGAGCAAAGCCAUUGGAGUGGGAAGUACUCAAGAUGUAGAAGAGGACUCAAUCAGGUUUGGUCCUCUUUCUCUGAUGUGUUCUUAGAACCUGCUACCCUCCCUCCUAGAAGACCGUGUGACCAUCGGAUUCACCUCACGAUAGUCAACCAGUGAAUCAAAGGCCUUAUAGGUAUUCACACCACCGGAUGAAAUUGAAGCCAUAAUCAAUGAGUUACUCUAGAAUGGUACUCAACAACCUAGUUCAUGCCUCACAAAUGCUACUUGUGAGUUGCGUUGGGAUUUUCCUCGAAGAGGAAGGGUGAAGCAAUAUAGUAGCGGAUAGUAUUUCUCUCAGUGAGAACCAAUGUUAUCGAACCAAUAGAGAAUUACGCAAACGCCUAGUAAGCAGUACCUACACCCACAAGAGAAAAUGCUUGCACCCGACGCGGGCAAGAGGGUUGUCAAAUCCCCUUGAACUCGUUACUUGCAAGGAUUAAAUCUGAUAAUGUUAGAUAGAUAAAUUGCAAAGUAAAAAAAUUGCAGUAAGAUAUUUUUUGUUUUAGCAAUAUGAUUUAAAUAGACCUGCGGGUCAUAGUUUUCACUAGAGGCUUCUCUUUUAAAGAAUAGCAUACGGUGGGUAGACAAUUACUGUUUGGCAAUUGAUAGAAAAAACGCAUGGUUAUGAUGAUAUUUAUGGAAAUGAUCAUGUAUAUAGGCAUUACGUCCGUGACAAGUAGACUGACUCCUGUCUGCAUCUACUACUAUUACUCCACCAAUCGACCACUAUCUAGCAUGCACCUAUGGUAUUAAGUUCAUGACAAAUAUAGUAAUAGUUUAAGCAAGAUUGAUGUAGAUAGAAUAAACCAAGCAAUAUGAUUAAACCUUGUCGUUUUAUCCUUAUUAACAACAAUACAAUACGUGCCUCGCUACCCCUGCUGUCACUGGGUGAGGACAGCGCAAGAUUGAACCUACUACAAAGCACCUCUCCCAUUGAAGAUAAAUCAAUCUAAUUGGCCGAACCAAACAGAUAGAUCGGAGAGAAAUACAAAGUUAUAAUAAUCAUGCAUAAUAAAGUUCAGAAAGUACUCAAUCAUUUUCAAUGAAUAAUCUAGUCAUAAACCUAUAAUUCAUCGGAUCACAACAAACACACCGCAAAAAAAAGAUUACAUCGAGUCGAUCUCCGAAGAGAACAUUGUAUUGAUGAUCAAAAAGAGAGAAGAAACCAUCUGCCUAAUCACUACUCACACAUGAUCGGAAGGGCAAGAAUGUUGAUGUAAAAGUCCUCCGUGAUCGAUUCCCCCUCCGGCACAGUACCGGAAAAGGCCUCCAGAUGGGAUGGCGGAUGAAUAGAGACUUGUGACGGCGGUAAAAUUGAUUCGUCAGCCUCUCUGCGGUUUUUGGAAUAUUUGAGAAUUUAUAUCGCUGGAAUUAGGUCAGACGGAGCCACGAGGGGCCCACAAGGCACCAGGACGCGCCCACCCCCCGGGUGCACCCUGUUGGCUUGCCGUCUCCUCAUAGGUCUUUUGGUCCUUCCCUGGAGCUUCUAGGGUCUCUUAUGUCUAGAAAAAAAUUGUUAAAAAGUUUCGUAGCGUUUAGACUCCGUUUUAUACAGAUUUUCUGUAAAACCAAAAACAAGCAGAAAACAACAACUGACAUUAGGCACUGAGUUAGGUUAGUCCCCAAAAUGAUAUAAAAUUAUAUAUAGAGUAUCCAAGAUUGAUAAUAUACUAGCAAAGCGGUCUGUGCGUUGCAACAGAAGAAAAAAAAUCAUAAUCUCCAAUGACGAUGACCAUAUUUUGCUGCAUCACCGAGAUACACUAUUACUCUCAUUUUUGUGAAGUAGUGAACAAUUUUUGAGAAUCAUAAUCUCCAAUGACGAUGAACAUUUUUUAAACUCUUGAACAUAUCUAAAAUCAUGAACAUUUUCCAAAUUCGUAAACAUUUUUAUAGAUUUUCGAUCAUUUUCUAAAAUCAUGAACACAAAUUUAAUUCAUAAAUAUUUUAUAAUUUUUUAAAAAACAUUUUUUAACAUUUAUUAAAAAAAAAUUCUUGAAUAGGCGAACAUGUCUGGACUCGAUGAACAUUCUUUUUUGGAAAUUGAUGGAGAAAUUUCUGAAAUUCAUGAACAUUUUUUUAUUAACAAAUAUUUUCGGGAAUGCAUGAUCAUUUUUUGAACCCGUGAAAAUUUUAAUGAAUCAAUAAACUAUUUUGAAGUCAUGGACAUUUCUUGAAUUGGCGAAAUUUUGUUCUAUUUCAUUACAAAACUUUAAUAAAUGAACUUUUUAGAAAAAAAUAUGAUUUUUUUUAUUUCCUGAAUAUUUUUUUUCAAAAUUUCAAACAUUUUUUGAAUAUGCUAACAGUUUUUAAAAAUUGGGAAUAUUUUUUGAAUCCACAAAUAUUUAUAUUUUGUUAAAAAUUAUUCAAAAUCCACAACUUCUUUAAUUUCAGAACUUUUUUGAAGUCCCAAAUUACUUAAAGUAGAAAAAACGAAGACGAUAAAGGAAAACAAAAAAUAAAAUUGAAACUUAAAAAACAGGCCGCCUGGACAUGAGCCAACCCAAAUAGGGGCGCUGUGUCUCCUCGCAAUGCACGUAGCGCAGUAUAAAAGGUACCGACUGCAUGGGCCGGCCCAGGUGGGGAUUCCCUUAUGUGAAACGUUUUUUUACUACUUAUAGGUGGCAUUGAUGGUUAAAGUUUUGCAAUUUUGGAGACAAUUUUGUUGACAUAGCCCCUUUAUUAUUAGGUAUUAGAUAUAGAAUAGUAUGAGAUAAUCAAAAAUUAUAAAUAUGUUGGAGGCGUAUCAACCGACUCUUCUUUGAGUCAGUUUUAGGGGUUGGUAAUAUAAAAAUUAGGUCCAAGGGGUUGGUGGGAGGUGGAGGCCAUAGACCAAACUUCACUUUAAUAGUAGAGAUUACUACUGCGAAUAAAUUAUCUUUGCAAACGUUACCUGACGACCGCCCGCCUUCGCAGCGACCCCCUUUCCACCGUUGCACGAAUCUCGGCGCAAGACCACUGGCACGUCACAUAAUGGUAACUAGGUCAUCGUAAGAAAUGUCAUUUUUUUAUAUUACAGAGAUGGCGUUUUAAAUUCUAAGAGAUGGCAAUUUUUAUUUUAAAUGGAUGUAAUUUUUAUACUAGGAGAUGCCAUUCUUUUUCAUUUUAAAGUGAUGACAUUUUCAUUAUUUAAAGAUGCCUUGUUUCAUGUACAUGUCAAUUUUUUUUCUAAUAUCAUGGCAUUUUUUGUGUUUUUAUAAAAAAAUAAGUAUUUUUGUCAUCCAUGACGUUUAAAAUCUUUACCUAAUAAUAAAGAAAAUUGAGUUUCUUUCGUCCGUCAUGACAUUUUUUAGAAAAGUUCUUCUAUUUUAGAGAAUUCAACCCGCAGUCCUGUUUUAAGUUAAAACGAAUCGUUUUUCCAUAUUUUACACAAAAGUCCCUGUAUUUUCUUGAAAUCAACCCACAGUCCGGACUUAAGUCAUACCCGAAUCGUUAUUUUACAUUUUUCGAACCCCCCCUGAUGUUUUAGGUAAUUUAUCCACGGAUCAUAUUUAAGUCAAAUAAAUGUUUUUUUAAACCAUCCAUAUCUUUUAAACCGUAACUCCGAUUUGAACAUGUUAUAUAUGAAAUUUCAUUAGAAAAAUAUGUAGAAUAUGAAUAUGAGAUUAUUUUUACAUGUUAAGUAUUUUUAAAUAUUAUUUUGGAAUAUAUUUAAGUCAAACAAAUAAUUUUCUAAAAUACGUAUCUUUUAAACCGUAACUGCGAUUUUAAAAUAUUGUAUAUGAACUUUUAUUAAAAAAAUGUGUAGAAUCGAAAUAUGAUGUUAAUUUUACAUCUUAAAUAGUUUUAAAAUAUUGUUUUGGAAGCAAGAUCCGUUUUUCUUUCGUACCGGUGGCGAUCCGGAUUGCAAAUAAACACCCCACUAUAAUCAUAUAGGGAAAAGAAAACAUCAAUAACUACACAUGCAUACCUCUGAAAAAUAUCGCAGGGGAAAAUAAUAGAUUUCUCAUCGCGAGAGUGAGAGAGAGCGAGCGAGAGAGAGAGAGAGAGAGAGAGAGAGAGAGAGAGAGAGAGAGAGAGAGAGGAUAGAGGGGGGGAGAGACGCCUUAGGAUUAACCAUAUUUAAACAUGUUUUUUGCUUUGUUUUGUGUGAACACUGAGGCCAUCACUGGCGAGGGUGAGAAGGAGGAUAAGGGGCAACACAAAUAUGAUGCCUCGCAAAAAUAAAGGAGAUGAAUCUAUUGUGGUCUCAAGAGAUGGUUGUUGGGUUAAGAGCGUGUGUUAUGUUUUCUCUCCCUUUACAACGCACGGGCUCUUUUGCUAGUAAAAAUAAAAAAGUAAGCCGGUCCUAUGGGCCAAUGGGGGUUCAUGCAAAUGAUCGACGAGAGCUGGUUCGUUGCUGCGAGCAGCUCACCCCAGCGACAGAUAUUGACACGUACCAUGGCGGUCGAUCACCAGAUAUUGGCGUCCAUUAUCUAUUACAUAGUUGAAGAAAAAUAAUCCAUUUAUGUAAGCAGUGGUAAAGAAAAAAAAUAGGACAUUAUAUAUAGUGGAAACAAUCCAAAAAUGAAAUUAUUUGUGGAAGCAAAACAAAAAAUGUAAGAUUUUUUUCAUAUAAAAUAAAUAAAUAAAAUAUGUGAACCAAAAAGUGGGAAAAUGAGAAUAUAGCAGAACAAUGGAUGACAAAAGUUAUGUGGAUAGUGGGUACGCAGGCCCAUUCACACGCAGGCCCAUCAAAUUUGUGAAUAUAGCAGAACACGACGACAACCCGACGACACGCAGACCCUCAAAAAAAAAAAAACCCCGACGACACGCAGUAGCAUUUGCAAUCCAUCGAAAACAUCUCUGCCGCCGCCGCCGCCGCCCGCCGUCGCCGCCGCUCCUGCGCCAUGCUCCGCCUCCGAGAGUGCGUCGUUUCCCGUCUCCUAUCUUCUUCCCCCACCUCCAGCUCUGCCAUUUUCCCACUCUGCCGUCUCCUCUCCGCCGCCGCGCCCCACAUUUCCCCAAAUCCCAGUGGCUUCGCCGUGGAAGAGUACCUCGUCGCCACCUGCGGUCUCACCCGGCCACAAGCCCUCAAGGCCUCCCCGAAGCUCUCCCACCUCAACUCCCCCGCCAACCCCGACGCCGUCCUCGCCUUCCUCUCCGGCCUCGGCCUCUCCGGCGCCGACGUCGUCGCCAAAGAUCCGCUCUUCCUCUGCGCCAGCGUGGGGAGAACCCUGGCCCCUAAGGUUGCCGAGCUCACUGGCCUAGGUCUCUCGCGUCCUGAGAUCGCCCGCCUCGUCUCCCUCACCCCCGACCGCUUCCGCCGUAGAGCCAUAGUCUCCAAGCUGCAGUACUACCUGCCCCUCUUCGGCUCCUCCCACAACUUCCUCCGGCUGCUCAAGCGCUCGUCCCACCUUCUGUCGUCGGACCUCGAUAAGUUGGUCAAGCCCAAUGUUGCCUUCCUCAGGGAGUGCGGGCUAGGUGAUUGUGAUAUUGCCAAGCUGUGUAUCCGGGAG